rnacentral:lncRNA from 1 species
CAAAAAAAAAGUCUAGAUAGUCAUUCACGCUUAAACAAGAUGUUGUGCUUCUCCCAAUGAACAACGCACUAGUAGAAAAAAGGGGCUUUCAUUCGGGCCUGGCCAGCCCAUUAGUCCCGGUUCUGCCAUGAACCGGGACCAAUGGAUGCCUUCGUCCUGGUUCGUGAGCCCAGGGGGGCGCCCGGGGCCUCGUGGGCAUUGGUCCCGGUUCAUAUGGACCCAUUUGUCCUGAUUCCUGGCACGAACCCGGACCAAUGGGCCUCGCUCCUGGCCCACAAACAUAGGUCCCGGUUCUUGGCUCGAACCGGGACAAAAGGUUGGGCUUUAGUCCCGGUUCCAGCCACGAACCGGGACAAAUGAGCUUCCUAUAUAUGCCCCAUCACCGGCGAGCAGAGCACUCCAUAGUGCUCUGUUUUUUGCUGGCCGGCGAGGAAGGGAAAUUGGGUGCUCUAGCUCACCUCUUAUGCAUGUGAGGUGUUUGAUGAAAUGCCUGAGCCACAUUAGUUAAGCUUUCUCCUCUCGAAGCUCGAUCUCGGAGCUUCAUUUUUUUCCGAGAUUUGUCUAGGUUUAGCGGUCCGUCACGCCCCGUCCUCGUCUUCACCGUCGUCGAUCGCCCGCGCCGAUCUCGUCGCCGGCACCACCGUGGUGAGCCUAUUGUUCUUAUCUUCUUUCUGAAAGAAAAAAAUCUUACUUUAGAUAGAUACUUGUCUAAUUUUCUUACUUUUGACACACAUAACUAUAUAUAAUGCACGUAGAUGAACCGGCAAUGGAUGUACGGUGACAGACACACCUCCGAGUGCAUUAAGGGCGUGCGUAAAUUUCUCGAAGUGGCUGAGGCAAACAAGUAGAAUGGUUUUAUGUGUUGUCCAUGCCCUGAUUGUGGGAAUACGAGGUCUUACUCUGACAAGAAAAUCCUUCACACUCACCUGCUUUAUAAAGGUUUCAUGCCACACUAUAAUGUUUGGACGAAGCACGGAGAAAUAGGGGUUAUGAUGGAAGACAACGAAGAAGAAGAGGACGAUGACAACUAUGUGCCCCCUGAAUACAGUGAUGCUACAACCGGGGAAGCUGAAGAUCAAGAUGAAGCUGAAGAUCAAGACGAACCAGACGAUGUGCCUGAUGAUGAUCUCCAUCGCGUCAUUGUUGAUGCAAGGGAAAAGUGCGAAAGUGAAAAGGAGAAGCUGAAGUUCAAUCGCAUGUUAGAGGAUCACAAAAAAGGGUUGUACCCCAAUUGCGAAGAUGGCAACACAAAGCUCGGUACCGUACUGGAAUUGCUGUAGUGGAAGGCAGAGAAUGUUGUGCCUGACAAAGGAUUUGAGAAGCUACUAAAAUUUUUGAAUAAGAAGCUUCCAAAGGAUAACGAAUUGCCCGACAGUACGUACGCAGCAAAGAAGGUCGUAUUCCCUCUAGGAUUGGAGGUGGAGAAGAUACAUGCAUGCCCUAAUGACUGCAUCCUCUACCGCGGUGCGUACAAGGAUUUGAACGCAUGCCCGGUAUGUGGUGCAUUGCGGUGUAAGAUCAGAUGAGAUGAUCCUGGUGAUGUUGAGGGCGAGCCUCGCAGCAAGAGGGUUCCUGCGAAGGUGAUGUGGUAUGCUCCUAUAAUACCACGGUUGAAACGGCUUUUCAAAAACAAAGAGCAUGCCAAGUUUAUGUGAUGGCACAGUGAGGACCGUAAGAAAGAUUGGAAGUUGAGAGCACCCGCUGACGGGUCGCAGUGGAGAAAAAUCGAGAGAAAGUACUGGGCUUAGUUUGCAGGUGACCCAAGGAACAUAUGGUUUGGUUUAAGCGCGGAUGGCAUUAAUCCUUUCGGGGAGCAGAGCAGCAAUCACAGCACCUGGCCCGUGACUCUAUGUAUGUAUAACCUUCCUCCUUGGAUGUGCAUGAAGCGGAAGUUCACUAUGAUGCAAAUUCUCAUCCAAGGCCCUAAGCAACCCGACAACGACAUUGAUGUGUACCUAAGGCCAUCAGUUGAAGAACUUUUACAGCUGUGGAAUGGAAAGGGUGUACGUGCGUCGGAUGAGCACAAACAGUAGGAAUUUAACCUCCAUGCAUUUUUGUUUGUAACCAUCAACGAUCGGCCCGCUCUCAGUAACCUUUCAGGACAGACAAACAAGGGAUACCACGCAUGCACACACUGUUUAGCUGACAUCGAAAGUAUAUACCUGGACAGAUGCAGGAAGAAUGUGUAUAUGGGCCAUCGUCGAUUUCUCCCAACCAACCAUCAAUGUCGAAAGAAAGGCAAGCAUUUCAAAGGCGAGGCAGAUCACCAGAAGAAGACCGCCAUGCGUACCGGUGAUCACAUACUUGAUAUGGUCUCUGAUUUACACGUAAUAUUUGGAAAGGGUCCCGGCGGACUAGCUGUUCUGAAUGACGCUGAGGGACGCGCACCCAUGUGGAAGAAGAAAUCUAUAUUUUGGGACCUACCCUACUGGAAAGAGCUAGAGGUACGCUCUUUAAUCGACGUGAUGCACGUGAUGAAGAACCUUUGUGUGAACCUGUUAGGAUUCUUGGGCAUGUAUGGGAAGACAAAAGAUACACCUGAGGCACGGGAGGACCUGCAACGUUUGCACGAAAAAGACGGCAUGCCUCCAAAGCAGUAUGAAGGUCCUGCUAGCUACGCUCUUACCAAAGAAGAGAAGGAAAUCUUUUUUGAAUGCAUGCUCAGUAUGAAGGUCCCGACUGGCUUCUCGUCGAAUAUAAAGGGAAUAAUAAAUAUUCCAUAGAAAAAGUUCUAGAACCUAAAGUCUCAUGACUGCCAUGUGAUUAUGACGCAACUGCUUCCGGUUGCAUUGAGGGGGCUUCUACUAGAAAACGUCCUAUUAGCCAUUGUGAAGCUAUGUGCAUUUCUUAAUGCAAUCUCUCAGAAGGUGAUCGGUCCAGAAAUCAUACCAAGGCUAAGGAGUGAUUGUAACGCCCCGAGACCGUUGCGCCAGGUGUCUUACAGUUAUUCGCUGUUGUUGCCUUGUCAUUUGUUUUGCGUGUCAUGCUUUUCAUAUCAUGUCAUCAUGUGCAUCACAUUUGCAUACAUGCUCGUCUCAUGCAUCCGAGCAUUUUCCCCGUUGUCUGUUUUGCAUUCCGACGCUCCUACGUCCUCCGGCGUUCCCUUUUGCCUCUUUUCGUGUGCGGGUGUUAAACGUUCUCGGCUUGGACCGAGAUUUGCCAAGCGGCCUUGGUAUACUGCCGGUAGACCGCCUGUCAAGUUUCGUGCCAUUUGGACUUCGUUUGAUACUCUAACGGUUAACCGAGGAACCAUAUAGGCCUCGUGUGUGUUGCAGCCCAACACCCUUCCAAAGUGGCCCAAAACCCACCAGAACCCCCUCCAUCCUCUCAGUCGUUCGAUCACGAUCGUGUGGCUGAAAACCGCACCUCAUUUGGACUCUCCUAGCUCCCUCUACCUAUAAAUAUGUGUCUCCCUCCGAAAUUCUCGCGCAGAUAAACCCUAACCUUCGUCCACCUCGCGCCGCUGGACAAAUUCGUCCGCGCCGGACAUGUCCACCCUCCACAUCACUCCGGCCAAUCCUGUCGUGCCACCUCAGCAGGACGCCGCUCCUGGCUAGUGGCAUCGUGCCACCUGUCCCUGCCGCCCUUCUCUCUCCUCCCCACCGCGCUGUGACCCGCGGAGCCCACGGUCGGCCCAUGCCAGGCCCGACCGCACCCUGCCGCCCGACCGAGCAGUGCGCCGCUCACGCACCAUGCGCCGACCGGCUCCCUGCCGCGGCUCGCCGCCGUUUCCCUUCGCCGGCCGCCGCACGCGCCAACCGCCGUUGUUGACUGCUCGCCCACCGGGCGCCGCGCCGCCGCCCGCCAUCUUCCCGCCGGCCACUGUCGUGGAUCUAAGACUGACAGUAGAAUGGGGGGUAGGUAUGAGGAGGCAAGAUCCUAGCUAUGGAGUAGUUGUACACACGAGUUUUACGAGUUCAUGCCUUUCUCGGAGGAAGUAACAGCCCUACAUCUCGGUGCCCUGAGGCGGUCAACUGGAUUAUGUGUGUGUGUGUGUGUUUACAAAAGAUGCGAACCCUUGUCCCAGAGGAGGGGGGUGGCUUAUAUAGAGUCCGCCAGGACCCCUGCUCUCCUCCAUUACACAGGGUUCAAUGUUUAUAAAGGGGGAGCAUUACUGGUAACAUCCGAAGUAAAGUGCUAUAAAUGUCCAUAAAGCUAUGGUUUAAACCCCGACCGUUGUGGAGUGAAGGGCUUCUCAUCUUCUGGUGGUCGAGUGUCUUCAAGGUGGUCGAGUGAACACAUCUUCAUGGUCGAGUGGAUGAUGGUUUCUCUUCGACUGCUUCUGAUUCUUUGUAGAGAUGUCCUUGGAGAGGGUAUGUUGGAUAGAUCCAUGACCCUACCCUAGGUACAUAGCUUCAUUAUUAGCCCCCGAAUGGAUCAGGGUUUGAGUGAGGAAGGAGUUGUGAACACUCCUGACUCAUUCUUUGUGCUAUGAGCAUAUCUUGUUCUGGAAUAAUGAACUGAGGAGACAACGUCGACUCCUUUUUCAGUCGCCUUGGUGCAUUCUUGGUUUUUGUCGAGUGAAGUUUCACGGUAAAACUCCGAAUGAUAAUGUAGAGGACGUUUUCAGUUUGGCAAGUUGCUCUGCUCUCCGCGGAUUUCGCGGGAUUCGAAUUUUGGGGAAGCACGCCGGACGGGCGAAACCGUGGUAAUCGGGAUGGAUUAGGCAAGUCUCCUCGAUCUCCGCGCCACCUUUUUCGCCAUGUACUGCGUGUGCGACUGUUGCGGAAUUUGUUUAGAUCGUCUGGCUCCACCAGUCAGUCACUCAAGGAAUGACCUUAUAAAAGGCACCGAACUAGGCCUCUGCCCCGUGUGCUCCCAUUCUCUUCUCUUCUUCCUCCGACCUCUCCGCCACGCUCGCAUCUGCUCUCGUCGCCGGACCCUCGCUCGAACUCGAUCUGUUGCCAUGGGAAAAGAGAAGACGGUGGCGCUAGAGCACGCGAAGAAGGCGACCGCAAAGGCGAAGGGCAAGCGGACCAGCCGGGGCGGAUCCUCGUCGAGAUUCGGCCUGCCGCCAGGCUGGAUCCAGGGCGACUGGAUCCGCUCGAUGAUCACCCGGGACGACCUCGACGACCUGGUGGAGGGGGGACUGAUCCCCCACAAGUCGGCACGGCUCUCGGGGAAUGAAACCGAGCCAUAGCCAAGGGAGGGUGAGUGCGUUCUCCUCGCCACCCACAUAGACCGCGGAUUCUCAUUGCCUCCCCAUCCUUUCUUCCGGGGAUUUUUGAACUUCUUUGGGGCUCAGCUCCACCAUUUCACUCCAAACAUCAUAGUCUAUCUGGCCGCUUUGGUUUCAAUGUGUGAAAAUUUCUUGGGUUGUUGACCGCACUGGGGUCUUUUCAAACACAUCUUCACCUGCCGCUCCCAGUCGGUCAAAAAGGCCAAUCCGAGUGAUGAGAGGACGCAAGUGAUCUAGAUGUGCGGGGGCCUGGGGAUCCAGAUGAGGAGCAAGAGCACCUUCCCAGCAAUGAUCCUUCCUGACUCGGUCUGGGGCUGGCAGUCGACUUGGUUUUAUUGCAAGGACCAGCCGACCCCGGGUCAGUUGACUGGACUUCCUCCCUUUUCUUUGGCUCGAGUGGAGAAGCCCACCCCCCUGAAGGUGGUUCUAGAAGGGAAGGCGCAGGUCAAGGUGCUGGUCGAGCGGGUCAUCCAACUCGUCCGCGACGGGGUGACCGGGAUGGACCUGUUGGAGGUAUUUCUCGGUCGACGCAUCCAACCGCUUCGGGCACGUGAUCAUCCGAUGUGGAUGUACUCUGGGCUCGAGGAUUCCACUCGGAUCCACCCAGAGGACGUCAGCGAGGACACCUUAGAGAAGUGGCUGAUGGGGAUCACCAGCAACAAAGACAACCCUCGGGGGUCUAGGAGGGUGAUUCCAUUCGACCACUCGUGUCAGCCGGAGCAGGUAUGAUUCUGUUUUAUCAAGUAUCUUUCUGAUUCAAUGUGUGACAUCUUGUUGAUGGACGACUGAAUUUCUUUUGAUCGUUGUCUUUUCAGGCCCUCAUCGACAUGUACUCGAUGCCCAAUGGAGUGCAGGAGCAAGACAUCAAGGAAGGAGCGAGCGGGGGCAAGAGCGGCGAAGGGUACUCGGAUGCCGAGGAGGAUGAGGAGAGCGACGAAUCGACUGAUGGUGAAGAGGUCGACUCGCCUCCUCGCAGGGAGAGGAGAUCCAAACACGCUCAUGACCCGGCGAGCACUUCGGGCCUGGUGGCCGCGCCGAUUGGGCAGUCUUCGAAGCGUCCCAGGACGUCUUCCCCAACACCGAUUGAGAAGGCUCCGAAGCAGCCCAAAGUUGUGCCGCCUCCAGCGCCGAAAGCACCGAAAGCCACCUCCUCCAAGCUGCCAAAGGCUUUGCCCAGGAUCAAAGUGACCGUCCCUACUAUCUUCGGGUAAUCAUCUGACUUGUUCUUUUCGUUGACUCGAAUAACAGAACGUAACUGACUGUAUGCGGGUUUUUGCAGUGCUGCUACAUCAGGAACCUCUUCUCUCCAGUACCGAGACGAGGAGAUGGAAGACGCGGUUACCUCUAACCCAGGUAGAAACUCUUAUGAUCUUGUUCUUGAUUCCUUGGUCGAUUGCAUUCUAGUGGUUCACUUGGGGUCGAAUGAACUGUCUUGUAGCUCCACCCAACGUCAUCGAUCUUCCAGAUGACGAUGAAGAUGUGGCUCUUAAGCCCAGGAAGAGAAAGAAGGAAGCAACUGGUAAGAUGUCUCGGCAAGGGCCAACAACAACACCGCCCGUCCAUCAACCUGAAGACGCGGUCAGGGCCUCUGUAACCUUCGUUGCACCCUUGUCGAGCGAGCACCCCGCACCGUCGACUGCACCGGUGAUUCCUUCAGUCGUCCAACUCCACGCCACGGAGCUCCAAGCUGCCACACCUGGGUCGUCUGCUCUCUUUUUUACCAGCUACCCCGUCCUGGACAACCAGUCGGAAGCGGCUGUGGAAGCCAUACGACAGGCUGACGUGAUGAUGGAACGGGUGAAGACGGUGCAUGAGAAUAGCUAGGCUGCCUAUGACGCUAGUGCUGCACUUCGGGCCAACGUCCAGGUAAGUAGACUUUCCGACUGCUCUUGUUCUAUGAGGAUAUGUUACCUGAAAAAUUUUCUUCUACACAAUCUCCUAUUGUUUGCGUCGAAUCAGAGCACCCACUGGGUGUUUUGUUUUCUUUGGUAGUUGCGCUCUUCCACUCGGUCUAGGUGAGCGGGAUCUGAACCGGUGGGGGCACGCUGAGUGCACCCACUGGGUGUAGUCCCCGAGACUGCGGUCGACUGCUGGCUGUCGACUGGGGUCUGAGUUCUACCUUCCUUUCUUUUCCUUUUCUUCCGCUCGACUCAGGCGGACCGGUCGAGUAGGAUCUAAACCGGUGGGGGCACGCCAAGUGCACCCACUAGGUGUAGUCCCUGAGACCGCAGUCGACUGCUGGCAGUCGACUGUGGUCUGAACAACUUUUUUUUACUUGGUCCGGGUGGACCGGUCGAGUUGGGUCUUAAUCAGUAGGGGCACGCCAAGUGCACCCGCUGGGUGUAGCCCCCGAGACCGCAGUCGACUGUGUGCAAUCGGCUGGGGUCUAAGCGAACUUCUUUAGGUUUUAUUCACUCGGAAGUAAACAACCUUUGAUCUUAUCAACUGACCCGUCUUUUGCCUUCUGCAGAAGUCUUGUACUCUUAUUUCCAAGUUUGCUGAACUUGUGGAGUAGCAGAGGCAACUGAACCUCGACUUGGAAUUGGCCCAGCAGAAUUUGAAGAAAUCUCAAGACGAAGAUGCUGGUAUGGAAGGUAACUGGCUGUCGACUGACUUUCAAUAUAUUUAUUUGAUCUCUUGUUUGAUUCGAUUGCUUCUUUUGCAGAGAAAAUGAAAUUAGCUCUGGAGAAGAAGGACUCGGACCUUGCCGCCGCGCAAAAAGCAGCCGAAGAUAAAACUGCCCUCGCAGACCAGAAGCUUGCUUCAGUCGGGACGCUGGAAGGGGAGGUGAACAAACUGAAAUCUUGCCUCAAUGAAGCUAACCGUGAAGUGACUAGUCUGAAGAGGGACAAGGUUGCCCUGAAUGAAAAGCUGGAGUCCGUGAUCCGCAAGAGGAAUGACACGGAAGCUUAUCUGAGGACUCUUGCCAAGAAGCUCUAUCUCACACUGGAAGGUAUUUCUUUUAAACCAACUGUCUUGAUGCUUGCGAUCGGAUCCUGCUCAGUCGAUUCACUAAUUUUUGGUUGCAGAAUUCUGCCAAGACUUCGACGAGGAAACUGGAAAGGUCGAGAUGGGUCUGAACCCUAUCGCUUCUCUAGUUUGUGACGAAACCGCAAUGAACGUGCUCCGCCUGGAGUCCCAUAUCGCCAGCGCCACAAGCUACCUCGUGCGUCUGAAGGAGGUAGUCUCCCGAAUCGACUCAUCGCUUUGGCCGAGGGCGACCUUCAAAAUGACCUGGAAUCCCUGAUGGCCCGACUGAACGAGAUCCCUGACCGGGUGCAAGAAUGGAAGAAGUCCUCCGCCCGGUGUGGUGCUGACGUGGCGUUGUCCUUGGUGCGAGUCCAUUGCAAGGAGGCUCAUGAAGACAAGCUGGCUGCGAUCAAAGUUGCUAACACCAAAAAGCAUGACUUCCAGUCCUUCAUGGAGACAUUCAUUGCUGCCACUACUCGGAUUGCUGAUGGGAUCGACCUGGACUCAUUUGUGGAGCCUGCCAGCCCUCCUCCUGCCGAGUGAACAACUUAUGAGACUUGAAUCUGCUUUAAAUUUGUCUCGGAAUGCCGAGUGAUUGCUGUAACCGUUAAACUCCUUCGGGCUUGAUGCCCGAAUACUUUUGACUUGCUGCCUGGAACUCUAGGAUUUAUCCGAAUUUGGUUUAUCUCCAAAUGUGCUUGCAUUUUUCCUUCGAAUGGACUUUGUUCACUGCUCGUAAUAGUCUUUGCGUUGCAGAUGCAACUCUGAAAUGGUGGCUACGGUCAACCUGCGCUUCGUCGUCCUUGCAGAUAGGGAUGGGGUGCAUGUUGUACUUGUGCCGUAGCUCUGAGGGAGAAGGUUGCAGUCGACCUGCACCUUGUCGUCCUUGCGGAUAUGGAUGGAGCGCACAUUGUACUUGUACCGUAGCUCCAAAGGAGAAGGUUGCAGUCGACCUGCACCUCGUCGUCCUUGCGGAUGGGGAUGGAGCGUACAUUGUACUUGUGCCGUAGCUCUGAAGGAGAAGGUUGCAGUCGACCUACACCUCGUUGUCCUUGCGGAAAGGGAUGGAGCGUGCAUUGUACUUGUGUCGUAGCUCCGAAGGAGAAGGUUGCAGUCGACUUGCACCUCGUCGUCCUUACGGCUGGGAUAUGUUUCGAACUUAGGCGAGUACUGGACUGCAGCUAAGCCUCCGAGUGGGAGGAUUGCUCUCCACUCGGUAGGAUUUUUUCAAACUUAGGCGAGUACUCGACUGCAGCUAAGCCUCCGAGUGGGAGGAUUGCUCUCCACUCGGUAGGAUUUUUUCAAACUUAGGCGAGUACUGGACUGCAACUAAGCCUCUGAGUGAGAGAACUUAGGCGAGUGCUGGACUGCAGCUAAGCCCCCGAGUGGGAGGAUUGCUCUCCACUCGGUAGGAUUUUUCAAACUUAGGCGAGUACUGGACUGCAGCGAAGCCUCCGGGUGAGAGAACUUAAGCGAGUGCUGGACCGCAGCUAAGCCCUCGAGUGGGAGGAUUGCUCUCCACUCAGUAGGAUUUUACAAACUUAAGCGAGUACNNNNNNNNNNNNNNNNNNNNNNNNNNNNNNNNNNNNNNNNNNNNNNNNNNNNNNNNNNNNNNNNNNNNNNNNNNNNNNNNNNNNNNNNNNNNNNNNNNNNNNNNNNNNNNNNNNNNNNNNNNNNNNNNNNNNNNNNNNNNNNNNNNNNNNNNNNNNNNNNNNNNNNNNNNNNNNNNNNNNNNNNNNNNNNNNNNNNNNNNNNNNNNNNNNNNNNNNNNNNNNNNNNNNNNNNNNNNNNNNNNNNNNNNNNNNNNNNNNNNNNNNNNNNNNNNNNNNNNNNNNNNNNNNNNNNNNNNNNNNNNNNNNNNNNNNNNNNNNNNNNNNNNNNNNNNNNNNNNNNNNNNNNNNNNNNNNNNNNNNNNNNNNNNNNNNNNNNNNNNNNNNNNNNNNNNNNNNNNNNNNNNNNNNNNUAAGCCUCCGAGUGAGAGAACUUGGGCGAGUGUUGGACUGUAGCUAAGCCCCCGAGUGGGGGGAUUGCUCUCCACUCGAUAGGAUUUUACAAACUUAGGCGAGUACUGGACUGCAGCUAAGCCUCCGAGUGAGAGAACUUAGUCGAGUGCUGGACUACAGCUAAGCCCCCGAGUGGGAGGAUUGCUCUACACUCGGUAGGAUUUUUCAAACUUAGAUGAGUACUGGACUGCAGCUAAGCCUCCGAGUGAGAGAACUUAGGCGAGUGAUGGACUGCAGCUAAGCCCCCGAGUGGGAGGAUUGCUCUCCACUCGAUAGGAUUUUAUUUCGAACUUAGGCGAAACGGAUUCGCGACUAAGCCCACCCACUGGGGGAUUUCAGAAGUAAAUAAGAACAACAACAAUCGUAUGAGAGGACUGUAAACUCUUGUCUUUGAUAAACAAAUUACAAAAGUGUUUCUUAUUACAUUUUAUUCUAACGAGUGCUUAAGUAUAAAAGGGGUGGAGCAGCUCCGCAUUCCAAGCCUGUGGCUCGUCUUUCUGAUGCUCAACACUAUAAAGAUGGUAUGCUCCAUUGUGGAGAACUUUGGUGAUGAUGAAGGGGCCUUCCCAAGUCGGGGUGAGCUUGUGUGGUUUCUGUUGAUCCACUCGAAGAACCAGUUCUCCUUCUUGAAAGGCUCAACCCCUCACAUUUCUGGCGUGGAAUCGACGCAAGUCUUGCUGAUAAAUGGUCGACCGGAUCAAGGCCAUCUCUCUUUCCUCCUCUAAGAGAUCGACUAAAUCUUGUCGGGCCUGUUCUGCUUCCUCUUCGGAGAAGAGCUCGACUCGGGGUGCGUUCUGGAGCAGGUCACUUGGCAGAACAGCUUCGGCUCCAAAGACUAGGAAGAACGGAGUUCGUUUGGUGACCGAUUAGGAGUUGUCCUUAAACCCCACAGAACUGACGGAAGUUCAUCAACCCAAAUGCCUGCUGCGUGUUUGAGAUCAUGCAUCAAUCGGGGUUUUAGCCCUUUGAGAAUUAGGCCAUUGGCUCUUUCUGCUUGUCCGUUCGACUGUAGGUGAGCGACUGAAGCAUAGUCGACCCGUGUGCCUUGAGAAGCGCAGAAAGCUCUAAACUCAUCAGAAUCGAAGUUUGACCCGUUAUCCAUGAUGAUGUUGUGUGGAACUCCAUAUCUGAAUGUCAAUUCUCUGAUAAAACUGACAGCGGUGCUGGCCCCAAGAUUCUUGAUAGGUUUAGCUUCGAUCCAUUUGGUAAACUUGUCGACUGCAACGAGCACAUGAGUGAAGCCGCUCUUGCUAGUUCUCAAUGGUCCAACCAUAUCCAGUCCCCAAAUAGCAAAGGGCCAGAUGAGGGGGAUGGUCUUCAGGGCUGACGCUGGCUUGUGAGACAAGUCGGAGUAAAACUGGCAGCCUUCACAUCUGUCGACUAUAUCUUUCGCCAUUUCAUUUGCUCGUGGCCAAUAAAAUCCAGCUCGGUAUGCAUUAGCCACGAUGGCCCGAGAGGACGCAUGGUGACCACAGGUCCCCGAGUGGAUGUCAUUGAGGAUCAUUUGACCUUCUUCUGGUGUUAUGCAUUUCUGACCGACUCCAGUCACGCUUUCCCUGAACGGUUGUCCUCUUAUCACAGUAAAGGCCUUGGAUCAACGGACGAUCUGUCGAGCCUCUUCCUCAUCCUUUGGGAGUUCUUUCCUAAGGAUGUACGCAAUGUAGGGCACUGUCCAGUCGGGAGUAAUGGCCAGAACCUCCAUGAUCAGGUCGACCAUGGCUGGGACCUCGACUUAAGUCGGGUCUGUGGCGCUCUUAGGCUGCGAAGGCUCUUCUGUAAAAGGAUCUUCCUGAACUGUCGGCGUGUGAAUAUGCUUCAAAAACACAUUGUUGGGAAUGGCUUCUCUCUUGGAACCUAUCUUUGCCAAGUCAUCGGCUGCUUGAUUUUUCAAUCGGGGUAUGUGAUGGAGCUCUAACCCCUCAAACUUCUUUUCCAGCUUCCUCAUCGCGUUGCAGUAACCAGUCAUGGCUGGGCUUCUGACGUCCCACUCCUUCAUCACUUGAUUGACUACCAAAUCUGAGUCGCCGUAGACCAUGAGGCGACGGACGCUGAGUGAAAUGGCCAUGCGCAACCCAUACAGGAGUGCUUCAUACUCUGCUUCAUUGUUGGAGGAAUCAAAGUGAAUCUGGAGGACAUAUAUGAGCCUGUCUCCUCGGGGGGAUACCAGUACUACCCCAGCACCAGAACCAUUCAGCAUUUUGGAUCCGUCAAAGAACAUGGUCCGGUGCUCUGAGUGAACUUGAGUCGGCAGUUGAUGUUCGAUCCACUCGGCGAGGAAAUCUGCUAUUGCUUGGGACUUGAUAGCUUUCUUUACCUCAAGCUUGAUAUCCAAGGGAAGGAGUUCAAUCGCCCAUUUUGCCACUCGACUAGUUGCAUCUCUGUUGUGCAGAAUCUCUGAUAAUGGAGCGUCGCUGAUGACUGUAACAGAGUGAUCAGAGAAAUAGUGUGCAACCUUCUUCAUGGUCAUGUAAAUCCCAUAGACGAGCUUCUGAUAGUGCGGAUAUCUCCACUUUGACGGAGUCAGGACUUCAGAAAUAUAAUAAACUGGGCGCUAAACUUUAUAAGCUUUUCCUUCUUCUUCCCGCUCGACCAUAAGUACUGUACUGAUGACUUAUCCAGUGGCUGCUAUAUAAAGCAGUAAAGGCUCUUUGCUGAUUGGAGCAGCAAGCACCGGCUGGGUGGAAAGCAGGGAUUUUAGAUCUGCAAAUGCUGCAUUAGCUUCUUUGGUCCACUCGAACUUAUCUGAUUUCUUCAUCAGUCGGUAAAGAGGCAGCGCCUUUUCACCGAGCCGAGAAAUGAAUCGACUUAGGGAGGCCAAGCAACCGGUAAGCUUCUGGACAUCAUGCACAUGCACAGGGCGUUUCAUUCGGAGUAUAGCACCCACUUUCUCUGGGUUAGCAUCGAUCCCUCGUUCGGAAACGAGGAAACCGAGUAAUUUUCCGCCCAGAACUCCAAACGUGCACUUUGAUGGAUUGAGCUUGAUAUCAUACCUUUUGAGGCUGGCAAAGGUUUCAGCAAGGUCAGUCAGUAGGUCAGAACCUUUACGUGACUUGACCACAAUGUCAUCCAUGUAUGCUUCCACAUUCCGACUAUCUGAGUGAGUAGGCACUUCUGAAUCAUCCGCAUGAAUGUGGCUCCAUCGUUCUUCAAACAGAAUGGCAUUGUGACAUAACAGAAGCGCCCAAACGGGGUGAUAAAAGCUGUCUUUAUCUUGUCGGGUUCGUACAGACGGAUCUGGUGGUACCCGGAGUAGGCGUCCAAAAAGGACAAACGCUCACACCCUGCAGUCGAGUCGACUAUCUGGUCGAUGCGAUGGAGAGGAAAGUGAUCUUUUGAGCAGGCCCGAUUGAUAUGCUUGAAAUCAAUGCACAUGCGAAGUGAGUUGUCCUUCUUUGGGACCAUGACAACAUUGGCUAACCACUCGGAGUGGUAAAUCUCUCAGAUAAACUCAGCUGCCAAAAGCCAAGCCACCUCUUCACCGAUUGCCUUUCUCUUUUGUACGGCGGACUGUCGAAGAUGUUCUUUGACUGGUUUCACUUUUGGGUCGACUCGCAAACGAUGCUCAGCCAGUCCCCUGGGAACACCCGGCAUGUCAGAAGGCUUCCAUGCAAAGAUGUCCCAGUUCUCACGGAGGAACUGGAUGAGCGCUUCUUCCUAUUUGGAGUCGAGUAUGGUUGAAAUAUGAGUCGGAGCAGCAUUGGGAUCUGUCGGGUGAAUGUGAAUCGACUUCAUUUCACCGGACGACUGGAAUGCUGAAUCUGUGGCUGGCUUCUUGGCUCACAACAAAUCACUCGGAUCUGCAUUUUUCCAGUAUUCUUGCAAUUCUACCACGGCCAUCUGAGCAUCGGCGAUCUUUGAGCCCUUCUAGAAGCACUCUUCUGCCUUCUUCCGAUUACCAGAGAUAGUGAUCACCCCUUUGGGACCAGGCAUCUUCAAUUUGAGAUACACAUAACAUGGUCGAGCCAUAAAUCGUGCAUAAGCUGGCCUGCCCAGAAUGGCAUGAUAAGCACUCUGGAAAUCCACAACUUCAAAUGUCAACUUUUCUUUGCGGUAAUUCUUGGAAUCACCGAAAACCACGUCGAGAGCAAUCUGACCGAGUGAUGCAGCCUUCUUGCCUGGAAUGACCCCAUGGAAACUCAUAUUGCUCUCGCUGAGUCUGGACAUCAGAAUGCCCAUUCCCUUCAACAUCUCUGCAUACAGUAUGUUCAGGCCACUGCCACCGUCCAUCGGGACUUUUGUCAGUCAAGUGCCUUCAACCACCGGGUCGACCACCAGUGCUUGCCUCCCAGGGGUGGCCAUGUGCGCUGGGUGAUCAUACUGGUCGAAUGUAAUGGCAGUCUGCGACCACUUCAAAUAACUGGGUGUCACCGGAGCGACCAUGUUCACUUCUCUAUUGAUGACUUUCAAUCGACUUUUGCUCUCAACGUCAGCAAAAAUCAUCAGAGUGGAAUUCACGUGGGGAUAACCAUCAUCAUCCUCUUCCUCAUCCUCAGCCUUGUCUGCUUCCUUAUCCUUUUCCUUGGGCUGUUUCUCUCGGAAUUGCUGGAUUAGGAGCCGACACUACCGAGUGGUGUGCUUCGGGUAAAUGAAAUUACCCUCUUCAUCUUUUUUGGUGUGGAUGUGGCACGGCAGAUCCAACACGUCAUUUCCAUCUUGAUCUUUUACUUUCUUGGGGUUCCACGGCCCUUUGGGCUUCCCCUUGAACUUUCCUUGAACCACAGCCAAGGCUUCACCAGGAGCAGCUGGCUCGGCCUUGCGCUUCUGUUUCCGACCGGAGUUUCCUCCUCCGGCUUCGUGGGUGACUGCUUUGUGCUUGCCACUCCAGAGUCGUUCUUCUUCUUCACCAUUGGCGUACUUGGUGGCAAUCUCCAUCAUCUGAGCCAGAGUCAUAUUUCCUGUCCGGCCGAAUUUCAUAUUCAACUCCCGACACCUGACAUCUUCCUUAAAGCCACAAAUUGCCUGAUGAUCUGACACAUCCUCUACCAUGUGGUGUAGGGUGAUCCAUCUCUGGAUAUAAUCCCUCAAAGUUUCAUUCGGUUUCUGAACACAACACUGUAAUUCUGUCAAACCUGUCGGCCGUUUGCAAGUACCCUCGAAUGUUCUGAAAAACACUCGGGCGAGAUCUUCCCAAGUAUAAAUACUGCUAGGCGUCAACUGAUUCAGCCAUGCUCUAGCCGAGCCCUCCAACAUCAGAGGAAGGUGUUUCAUGGCCACUUCAUCAUUGCCGCCACCAAUCUAGACAGCCACUCGGUAGUCUUCAAGCCAAGUGUCCGGCUUGGACUCACCAGUGAACUUACUAACUCUAGUCGCCAACCUGAAGUUGUGGGGAAUCACUGCAGCUCUGAUAGCUCCGCUGAAGCACUCUGGUCCUGAGACAUGCGCUCUGUUGCUGGAUUGCGGAUCUCUGUCAUGGCCCUCUCGGUGAGCUCUGUUUCUGUCGACCAAACCCUGAACGAGAAUAGAUCUCGCAUCAAAGCCUGGCUCCCUGGGGUUGACUGGAAUACCUCGCCCAACACUGUGAGGGCGUCUGUCUUCAUGUUGCCGAGGCACGUACGACCCACUCCUUGGGGGAGGCAUGGGCACUCGACGACGAUCAUCGUGAUCGACUCGGUGAUCAUACUGCUCUCGGUUUCUGUACUAAUCUCGUCGAUCUCCACGUCCCUCAUGCCUCGGGGGCGAUCAUGGGCUAUGGGGCGACUGAAUUGUGUCUGCAGCCACGGAUCUGCUAUGGAUCCUAUUCCGCGACUGAGAUACAACCGUAUUCUAUUCUCCUGCCGCCCGGAGCAAGGCUCGGAUCUGCACCAGACCUUGGCCAGCUUCUGACUGGGAGGUUUGGAUCGACUCCACUAUCCGGGCAGCAGCUGCUAGAUUCAGGAUCGGGGUUCGGUAUACUUGAGUCAGAGGAAGUUGGCGUCGACUGGAUUCGGGAGCGCACUGCCGAGCGCGAUCGUCGAGUGCGCGCUGGAGGUUCUCCAGUCGAGUGCGUUCAGCCAAGUUGGCCAAGUGCACCUGCUCCAAGGUCUGGGCCUUGGGGGUUUCUCCAACUAUAGGAGUAUGCAGUGCAUCCAUGUUUCAGCGGCGAAGUUCCUCCCUCUGUUGCGAAGAGAGGGGUUCGGGGCGAUACUCUUCAUGAACGCGCGACGGAUCGUCGUUCCCGUCGCCUUUGUCUUCACGGGUGAAGCCAGGAGAGCUGCGUGGUCCAUUGACCAUCAGAACUUCAGCCGCUGGGUCGCUGCUAUCGCACUCGGAUGCGAUCUAAGACUGACAGUAGAAUCGGGGUAGGUAUGAGGAGGCAAGGUCCUAGCUAUGGAGUAGUUGUACACACGAGUUUUACGAGUUCAGGCCCUUCUUGGGGGAAGUAACAACCCUACGUCUUGGUGCCCUGAGGCGGUCGACUGGAUUAUGUGUGUGUGUGUGUGUGUGUGUGUUUACAAAAGAUGCGAACCCUUGUCCUAGAGGAGGGGGUGGUUUAUAUAGAGUGCGCCAGGACCCCUACUCUCCUCCAUUACACAGGGUUCAAUGUUCAUAAAGGGGGAGCGUUACUGGUAACAUCCGAAGUAAAGUGCUAUAAAUGUCCAUAAAGCUAUGGUUUAAACCCCAACCGUUGCGGAGUGAAGGGCUUCUCAUCUUCUGGUGGUCGAGUGUCUUCAAGGUGGUCGAGUGAACACAUCUUCAUGGUCGAGUGGAUGAUGGUUUCUCUUCGACUGCUUCUGAUUCUUUGUAGAGAUGUCCUUGGGGAGGGUAUGUUGGACAGAUCCAUGACCCUACCCUAGAUACAUAGCUUCAUCAGCCACUGACGCCACUCGCCACGGGCUCGCCGGAGAUGGCCCGCCUCGCCGGAGUCCACCUCGCCACCGGAGCCGCCGGAUCCUCGCCGGAGAUGGCCCGCCUCGCCGGAGUUCGAGUCCGGCCAGAUCUGGACCGGGUUGGGUCAGAUCCACCACCUCACCGAUCGAAACGGCCUCCCCCAUCCCGGAUCUCCUCAUCCCGCUACGUCUCGUCCCGCAUUGACUUUUUGGAGGUCUAUUUUUCUCCAAGUCCCUAGAUCUUCAUAUUUUCUAGCCCUGUUCAUUACAUCAUAACUCUGCCAUCUAACUCCGUUUCAUGUGUGUGGCAUAUCAAAUUGUUCGUCUCGAUGUCCUCUUCAUUUCAUUCCAUUGCACCAUGCCUGUUUGAGUCCAUCUUGAUGCCCUAAAUGCUGUUGCAAGAGUGCUAUAAAAUGUUAGGUUCUGAUUCUUAUCAUAUCUUGGACAUUUGUCAUUUUUGUCAUGAUUAAUGUGUGCCUCCUAUGAACAUAAGCCCUACAUGUGUUUUGCUGUAUGUCAUGCCAUCUUUACAGGGGUGUAUGCCAUGUAUUUUUGUGAUCAAUGUGGUGACUAGAAAAAGCAUGCAAAGUAGCUCCCGUGAUGUCUUUUUCCUGCUGUUAUUUUUAUGUCAUGUAUUCAUGUUGCUACAGAGUGAUCCGUGACUCUUUUGAGCAUGUUCAGUCAGGAUGAUUUUGAGAUAUUGUUAUGAUCUAUCCAUCCAUAUAUUUAUUUGCAAUUAUGGAGUACCCUAGCAUGACUCAAUCUUCCUCUACUUUUGCUAUAAAAUGUUCCUAGCAGAUUGUUUACAUGUUAUUCAAUUUUGGCGAGGUUGUUGUAGUUGAUCCAUGCAUGCUAUGAGAGUGUUCUUGCCAUGUUUAGCUUAUUGAUCAUGUCUUCUUGCUGGGUGUAUGCUUAGUUUGUCAUGCCAUGCCUUGUGGUGAGUGCAUCAAGCUCGCAAACAUGCCUACGAAACUCUGUUUUUGCCAUGUCCAGUUUUCUGUAAGUCUGAAUCUGUUAACGAAUCUUGCUAUGUUUACAUGGUUGCCAUUGUAUUUUAUGAUCCCAUUUGGCUUAUGGUCAGUAAGGGACUUUUGUUAUAUGCUUUGAGUAGAUUCAUUCCAUGCCUUGUAUUUCUAUGAUCUGAUCCUUAGCAUGUUGUUAUCUUGCUCUAAACAUUGCUUCCUGAUGUUAAAUCCUAUCAUGUUGUUAUUUUCACGAAGUCUGUGAACCUGAUAUCUUUUGCACUUUUGCCAUGCUUGUUUGAACCUGCUAUUGUGUGAUUUAGCCGUAGCUCAGUGUUCAUCUUUUGUCAAGCAUCUUGAGUAUAUCACUGCCAUGUGCUUUGUUGCUAUGUUGGAGUGCAGUAGCUUAGUUUCUUGUUGCAUUCUAGAUGACAUCGUGCUGUUAAUCACAGUUUUGUGCCAUUAUUGUUUUGCUUGCCAUUUGCAAACUGUGCAUCCGAUUACGGUGAUCCUUAUAUCGAUUUAGACCGAAAUCAACUCAUCUUUCCAGCGGCACUCUUGGUUUGCCAAGUUGAGUCAUGGUUCAAUCUUUUUCUUCUGGAGCAUGCAUAUGCAUUGCAUAUCACAUCCCGCAUAUCAUGCCAUGUUUUGCAACAUGUUGCUUGCUCAUUGCACCGUGGUUGAUUGUGGUUUCCUUUGCUUGUGUUCUUGUCUUGGGUAGAGCUGGGAGACGAGUUCGUGUUCUAGGUACCCGUUGAGUACGCUUACGAGGAUCAAGCUUUCGUCUUCUCGGAGAACUUUGUAGGCAAGAUGACCAUACCCUCAAAAUCACUUCUAUCUUUGCUUGCUAGUUUCUCGCUCUUUUGCUAUGCCUAUGUUGCGAUACCUACCACUUGAUUUAUCAUGCCUCCCAUAUUGCCAUGUCAAGCCUCUAACCCACCUUGUCCUAGCAAACCAUUGUUUGGCUAUGUUACCCUUUUGCUCAGCCCCUCUUAUAGCGUUGUUAGUUGCAGGUGAAGAUUGGAGUUUGUUCCAUGUUGGAACAUGAUUAUUGUUGGUAUAUCACAAUAUCUCUUAUUUAAUUUAAUGCAUCUAUAUACUUGGUAGAGGGUGGAAGGCUCGGCCUUAUGCCUGGUGUUUUGUUCCACUCUUGCCGCCCUAGUUUCCGUCAUACCGGUGUUAUGUUCCUUGAUUUUGCGUUCCUUGCGCUGUUGGGUUAUAAUGGGAACCCCUUGACAGUUCGCCUUGAAUAAAACUCCUCCAGCAAGGCCCAACCUUGGUUUUACCAUUUGCACUAACAACCUAUCACCUUCCCAUGGGUUCUGUAGACUCAAGGGUCAUCUUUAUUUUAACCCCCCCCCCCCCCCGGGGGCUAGUGCUCCUCUGAGUGUUGGUCCAAACCGAGCUGCCUGCGGGGCCACCUCGGGGAAACUUGAGGGUUGGUUUUACUCGUAGCUAGUCUCAUCCGGUGUUGCCCUGAGAAAGAGAUAUGUGCAGCUCCUAUCAGGAUGUCGGCGCAUUGGGCGGCUUUGCUAGUCUUGUUUGACCAUUGUCGAAAUGUCUUGUAACCGGGAUUCUGAGUCUGAUCGGGUCUUCCUGGGAGAAGGGAUAUCCUUCGUUGACCAUGAGAGCUUGUGAUGGGCUAAGUUGGGUCACCCCUGCAGGGUUUUGAACUUUCAAAAGGCAUGCCCGCGGUUAUGGGCAGAUGGGAAUUUGUUAAUGUCCGGUUGUAGAGAACUUCACACUUAACUUAAUUAAAAUGCAUCAACUCCGUGUGUAACCGUGAUGGUCUCUUCUUGGCGGGGUCCGGGAAGUGAACACAGUGUUGGAGUUAUGCUUGAACGUAAGUAGUUUCAGGAUCACUUCUUGAUCACUUCUAGUUCAUGACCGUGCCUUGCCUUUCUCUUCUCGCUCUCAUUUGCGUAUAUUAGCCACCAUAUAUGCUAGUGCUUGUUGCAGCUCCACCUCACAUACCUUUUCCUACCCAUAAGCUUAAAUAGUCUUGAUCGCGAGGGUGUGAGAUUGCUCAGUCCUCGUGACUCACCGAUUACUUCCAAAACCAGUUGCAGGUGACGCAAUCGAGCUCAAGGAGGAGCUCGAUGAAGAUCUCGAUCUUUGUGUUGUUUCAUCUCAGUUGAUCAGUAGUGGAGCCCAGUCGGGGCGAUCGGGGAUCUGUUGCAUUAGGGGUAGUCUUCUUUUAUUUUGGUUCCGUAGUCGGACAUUGUUUGUAUCUGGAUGAUGUAAUGCUAUAUUCAUGUAUUGUGUGAAGUGGCGAUUGUAAGCCAACUCUGUACCUCUUUCUUAUUCAGUACAUGGGAUGUGUAAAGAUUACCCCUCUUGCGACAUGCCUACAAUGUGGUUAUGCCUCUAAGUCAUGCUCCGACACGUCGGAGACAUAGCCGCAUCGUGGGUGUUACAAGUUGGUAAUCAGAGCCUUCCCCGACUUAGGAGCCCCCUGCUUGAUCGAAUCGUUGGCGUUGUUGAGUCUAGAAAAAUGUUUUGAGUCUUUUAGGAUUAUAUAUAUAUCGGAGAGUAGGAUUCUUUUUACUACUCAGUCCCUUUGUCGCUCUGGUGAGGCAUCCUGAUGUAGAGUUCUGACUCUCUCUUCUCAAAUUUAACUAAAAAAAUUUAGGAGGUUUUGCGACAAGAACAUUGUUCUGGGUGCCUCCUGACAUUUAGGGGUUGUGGCAGUGUCCCAGGGAGUUGAGCUCCGAGGUGUUGUCGUCACAAUUUUAUCGUUGCACUUCUGGAAUACCUGAGUUUCGUCGGCAUCGAAAAUCUCUUUUAUGCAGUUGUUGGUGAGAUAACCUCGAUGCCACCCAGUACUGGGGCGGGAGUUCGGGAGUAUUACCAUAACUCGUAUAACAGAUGCUUUUCGAAGGUUGAGGUAAAUGAUUUCCGAAGGAUUCUUGGUUAUGUGUUGAAGGAUGGAUACAGCUGGAUGUAGGAUUUGUUAGUUUUGGGUGAGAUUUUAUGCUUCCCCUGUAUCCCCAACACCUGAUUGCAUAACCAGAAAGUUUUGGGAGUUUAUAAGUGGGAAUUCAAGUAGCUCCAAGGAUAUCUUUCCGACAGAUGUAUGAUAUGAAAUUGGGGUUCGACGUCUAGUGGUCCGCCUAUCCACGGUUGGUUUUACAGUGGUCUUGUUGUGCCUUAAAGAGUCCUUGGCUAUGCUGACUCGGGGACGCUUCGAAUGUCAUGUGCACUGCCUUGUACAUGAUGGUGUUGUACGAUCGAGCCCGUGUGGGCCCCACCACGAAAACUUGGAUGAAAUCUCUAUCAUAUGUUUGUUCCGGCUUAUUCUGCAAGCCAAUCCUUGUUUUUGUUUUGAGUUGUGGUAUUCGAGUUGCUUCAGUCAAAUGUUGAUUUCAUACCUUUCCUAAGCGGUGUUCUCGUGUUCCUAUGUGAAUACUAAUCCUUCUCGAUCACCCAGUUUGUCAUGUCAAUUCUUGUCAACCGAUGUGCUUCUCUUCUAGUGGAUCCGAUCAUUCCUAUAUUCGCGAGAUCAAUUCUCAGUUCUUUGCAACGGUGUUUGCUUCAUCCAUCCCAAGUUGCCUUUGUCUUUUCCCGCCCUGCCACCCUUUUUCCCCAAGGACUCAGAUCUCUUAAUCUAGUAUCCAUCUUAUUGAUGCAAAGUCUCUCCAUUCUUUUCCGUCAAUGUUCUUAUCUGGUGAUUCUCAUGAAGAUGUUAUACAAGUUAUCAUUCUUCGUUCUCUUUUCUUAUCCGGUGGAUCCAAAUUCAAGCGUUAUUGAUCAUAUCCUUUUCCUCGUUUCAAAUACCUUCUCAUGUCGGUGCUCCUCAUAUUCAUUCAUUUCUCGCAAUUCAAUUAUUCUGGAGUGCUCAAGAUAUCUCGAAGAUUCGUGUUUCCACUCUGCAUUCGUUCAAGAUCUUUCGAGGAUGUUCUCUCAUUCAAGCCAUUUAAUUUAACCGGUGCAAGCUCUCUUUUCAAGCAAUCGUUCAACAGUGUUUCUUUGAGUGGUCCCUAACCCACAGGUCUUUUUCCAGGAUCUUACCUGACUCUUCUAAUUUUACCGGAGUUAUUUCUCAAAUCUUUCAAAGUUUGACGUAAGAAUGAAUUAUCAUCAGUCUUAUGUAUUUUCUCCAUGAUCUGUCAAAUUCUUUUCAUCGUUGGCUCAACCUUUCUAUUCGUCAUCCCGGAGUAUCUCAACAAUUUGGUGGUGUUUCUCGUCGUCAUUCUCUGCUUUUGAAGACCGAAGAAGUGUUUCCUCUAAAUCUUGGUCCGUUCUCUUGAAGAUUCAUGGCUCUAGCUUUGUGUUAUCCUCUCAUAAUUGUUUUCGAAUGUGAGAAUUCUUUUCACCUUUCCAGAGCAAUUCAUGAGUCUUUUCAGUUCAAUUGCCUGAAGGCCAUCAUUUUGGGUUAUUCAUUCUCAGCCUUCAGCUCUCGUUCUCCAAAUCUGACCGGUGCUUCGCUCAAGUAUUCUCCUAUCAGUUCUUGAUCUAUUUGUUCUCUUGUAUCUAAACUCUCUCAUGCAUUUUCGUGCAUUUGCUAAUUCUUACCGGUGAUUCAUCCCUUUACUUCAUUCAUUUAUAAUUCUUAUGGUGGUUCGUACAAGAUUUCUUCUCCUUCGUUGUCAUACAGAUUCAUUCGUUCUUCAUCCUACCGGUGGAUCAUCGAAGACCGUCUCAAGUUGCGCUAUAUCUAUCUUAAUCCUUUCUACGAGAAUAAGUAGUAUGCCAAAUCCGUUGGUUGUCAUCAAUCUAAAUUGGUGAAGGAUAAGCAUAACAUAAUUCUUAUUCUUGAUUCACCCAAAGGAUUAAUUCUUUAUUCCGGAGGCUCAUCAAAUUCUUGAUUUUCUUUUGUUCAUCUUUUCUUUCUCGGAGCUCCAAGCUCUAAUUAUCAUGGAGAUCCAUCUAAAUCAUUACAAGGUUUCACCUUGUGUUUUCAACUUCACUUUCCUUUCAUUUGAUCAUUCUUUGUUAUCGGAGUUCUUCAUGGAGACACUACAUGUUGGUUCAUAAAGGAUUUAAUUCCUUCUCGAAGUGUUCAUCAAGAUUCUUUUCAGAGGAGCUCAAGCAUUCUUCAUCUUGCAAUCCGGAGUGCAAUUCUUUCUACCAUAUCAUUGGAGGUGGUAUUAUGUCAUUCUUGAUAAUUUGAGUUCAUAUUUCAUGAUUCACAUGUUGUUAAGAAUGAGGUAUUUUAAAUCCAUCAAUCUCUUCGUUGGAGUUAUCUUGUGUCAUGUUUCACCUAAGCUUUCCCUAAGGAUUGUUGCUAUUUAUGGUGCUCAUAAAUGACCCAAGUUCUUCAUCUAUCCCCCCGGUGAAAUAAGUUUCUCAUCUUCUUAUUCAUAUCAAUCCAAUCUAUUGUUUUCAUUAGUGGCAGAAUUUCACCUCAUAAUUUCGAAAUGUUCUCCAUAAGCCCACUACAACCUUGUUCUUUUCGUUGUUGGUUUUCCAACAACUCUGCUCGAACUUUCCCCUAAAGAUGAUUUUCAAGAUCAUUUGAGGUAGAAGAUAUUGUUUUCUCCUUCGUCCAUUUCAUUCCAUUCUUUCAUUUCUUCCGGAGGCUUUGUGAUAUUGCUCUUUUCAAUCAUCAUCUCGAAUUAUGAGGAUCAUGUUCUUUCCUUGCUUAUCCUUUUAUCCGGAGUGUUGUGCCCUCUACUCAAGUUCUUUUCGCCUUAUCAAGUCUUGCUUCUCUUUUCAGUCGGAGUGCUUCCCAAAUUAUAUCAUUCUUAUUCCUUCUCUAUCUUGUUUUAACCGGAGUGGUUCCAAUAUCUAUCUUGGCUUUUAACCUCAAAGUUUCUCGUAAUGUCCCUUGUUCCUCUUUUCUAACGGAGUCUUUUCAACUUCAUUCAUCUUUGUUGUAUUCCUUUCUCGAGAUGGUUUAACCUUUCAAGGUUCUUUGGUUUCACUCAUUUGUCAAAGAAGCAACUUAGUUUUACCUCUCAUCUUCCUCUUCCUUUUCCCUCCGGUGUCAUUCUAAAUCUCGAGACGAGAUCCUCUCGUAGUGGUGGAGUGUUGUAACGCCCCGAGACCGUUGCGCCAGGUGUCUUCCAGUUAUUCGCUGUUGUUGCCUUGUCAUUUUUUUGCGUGUCAUGCUUUUCAUAUCAUGUCAUCAUGUGCAUCGCAUUUGCAUACAUGCUCGUCUCAUGCAUCCGAGCAUUUUUCCCAGUUGUCCGUUUUGCAUUCCAGCGCUCCUACGUCCUCUGGCGUUCCCUUUUGCCUCUUUUCGUGUGCGGGUGUUAAACGUUCUUAGAUUGGACCGAGAUUUUCCAAGUGGCCUUGGUAUACUACUGGUAGACCGCCUAUCAAGUUUCCUGCCAUUUAGACUUCGUUUGAUACUCUAACGGUUAACCGAGGAACCGUAUAGGCCUUGUGUGUGUUGCAGCCCAACACCCUUCCAAAGUGUCCCAAAACCCACCUAAACCCCCUCCAUCCUCUCGGUCGUUCGAUCACGAUCGCGUGGCCGAAAACCGCACCUCAUUUGGACUCUCCUAGCUCCCUCUACCUAUAAAUAUGUGUCUCCCUCCGAAAUUCUCGCGCAGAUAAACCCUAACCUUCGUCCACCUCGCGCCGCCAGACAAAUUUGUCCGCGCCGGACAUGUCCGCCCUCCACAUCACUCCGGCCAAUCCCGUCAUGCCACCUCAGCAGGACCGCCGGUCCUGGCCAAUGGCAUCGCGCCACCUGUCCCCGCCGCCCUUCUCUCUCCUCCCCACCGUGCCACGGCCCGUAGAGCCCACAGCCGGCCCGCGUCGGGCNNNNNNNNNNNNNNNNNNNNNNNNNNNNNNNNNNNNNNNNNNNNNNNNNNNNNNNNNNNNNNNNNNNNNNNNNNNNNNNNNNNNNNNNNNNNNNNNNNNNNNNNNNNNNNNNNNNNNNNNNNNNNNNNNNNNNNNNNNNNNNNNNNNNNNNNNNNNNNNNNNNNNNNNNNNNNNNNNNNNNNNNNNNNNNNNNNNNNNNNNNNNNNNNNNNNNNNNNNNNNNNNNNNNNNNNNNNNNNNNNNNNNNNNNNNNNNNNNNNNNNNNNNNNNNNNNNNNNNNNNNNNNNNNNNNNNNNNNNNNNNNNNNNNNNNNNNNNNNNNNNNNNNNNNNNNNNNNNNNNNNNNNNNNNNNNNNNNNNNNNNNNNNNNNNNNNNNNNNNNNNNNNNNNNNNNNNCGCGCCGCCACCCGCCAUCUUCCCGCCGGCCACCGCUGCCACUCACCACGGGCUCGCCGGAGAUGGCCCGCCUCUCCGGAGUCCACCUCGCCACCAGAGCCGCUGGAUCCUCGCUGGAGUUCGAGUCCGGCCAGAUCUGGACCGGGUUGGAUCAGAUCCACCACCUCACUGAUCCAAACGGCCUCCCUCGUCCUGGAUCUCCUCAUCCCGCUCUGUCUCAUCCCGCGUUGACUUUUUGGAGGUCUAUUUUUCUCGAAGUCCCCAGAUCUGCAUAUUUUCGAGCCCUGUUCAUUGCAUCAUAACUGUGCCAUCGUAGCUCCGUUUCAUGCGUGUGGCAUAUCAAAUUGUUCGUCUCGAUGUCCUCUUCAUUUCAUUCCAUUGCACCAUGCCUAUUUCAGUCCAUAUUGAUGCCCUAAAUGUUGUUGCAAGAGUGCUAUAAAAUGUUAGGUUAUGAUUCUUAUCAGAUCUUGGACAUUUUUCAUUUUUGCCAUGAUUAAUGUGUGCAUCCUAUGAACUUGAGCCCUACAUGUGUUUUGAUGUAUGCCAUGCCAUCUUUAUAGGGGUGUAUGCCAUGUAUUUUUGUGAUCAAUGUGGUGACUAGCACAAGCAUGCAAAGUAGCUCUCGUGAUGUUGCUGAUUUCGGGGACUUUGUCGGUGUCAAAACUGGCGGAUCUUGGGUAGGGGGUCCCGAACUGGGCGUCUAAGGCGGAUGGUAACAGGAGGUAGGGGACACGAUGUUUUACCCAGGUUCGGGCCCUCUUGAUGGAGGUAAAACCCCACGUCCUGCUUGAUUAUUCUUGAUAAUAUGAGUAGUACAAGAGUUGACCUACCACGAGAUCGGAGAGGCUAAACCCUAAAAGCUAGCCUAUGGUAUGAUUGUCUGUUGUCCUACGGACUAAAACCCUCCGGUUUAUAUAGACACCAGAGGGGGCUAGGGUUACACAAGGUCGGCUACAAAGGAGGAGAUAUACAUAUUCGUAUUGCCUAGCUUGCCUUCCACGCCAAGUAGAGUCCCAUCCGGACACGGGAUGAAGUCUUCAAUCUUGUAUCUUCAUAGUCCAACAGUCCGGCCAAAGGAUAUAGUCCGGCUGUCCGGAGACCCCCUAAUCCAGGACUCCCUCAGUAGCCCCUGAACCAGGCUUCAAUGACGAUGAGUCCAGCGCGCGGUGUUGUCUUCGGCAUUGCAAGGUGGGUUCCUCCUCCGAAUACACCACAGAAGAGUUUGAAUACAAGGAUAGUGUCCGACCCUGCAAAAUAAGUUCCACAUACCACCAUAGAGAGAGUAAUAUUUCCACAAAUCCAAUCUGCUGACACGUUUUGGCAGCAUGACAUCAUGCCAUGGCCCGGUAAUUAUUCGAACCGUUUUUCCUUAACCAGCCCCGCACAUAACGUGAGGCAGUUUCUUGACACGUCUUGUCAAAGUAGAGACCGUGUUCCCCUUAUUACGGGAUUCUCAUCAAUAUGGAUGUGGGUAACCCAACCGCGCCAUCAAUUACGGCGCUUGGGGGAUAAGCGAGUUUUACCAGGCAAGUGGGGGCGUAUAGUUUAGCCCGCCCUUAUAAAGGGAUAAGACCUCACCUUUUUCUACCCAUGCUUUCUUCCUCCUUGCUCAUCCAUUCUCGCGCACUCGAGCUCCAGCGCCCAAGUCCGCAUCCUCCUCCUCAACUCUCUCCAAAACAUGUCCGGAGCGGGAGGCAAGUGGAUGGCCUCCUCCGUCACGGAGGGGCACAUCAAAAAGUUGCACGGAGCUGGAUAAUUAGCCGCAGACAUCACGCACCGGCUGCCAGCCGCGGGGUAGGUCAUCCCUACCCUAGAACCUCACGAGAGGGUGGUCUUCCUCCCCCACUUCGUCCGUGGACUAGGGUUUCCCCUCCAUCCAUUUUUCCGCGGCCUCGUGUUCUAUUAUGGGCUGGACUUUCAUGAUCUGGCCCCGAACUUCAUCCUCAACAUCUCGGCUUUCAUCGUCGUGUGUGAGGCCUUCCUCCGCAUCCGAUGUCAGGACCCCAAUUCCAAGUCACAUCGAUCUAGCCGGUAACACCUCAUAUCACUUUGCGGCCUCACGCACGGUAUUCCCACGGGUGUUGCCUUACCAUGGCCCGGGACCAUUUGUGCCUUUUGGCUCACGUAUAUGACAAUGUCGCUAGCAUCCAUAUGACAGAGAACCCGGGCCAACAUAACUAGUCAUGAAACCAAAGUGGCACUAACUUACGGGGACGGGCAUACAUGAAUCAACAUCGAGCAUGUCGGUCAACAGCGUGCGAAUCUGGGCUGUAGCACUGGGCUAACAGGACUCCGGUGAACCGGGCUGUAGUAGGCUAGGCAGGACUCUGGAUGUCACCGCGUGACAUUUCCCCGAAGGGACAGACACAGGAACAAAGUGAAUCACAUGCCGGCCAGUCAAGUGUUCUGGAGCAGUAGUGUUGGGCUAGCAGGACUCCGGUGAACCGGGCUGUAGCGGACUACUAUGGCUCAUGGAAGCACAAGACUACAUUUCCCCAUAAGAGAGGCUACUAAGGAUAAACAACUAGGUUAUCGGAUCCCACACAUACCAAGCAUUUCAAUCAUACACACAAUAUGCUCAAUAUGUGCAAUACAACAUGGCAUCACAACGAGACUCUACGACUCAGAGUAUUUAUUCAUUAGGCUCCGAGGAGCCAAGAAUUACAAACAUGGGUCUCAUGACCCAACAUUCAGAGCAUACAAGCAACAAGCACAUGCGGAAGCUUAACUUGUCUGAGUACAGACAACUACAAAUGAAGAAGGCUCAGAAGCCUAACUAUCUACAAGACCCUCCCAAGGGUACAAGAUCGUAGCUAAGGUAUCAAGCUAAACGUCGAAGUCCACACGGAACUACUAGCGAGACUGACGUCUCUGCAAAACAUAAAAUAGGCAAACAUGAGUACAAAUGUACCCAGCAAGACUUACAUCAGAACUAUCUACAUAUGCAUCGAUAUCAACAAAGGGGUGGUGGAGUUUAACUUCAGCAAGCCAGCUUUGACUCAGUGGCUAACCUGAACUACGACUGCAAGUAACUCUUUUGAGGAGGCGCACACGAGUCCACAUAUUCACCAUAUCAAUACUCCACUAUGGAUCCGCUCCUAUCUCUGUACGAGAAGGCCAUCCAUAGCACUCACGUUUAUCUUUCGCAUUUUAGAGUAUCCACUUUCACUUGUCUAUGAACUAUGCAAGGGGUUCAAGUUUCCAUAUCCGAGGAAUCCGUCUAUUCGAAUAGAUAAUGAUAACCCUGCAGGGGUGUACUUCUUCACACACGCUCUCGCCACUUACCACCAUGUACACAACGUGUAUCUCGGCAACCUUCAAGCGGAAGCCUGGCGAGGGAGUCGGCCAUGACCUGACUAACCAACAAGUCUCUAGUCCAGGUUUAUCGCCUAUUCGGGUUCCAUCCGCAAGGAGAUCCGGCCGGGGUGUCGCUCACGGCCCCAAAUGAUGUGUGUAGGGUUCCCAAAGCCACCAUCCGGGUGCCACUUGGUACACCGUGCCACUGUGCCUAGUCUGUCCCAAGCCCACCUGUACCGGGUGCCACUUGAUAGACUACUAACACUACCUACAAACACCAGAAACUAGUUGCAACUCCUGGACAGAGAUCGAGUUGAUUAAUAAGUCAAGAGGUGCACUUAAGCAUUCCAAUGCGUGGUAGUAGCUGUUCAUGGAUCACAAACACAGAACUCAGUUCCUAAGGACGGCUACAAUGAGAAAACCCACCAUGUACUCCUACAUGGCCUCUCAUCGCUACCUUUACCAAAUCGUGUUCACACACUUAGCUCACACACAGUAGGACAUGUUCAACACCAUUCCAAUUCAUCCCCGAUGAAUCAGACCUGACUCAACUCUAAGCAGUAGCAGGCAUGGAAAACAAGCAUGAAUGAGUAGGCACAUCAGGGCUCAAACAACUCCUACUCAUGCUAGUGGGUUUCAUCUAAUUACUAUGGCAAUGACAGGUCAUGCAGAGGAGAGGGGGUUCAAAUACCGCAGCAUGUAACAGUUGAAACAUUGUUGUCCUAAUGCAGUAAAAGAGAGCAGGAGCGAGAGAGUGGUAUUAUAUCAGGAUGAACAAGGGGGUUUUGCUUGCCUGACACUUCUGAAGAGGAACACACUUCAUCGGUGUCAUCAUUCUCGUCGCCGGAACAUACGUCUACCGAGGGGGAACAAACACCUGCAAACAAGAGGGAACACAAUCAAUGCGAUGCAACAAUAUGAUGCAUGAUCAUGACAUGGCAAUAUGCUGUUAUUUGGGCUAAUGCAACAUAAAGUCAUCUUAAUUGAAGUGGAAUUCAAACUAUAUCAAAUUCCAACUCCAAAUCUAUUAUGAAAAUUUGCCCUAAUCAUGUUUCAUCCUAAACGGUGAGGUUAACUUGCUCAAACAUGCAUGAAAAUGGUACAGAUGGAUUCCUUGAAUUUUUCUGAUAAUUUUUCAUAUAUAAAUUAUUUCAUUUGGAGUUAUAGAUAAUUUUCUAUGAUUUUUAGAAGUUUUGGGCAUUUUCUGGAAUUUCCUGAAUAAACUUAAAUCCAGAAAAUUAUUUAUAGCAUCAGCAUGAUGACUGCACGACGUCAGCACGUCAACAACGCUAGUCUAGGUCAAACCUGACGGCUGGGACCCACAUGUCAGUGUCUCAGGGCUGCUUUGGGUGGAUGACAGGUGGGCCCGGUCAGCGCUGACUAGCCAUGGUGAGCGCUGACACGUGGGGUCCACGGCAUUAGCACUAAUCUAACAGAAAAAUUAGACUAACCUAAUUAGGCUCAGGGGCCCACAUGGCAGUGGCUCAAGGGGGUUUUUAGAGUGGUCAUUAGCAGCUAAUGAGACUGCCACGGCAGCUCGCCGGAGCUCAACGCAGACGACCUGGGAACGCGGCGGUGAUGAUCGGAACGGCGGCUCCGGCGACCAAAUCGAUGGCCGAGCCCAUCUACGAGGAGGUGGGGCUCGUGCGCAUCCAACGGUGGCAGGGGGAGGGCGCGAGGUAGCCGGAGUUGACGACGGCGAGCACUUGGGCGGUGGCCGGAGAUCGGGCGUCGGCGGAAACGACACUACAGCGAAUGGCAGGAGCAGUGGGUGGGGGUUUUGGGCUUUUGGAAUCGCGCUGAGCAUGGUGGUAUGCUUAGACGCGACGUGCGUGAGCUCUAGCCACGGCGGCGACACAGCCGGCGGCGACGGGUUCUCGGGAUCGACAGAGGCGACGGCUACGUGGCGAGAUCGAGCUCGGGGAGAGAGAGGGGAGGCGUAGGAGCUCACGGUGGAGAGGAAGAGGUGGUCAGUGAGCUCGGAGGCGACCGGAGUUCAACGAAUCGGGCGACGGCGACCGGCGGGUCCGAGGUAGAAGAUGAGCUCGAAGGCGUCUCUUCAAGGCGUCCGGGCUCGUGGGACUGGGCGUAGAGGUGCGCCGCAGCGAGACGGUGCUCGUGGGCUAGCUGGCUUGGCGUGGGCAGGUCGGUGGCCACGACGAACGGCGACGGUGGCGACGGCUCUGUUCGGUGGUGCUGCGGGAGAGAGCAGAGGAGGGGAGGGGCGACCAGAGGGGAGGGGAGUGGACGAGGGGGGUCAGGGGGUGCCUGGCAAUGCCAGGGCGAUGGGGAGACAGGCAGGGAGGCAGGAGGUGGCCGGCGCGUGCCAGCGCGCGGCGAGCACACGCCCUCCUGCCUACUGGCAGGAGGUUGAAGACGGUGGGGGCGCCUGCUGGGCUGGGCCGCAGCUGGGCCGCCAGGUAGGUUAGGUAGGUGGCCUAGUGGCCUUUCGUUUUUCUUUUGUUUCUGUUUUUCUAAUUUUGCAAUUUGUUUUUGUUUUAGCAAAAACACCAAAUCAUUUCUAUAAAUCCUGAAAUUAAUUAUGGGCAAUAACUGAACUUUCUCAGAGGCCCUUAGCUAUUUCCAGAAUUUCUGGAGCAUUUAAUAAUAUUUAUAGCAAUUAAAUGCCCCAAUUCAAGUACUUUAUGAAUUAGUUCAAUUAUCGAGAAUGGCCUAAGAAUAUUUGCAUCAUUUUUGGCAGAGGUUUUCACCUUUAACAAAAAUAAUGAACAUUUUCAAAGGCAUUUUGGAAUCAUUGAAGAUUAUUUUAGGUUGAACCUAUUUGACUUGAUCUGGUGCUAGGGUUUCAACAAUCACCCAUUUCAACUUUUGGAAUAUAGACAUGAUGCACACAUGAAGCUAGCCUAGAGCAUUACCAGAAGCUAGGGAUGUGACAGCUCACCCCUACUAAACAAGAAUCUCGUCCCGAGAUUCAAGCGUAGGGUAAGAUGAUGGGGGAACGCAACUAACGCAAUCCUCACGAUCCAGGUUGCACUUCAAAUGAAUGUUGAUUCAAUCACCAUCUUUGUCUCAAUGUCUUGCCCCGAGAACUCGAACUAACAUGACAAUGAGAGGAGAAGGAAAACUCGAGAGGGAUCGAUCUUAUCGAAGGUCGAACAACUCAGGAUCAACUCACGGAGUGAGACAUUGAAACAUCUCUCGAGCUGAGACACAAAACAUACAUUUGGAGGGAUGGAGUGGAACAGAGAACGAGGAUUCAAGUUGAUAAGCACAAUUCCACGCUGAAUAAGAUGGUGCAUGGCUUCAAAGUAGCAAGGAGUUAAUUGCCAUGACUCCAUAACGGGGCACCUUAGGGAAGGUGGCUUGUAGAAUUAUUCCCUUAAGUGGCAAAAAGAAUUACUUUUGACACAUAGAUCAUUGAAACUCUUUAUAGCAGCCUAAGGCAAUCACAAUCGAUCAUUUGAAGAAGUUCGAAAGGAUGGCAUACUCAGACUAGAAUGGAUGAUGUGGACUACCUUGUUGAAGACAACGCAAUGGAUGAUUUUGCUCAUCAUCGAAAAAUGGAUGGAACCCAUGGUAGUACAACUUCUGAAGAUGAUCCUGAAUAAGAAUUACUAAGAAGGCAGCCCAUAGUAAAAUGGCACAAAGACGGGUGCAAGCUGGGAACAAAAUGUAAAUGCUGGGAAUGUUCCAACCAUCAUAUCUGCCUGAGAUUCAGAUCUGGUUGGCAACGGGAUAUUUCAGAUGUCGUUUCUAGAAAAGAAAGUUUGCAACACAAACCAAGGAGAUGAUGUUGCGAGAUUCUCGGUAAAUGAACUAUGAUGGCAAUCUCCAAAACAUGAGCUGGUUCUGCUACAACAUGUGAACACGUUGUCCCAAACAAGUAUGACCACAUAGUAGUCUUAUAAUAAAACACUACCGAGUCCUGGUGGGGAACCAUCAUUGAGGAUAUCGAAAUCUUGUGCAUGACCUAGGAUAGCACAACAACUCCUUUUCCUGGAACAGGUCAAUCAGUGGCUUAGUGUGCUAUGGAAUUCAUAUGGAAUGAAGAUGAUCAAUCUAUUCAGACCAUGGAAUACUUCGCACGUGCAUGACUGACUUGGGAUGAUUCCAGAGGAAGCAAAACUAACUUUCUCAAACUCACGGCGGCAACUUGCACCAAAUGCACGUGAAUCAGAGGAAGUCACUUCUUUCAUCCAACAUAUGCUUCAUGAGCUAGCAUGAAGAGAUGCUUUCAAAAGUUUCCAACACUCGCUUAAUGUUCGACAAAAUCAUAGAGAGGACAUGGAUGUUGUCGAUGGGCUCUACAACAAUUCACCCAGGUUUCCAUAUAAAUGGAAUUCCAUAAUUAAGUGAACACGGUGAUAGCAUUGGUCAGACCCAAAGAAUAUAAUGAUGUAUGCUCGAGGAAUCAACCACGAGUAAGACAACAUUACGAAUAUUGUUGGUUCUAAUUUGAUUUGACGAUAGCCCACACUCAAAUCAAAGUUUGGGUAAGACAAUAGCACCGACAAUUGAUCACGAGAAUCAAUUGAUGAAGAUAUCAUCUUUCUUCAACACACAUGCACACCAAAUAUAUCCCUUAGAGAUGAACUAACUCAGACAAAGCUUUAUCUUCCAACUCUCCAAGUUGUUGUUCAGCUUAUGCAACUAGCUCAGGGGGUAUCCAACACAGAUUCUUGGAGAAGGGGUGGUUUGCAAGAAACCAACUUAAUCACGAGCUCAACAUAACAGUCAGGGAACAACCAGGUGAUACUUUCGAGAAGAUAAUCAGAAAAUCACGAACCACCGAUAUGUUAUUAAACUCGAGAACAAUCUUGCUUUUCAGGGCAAGACAAUAUGAUCAAAUAAGCGAGGGGUUGGCACAAUCCCAACUCAUUGAUCGAAGUGUGCACCAGAAAUAUUGACUAGGUAGCACGAUCAAUCUUAGGAUAAUGAUUCAAUAACCAACACGCUAAGAAUGAGAAUACUGUCCAUUUACUGCAAAGCAACGAGUUGCUCGGAGUAUUUAUUUCACACAUCACAAUUCACUUGUCGGCAUUCCGGUUACAACAACAUGGGAGCCAAGGAAUGAAUAAUGAUGGCAAGAAGUAUCACUGUAUCAAGAGUUCAUAGGAUGGUGUGCAAUUUCCAUGACAUUCUUGAUAUAAAGAUGGUAAUACUCCAAGGUAGAACAGAAUCAAAGGCUAGAUUGGCAUUUGAUUUGCGGAUUACAACCGCUUUGACCCAAUCCUGGAUAUGGAAGAGGUACUGGAGUUUGUUUCUCCUGGUCAUUCUGGAAUAGAAUGGCUUGACGAACCACAAGAGUAAUAGGCAUCGAUAACACGAGUGCACGACUACUCCUAACUAUCAAUUGAUAGAUGAAGGUCGGAAUAUAACUGAAGGGGGACAACUCAAAGGAACAUAUAACUUUCUGAGUUGUGGAUGCAUAGAGUAGUAUGUCGAACGAGUUCAACAUAUUUCUUCCGGAUAACCCAUGCAGAAAGGUAGAACUAGCAGAAUCACAAUUAUGAAUGGAGAACUCCUCAGGAGUACUCUAAUGGUGAUCUUUUGGUUCAAAGAACUUCUGCCUUAAUGGUUCAUGGUAUUUGGAAGAAGGAAAUACCACGGACCUCGAGGACUAAUGCAAAGGUUACUAAUAUCCUAAAGGAACUAGCAACACUAUCGACAUGAGGUAAGUAGGGUGAAUCUCGGGUUCAAAACCCAGGAGUAGAAUGCCUACUACUAAAUGGCAUCAACGGAUGCUUUCGAGAAUGGUGGCCAGAAUCAUCACACCUGGACACAAAACAUGGCUAUAUUACUAGGUGACUCCCUCAAACACCUAGGGUCACAAUAAUAGAUCCAAUAUAUAUACCGAGGCAAUGGAUUACCUCAACUUACCGACUAGUGUGGUUAAUCUGGCUCAAAGGAACACCGGGAACGGGAAGGAAGGAUUUGCAAAUGCAUCAGACUAUUUAGAGACCUGGGAUGACUCGGACAGCAUAACGGCUGUAAUUGCUCAAAAAGAUUUGAGACAACCUGCAAAAAUGGUGGCAUAACCACUCAACAUCACAAUAUCAAGGUUCUGAGGCCAGCUAUGAACAUAUGGAAGUAGUAGGAACUGAACUGAGGCUUAAACUCAACAAUCCUAGGCAACUACGGUUUAGUAACACGACAUCCUGAGAGAUAGAAGAGAAGCCUAGUUCUUAACCCCUUAGAAAAGAUAAGAUGACUCAGAUCAGAAGGUCAUGAGGAUAAGGAGUAAAAAGAGCCUUAUGUUCCCUUCCACAAUCAAUUCCCUUACAUAACUAAAGCAUUUCUAGACUCAACUUCGAUCGGUUGGCUUGGUAAUCCUACAGGAAGUCAUCCUCUAAUACCAAAGCUGUCAGGACCCCGAUUCCAAGUCACAUUGACCUAGCCGGUAACACCUCAUAUCACUUUGCGGCCUCACGCACGGUAUUCCCACGGGUGUCGCCUUACCAUGGCCCGGGACCGUUUGCGCCUUUUGGCUCAUGUAUAUGACAGUGUCGCUAGCAUCCAUAUGACAGAGAACCCGGGCCGACAUAACUAGUCGUGAAACCAAAGUGGCACUAACUUACGGGGACAGGCAUACAUGAAUCAACAUCGAGCAUGUCGGUCAGCAGCGUGCGAAUCCGGGCUGUAGCACUGGGCUAACAGGACUCCGGUGAACCGGGCUGUAGCAGGCUAGGCAAGACUCCGGAUGUCACCGUGUGACAUUUCCCCAAAGGGACAGACACAGGAACAAAGUGAAUCACAUGCCGGACAGUCAAGUGUUCCGGGGCAGUAGUGUUGGGCUAGCAGGACUCCGGUGAACCGGGCUAUAGCGGACUACUAUGGAUCAUGGAAGCACAAGACUACAUUUCCCCAUAAGAGAGGCUACUAAGGAUAAACAACUAGGUUGUCGGAUCCCACACAUACCAAGCAUUUCAAUCAUACACACAAUAUGCUCAAUAUGUGCAAUACAACAUGGCAUCACAACAAGACUCUACAACUCAGAGUAUUUAUUCAUUAGGCUCCGAGGAGCCAAGAAUUACAAACAUGGGUCUCAUAACCCAACAUUCAGAGCAUACAAGCAACAAGCACAUGCAGAAGCUUAACUUGUCUGAGUACAGACAACUACAAAUGAAGAAGGCUCAGAAGCCUAACUAUCUACAUGACCCUCCCAAGGGUACAAGAUCGUAGCUGAGGUAUCAAGCUAAACUUCGAAGUCCACACGGAACUACUAGCGAGACUAACGUCUCUGCAAAACAUAAAAUAGGCAAACGUGAGUACAAAUGUACCCAGCAAGACUUACAUAAGAACUAUCUACAUAUGCAUCGAUAUCAACAAAGGGGUGGUGGAGUUUAACUGCAGCAAGCCAGCUUUGACUCAGUGGCUAACCUGAACUACGACUGCAAGUAACUCUUUUGAGGUGGCGCACACGAGUCCACAUAUUCACCAUAUCAAUACUCCACUAAGGAUCCGCUCCCGUCUCCCUACGAGAAGGCCAUCCAUAGCACUCACGCUUAUCUUGCGCAUUUUAGAGUAUCCACUUUCACUUGUCUAUGAACUAUGCAAGGGGUCCAAGUUUCCAUAUCCGAGGAAUCCGGCUAUUCGAAUAGAUAAUGAUAACCCUGCAGGGGUGUACUUCUUCACACACGCACUCGCCACUUACCACCAUGUACACAACGUGUAUCUCGGCAACCUUCAAGCGGAAGCCUGGCGAGGGAGUCGGCCACGACCUGACUAACCAACAAGUCUCUAGUCCAGGUUUAUCGCCUAUUCGGGUUCCAUCCGCAAGGAGAUCCGGCCAGGGUGUCGCUCGCGGCCCCAAACGAUGUGUGUAGGGUUCCCAAGCCCACCAUCCGGGUGACACUUGGUACACCGUGCCACUGUGCCUAGUCUGUCCCAAGCCCACCUGUACCGGGUGCCACUUGGUAGACUACUAACACUACCUACAAACACCAGAAACUAGUUGCAACUCCUGGACAAAGAUCGAGUUGAUUAAUAAGUCGAGAGGGGCACUUAAGCAUUCCAAUGUGUGGUAGUAGCUGUUCAUGGAUCACAAACACAGAACUUAGUUCCUAAGGACGGCUACAAUGAGACAACCCACCAUGUACUCCUACAUGGCCUCUCACCGCUACCUUUACCAAAUCGUGUUCACACACUUAGCUCACACACAGUAGGACAUGUUCAACACCAUUCCAAUUCAUCCCCGAUGAAUCAGACCUGACUCAACUCUAAGCAGUAGCAGGCAUGACAAACAAGCAUGAAUGAGUAGGCACAUCAGGGCUCAAACAACUCCUACUCAUGCUAGUGGGUUUCAUCUAAUUACUGUGGCAAUGACAGGUCUUGUAGAGGAGAGGGGGUUCAGCUACCGCAGCAUGUAACAGUUGAAACGUUGUUGUCCUAAUGCAGUAAAAGAGAGCAGGAGCGAGAGAGUGGGAUUAUGUCGAGAUGAACAAGGGGGUUUUGCUUGCCUGACACUUCUGAAGAGGAACACACUUCAAUGGUGUCAUCGUUCUCGUCGCCGGAACAUACGUCUACCGAGGGGGAACAAACACCGGCAAACAAGAGGGAACACAAUCAAUGCGAUGCAACAAUAUGAUGCAUGAUCAUGACAUGGCAAUAUGCUGUGAUUUGGGCUAAUGCAACAUAAAGUCAUCUUAAUUGAAGUGGAAUUCAAACUAUAUCAAAUUCCAACUCCAAAUCUAUUAUGAAAAUUUGCCCUAAUCAUGUUUCAUCCUAAACAGUGAGGUUCACUUGCUCAAACAUGCAUGAAAAUGGUACAGAUGGAUUCCUUGAAUUUUUCUGAUAAUUUUUCAUAUAUAAAUUAUUUCAUUUGGAGUUAUAGAUAAUUUUCUAUGAUUUUUAGAAGUUUUGGGCAUUUUCUGGAAUUUCCUGAAUAAACUUAAAUCCAGAAAAUGAUUUAUAGCGUCAGCAUGACGACUGCACGACGUCAGUAGGUCAACAACGCCAGUCUAGGUCAAACCUAACGGCUGGGACCCACACGUCAGUGUCUUAGGGCUGCUUUGGGUGGAUGACAGGUGGGCCCGGUCAACGCUGACUAGGCCACGGUCAGAGCUGACACGUGGGGUCCACGGCAUUAGCACUAAUCUAACAGAAAAAUUAGACUAACCUAAUUAGGCUCAGGGGCCCACAUGGCAGUGGCUCAAGGGGGUGUUUAGAGUGGUCAUUAGCAGCUAAUGAGACUGCCGCGGCAGCAUCACCGGAGCUCAACGCCGACGACCUGGGAACGCGGCGGUGAUGAUUGGAACGGCGGCUCCGGCGACCAAAUCGAUGGCCGAGCCCAUCUAUGAGGAGGUGGGGCUCGUGCGCAUCCAAUGGUGGCAGGGGGAGGGCGCGAGGUAGCCGGAGUUGAUGACGGCGAGCACUUGGGCGGUGGCCGGAGAUUGGGCGUCGGCGGAAAUGACACUACAGCGAACGGCAGGAGCAGUGGGUGGGGGUUUUGGGCUUUUGGCAUCGCGCUGAGCAUGGUGGUAUGCACAGACGUGAUAUGCGUGAGCUCUAGCCACGGCGGCGACACGGCCGGCGGCGACGGGUUCUCCGGAUCGACAGAGGCGACGGCUACGCGGCGAGAUCGAGCUCGGGGUGAGAGAGGGGAGGCGUAGGAGCUCAUAGUGGAGAGGAAGAGGUGGUCAGCGAGCUUGGAGGCGACCGGAGUUCAACAAACCGGGCGACGGCGACCGGCGGGUCCGAGGUAGAAGACGAGCUCGAAGGCGUCUCUUCAAGGUGUCCGGGCUCGUGGGACUGGGCGUAGAGGUGCGCCGCAGCGAGGCGAUGCUCGUGGGCUAGCUGGCUUGGCGUGGGGACGUCGGUGGCCACGACGAACGGUGACGGUGGCGACAGCUCUGUUCGGUGGUGCUGCGGGAGAGAGCAGAGGAGGGGGAGGGGCGACCAGAGGGGAGGGGAGUGGACGAGGGGGGUCGGGGGGUGCGUGGCAACGCCAGGGCGAUGGGAAGACAGGCAGGGAGGCAGGAGGUGGCCGGCGCGUGCCGGCGCGCGGCGAGCACACGCCCUCCUGCCUACUGGCAGGAGGUUGAAGACGGUGGGGACGCCUGCUGGGCUGGGCCAAGAGUGCUGGGCCGCAGCUGGGCCGCCAGGUAGGUUAGGUAGGUGGCCUAGUGGCCUUUCGUUUUUCUUUUGUUUCUAUUUUUCUAAUUUUGUAAUUUGUUUUUGAUUUAGCAAAAACACCAAAUCAUUUCUAUAAAUCCUGAAAUUAAUUAUGGCCAAUAACUGAACUUUCUCAGAGGCCCUUAGCUAUUUCCAGAAUUUCUGGAGCAUUUAAUAAUAUUUAUAGCAAUUAAAUGCCCCAAUUCAAAUACUUUAUGAAUUAGUUCAAUUAUCAAGAAUGGCCUAAAAAUAUUUGCAUCAUUUUUGGCAGAGGUUUUCACCUUUAACAAAAUAAUGAACAUUUUCAAAGGGAUUUUGGAAUGAUUGAAGAUUAUUUUAGGUUGAACCUAUUUGACUUGAUCUGGUGCUAGGGUUUCAACAAUCCCCCAUUUCAACUUUCGGAAUAUAGACAUGAUGCACACAUGAAGCUAGCCUAGAGCAUUACCAGAAGCUAGGGAUGUGACAUCCGGCCCCACUUCAGCCUGUGGCUAAAGACCUUCAAUAUCAAGCCGAAGGUGGUGGGCAGCCAACAAGCGGAAUGCGGCGGAGCCAUUGUGGGCAAAAUGCCCAACGUUGCAUGGCUCGAGGGCUCCUUCGUGGAGACCGUAAAGGGGUGGCAAACAGGGUGGUUCUACAUCACCGAGCCGUGCGACACCAACUGGGUGGCGGCCCCCGAGUUUCGAUCCGGAAUCCCAACGCAUCUCACUUCCUGGAAGGAGAAGGGCCUGUCCUGGGGUUCAUCAGUGGAGCUGGACGGACACCAGAAGUGUAUCUGGAACAUGACAAGCAAGAAACUUAAGCUUGUCAACAUAGUCCAGGUCAUGCUCUUUCGCCGGAUCCUCCCGUGUCAACAACGGGAUUUCAACUUAUGGGAUUUUGACCCGGCCCGGCACCAGACUCUAAGUGAGCUCUUUGACACGACGCACAAAGAUGUCUGGAGGGUGCUAUUCAAGGGCGCUGAGGUCCCUCCCUUCCUCGCCGAGGACUGCGGGCUAAGCGCGAAGCGCCCUACAAAUCCGGUAAGUUCUGUACAUCUGGUAGGAUAUUUAUUUCCCAUAGCUUAACCACGUGCGGGGUCUGAGCUCCCAUGCCUUUGACAGGACUGGGUGGAGGCAUCGGAGCAGAUUGAUUGUCCGGCCCCUCUGCCCGAAGACACUGCGGACGCUCUCCUGACGGAGAUGCUGACUCCGGCUCCUUAUAAGGUGCCGGAGAAGACCAAGAAGAAGGCCGAGGGAACCCGAAAGAGUUCCCGGCGCCGGGUGGUAUCGGACUCAUCGUCCGAUAAUUCCGCGACGCACUCCUCCAUGAAGACGAGGAGGAAGAUGAAGAUGCUCCCCCUCCAGCCGGGGGAGACAAGAAAAGGAAGGUCGCCCCAACCGGGGAGGCCGAAGGGUCCAAGAAAGGAAGGACUCUCCUUCCGGACUGCUCAACCACCGUCGCCGAAGGCGAAGACGAGUGGCUGCUCAGGGCCAAGCCCCUAGCAAAGUCGUAAGUAUUCGGAUUCUAGAGUAACUCAUAGCAUACCUUUGUCGCACCGCUUCUCCUGACGCCGAAUAUGAUUAUGCAGACCGCCCCAAGCCCGUAUCGACGUAUCCUCAUCGGACGGCUCCUUGGAUUUGUCGGAUAUGGAUAGCGAUCCACUUCCGACCGCCUCGUCCCCUUGCCCUACGGACAAUGCCGAGCUAUUGUCUCAAGGGGCACCGAGCCGGGGGGAGACAGUCCCGGAGGCGCCUCAAGGCGACCUUCCGGACUCCAGGAGCAAAGGGAGCAAGGCUCCCGGGGGCUCCAAGUUCGGCUCUCAGCCGAACACCACGCCGGAACCUCCAAUGGUUCCGGACUCGGGUAGGCGGUUCCCUUCCAAUAGGGGUAAGACGCCCGUGUCGGUGACCUCUGUCCAUCCAGAGGCACCAGACAACCUGCUAGGAGCGCUUCACGGCGCUUCCAUCAAUGAAGAGCACCGCACUAUUAUGAGUGUGGUGAUCAAGAAGGUUCAGUCCGCCAAGAGCGGACUGACUGAAGCCUGUGCUAGCCUUUUAACAGGUUUUGAGGUAAGUAUUUAAUAUAUAGGAAAAAUAUUACCGCAUAGACACUAGCCCCUGAUGCUCUGUUUGGUGUUCUCAAAGAAAAGCCGAAUAGAGGAUCAAAUAAUAUCCGCAGGAGUCUAAAAUAAGUAUGUCUAUAUGCGUAUGCAGGCUUCGCUGCUCACCUCUGCUGCACUGACUGCGGAGGUCGCCGCACUGAAGCAGGACCUUGUGGGGUCCGAGAAAGAGCUCGGCCUUGCCAAGAGGCAACUCAAGGAGAACAGAGGUAAGUAAUACCUUGUCUAUAGAUAUAUAUAUAUAUAUACAAAAAAAAGAUGCAAUUGCAAAAUGACAGGAUCAUCAUGAAUUUUCCAGGGGCCACGACCUAAGUGGUGACCCUAAAGCAAGCGAUGUCCGAGGCCGAAGACAAAGCAGCCAAGGAGCGCACCGAGCGGGAAAAGCACGAGGCAUGGGUGGGCGAGGUGCAGCAAGAGCUCCAAGCUCUCGUGAUGAAGACGAGGCAUUGGAACUUGACUCGAAGAUGCGAGAGUCUGAGCUUGCCGUGGCCCUUGAGAGCGCAAAGAAUGCCAAGGCUUAAGCCCAACAGGCCCUCCAGGAGAUUGAGGUGAUGAGGAAGAUAGCGGCAGGUAAGGCAUUCAAUAUGCAAAGCAAGCAUGUGAAAGUAAAUUACUUGUUACUUACCCGAAUCCGGAGCUCUCCAGGAGCAUUCGCAGAUUUGCCCCACAGCGUCUCGGAUGCUGCAAAGUUUUACCAGGCCGUGGAGGGAAGCUCGACGGAGAAGCUUUUCUGGUCUCAGUAUACUGGGACCGAACACCCGAUGCCUAUGAGAGACCAGCUGAAGCAACUGGUCGAGCUGCACAAGGCGGACGAACAGGCCAUGAGGGGCCUUAUAGUCCGGAUGUGGCCUAGCGACGCCCUUCCCAAAAGCUACUUCAGCCUGGUGAGGUGGCUUGUGGAUGCCUGCCCAUGGCUGGAAGUCAUCAAGCGGUCCGUCUACAUCGAAGGUGCACGCCGGGCUUUUGCCCGUGCGAAGGUGCACUGGGCCAAGAUGGACGCCAAGAAGCUGGUGAAGGAGGGGCCGCCGCGGGGCAAGGAGCAUCGCCACCCCGAGAUGCAUUAUGAGGGUGUCCUGAAGGGUGCCCGUCUUGUAGCGGACGAGUGUGCGAAAGAUGUAAUAUUUGAAUGAACUUGCUCGUGUGAUCCUGUGUUAUGAAAACUUGUUCAUAUGCGCUAUGCAACACUUGUUUGAAUUUAAAAUAUUACCUUUUGUUCAGCUAUUUAUCAAAUCUGAGAGAUGGCUAGUCGUCGGCUUCUGCCCCAUGCCAUGAGUGCUGGGGUGUUCGGGGUAAACCUGAGCACUCUUGUUCCCAUUUUUGGGUCCUUCGAGGGAGGUGCUCAGCACAACGAACAAGGCAAUCGGACUAUAAUGCUUUAUCACUCUCACUUAGCCAUAGAAUUCUAUAAUUUUAAAUUUUGGUGAAGCCCCUAGUAUUCAGAAGGCCGAAUUCGGGGCACUAUACACGCCUUAAGCUGGACAAAGCCGACUCCUCGCUCUAAGCGGCAUAAGUCUUUAGGGACUCGAAACCUCUCGAGCAGCAACCAGUCUCUCGCCUUAUCAUGACAGUCAGUUUUAGCUUUCUCUACUGAGGUGCUUAGCCCAGCAGAACCGGGGCACAAUUGUAGUAGUUCUCCCAAUGCUACCUUAGCCGAUAUAGCGGAACGUAAGGUACCAAAACAUGGGAGCCAGGCAAACCCAACUAUUGACCCAAAACAUGAUCCGGAGCUGAUGCAUAUAAUGUUAUAAGUUCAGGGUGCCGCACUGUCGAAAGUGUUCGGACUUCACAUGCCAUAUUAUGGGGUAUGCUUAAGCCCCUAGCGUACCGGUCAUACCAGAGUGUAUGGGUGCUGGGUGUUAUGAGCAUAUACAUAUAUAUAAAAAGAAGAAUAGAGAAUGCAAUAAUAGUCUAGUGCUAUGCAUUGUUUAUUCAAAAAGGUGCGUUAAAGCAGAAUGAUACAAGUAGCGCGAUAAGCAAAAGGUAGGACUAUUUGACAUGUCCCCUCCAAGGGCAAGCUGAGGAAUGGUAUUAAAGCAAGUAUUUCACUCGUAAUCAUAAUCCACCUGGGAGUUCUGUGGUGCGACGUUGCUUUCUGCCUCCUUGGUUGCUGCAUCAUGUGUCCGGCCAUCAUAUUGCCGGACAGGGUUUCCAGAGAUUAAAGUCCUAAAAGAGAGAAAAAUAAUAAAGCGGGAAGCCCCUAGUGCGGUUAAGCCACGUCUUGGGGCGUGCCGUAGUCGUGCCCCCCUCCCCACCUAUGCCCAUGGUAUUUUCAAUGCGUAAUUAUGUACGCAUGGCACGGAUUUCGCCGUUUGGCUGGUACUGGGGUGGGGGCGCAUUGCUAUGCGAGCUCAGAACGUGCCACGCACUCUUGUUGCCGAUUACUCCGGGCGCGCUUGAAGGUGUCCGGGUCUUGAAUCGCCGAACUGGUGGAGUGCCUUAAUAGGCUGCUUUGCGCUUCUGCUGUGAGGGCCGCAGUGUGCUCCUCCGUACGGAGAGAGCGCUCUGUGUUUCCAUUAACUAUGAUGACCCCCCGAGGUCCUGGCAUCUUGAGCUUAAGGUAUGCAUAAUGCGGUACCGCAUUGAAUCUCGCAAAUGCGGUUCGCCCGAGCAGUGCAUGAUAGCCACUACGGAACGGGACUAUAUCACAGAUUAACUCCUCGCUUUGGAAGUUAUCCGGGGAUCCGAAGACCACUUCCAGUGUGAUUGAGCCUAUGCAAUGGGCCUCUACACCUGGUAUGACGCCUUUGAAGGUCGUUUUUGUGGGUUUGGUCCUUGAGGGGUCUAUACCCAUUUUGCGCACUGUGUCCUGAUAAAGCAGGUUUAGGCUGCUGCCGCCAUCCAUAAGGACUCGAGUGAGGUGAAAGCCGUCAAUGAUUGGGUCUAGGACCAGUGCAGCGAAUCCGCCAUGACGGAUACUAGUGGGGUGGUCCCUGCGAUCGAAGGUGAUCGGACAAGAGGACCAUGGGUUGAACUUUAGGGCAACUAGCUCCAAUGCAUAUACGUCCCUUAGCACAUGCUUCCGCUCCCUCUUGGAGAUGUGGGUUGCGUAUAUCAUGUUCACCGUCCGCACUUGUGGGGGGAACCUCUUCUGUCCUCCGGUGUUCGGCUGCCGGGGCUCCUCCUCGUCAUCGCUAUGUGACCCCUUAUCUUUGUUUUCGGCAUUUAACUUGCCGGCCUGCUUGAACACCCAACAAUCCCUGUUGGUGUGGUUGGCUGGCUUGUCGGGGGUGCCGUGUAUUUGACACGAGCGGUUGAGUAUACGGUCCAAACUGGACGGGCCCAGAGUGCUUCUUUUGAAUGGCUUUUUUCGCUAACCGGGUUUAGAGCCUUUGAAUCCGGCAUUGACUGUCGUAUCCUCGGUAUUGUCGCUGUUAAUGCGGCGCUUGUAUUUGUUACGACGUGACCUGCCAUUGCCAUCCUUGGUAUCCGAAGUACCAUGGUUCUUUGAUAUGUUAUUGCUGCGAGCCAGCCAGCUAUCUUCUGCUGCACAAAAGCGGGUCAUGAGUGUCGUGAGGGCUGCCAUAGAUUUCGGCUUUUCCUGGCCAAGGUGCCGGGCGAGCCACUCGUCGCAGAUAUUGUGCUUAAAAGCUACUAGGGCCUCUACAUCCGGACAGUCGACGAUUUGAUUUUUCUUUGUUAGGAAACGUGUCCAGAAUUUCCUGGCGAUUCCUCUGGCUGCUGAAUUAUGUGGCUCAAGUCAUCGGCGUCUGGUGGUCGCACAUAAGUGCCCUGGAAGUUAUCGAGGAAUGCGGCUUCCAGAUCUUCCCAACAGCCAAUGGACUCUGCUGGCAAGCUGUUGAGCCAAUGCCGAGCUGGUCCUUUGAGCUUGAGUGGGAGGUAUUUGAUGGUGUGUAGAUCAUCACCGCGGGCCAUGUGGAUGUGCAGGAGGAAAUCCUCGAUCCAUACUGCAGGAUUUGUCAUGCCGCCGUAUGAUUCUAUAUUUACGGGUUUGAAACCCUCUGGGAUUUGAUGAUCCAUUACUUCGUCUGUGAAGCAUAGGGGGUGUGCGGCGCCUCUGUACUGGGCUAUAUCGCGACGCAACUCAAAUGAGUCUUGCUCGCUGUGUUCGGCCCGGCCGGACUUACUUUUACUGUAUCCGGCGUGACGAUUAUCGUCUCGCAUAGUGGCGCGCCCUCGUGAUCCGUCGAUCGAUCUUGCAUGUUUUGCUUUGUCCUCCAAUACGUCUCGCAGGUGUGGCGUAUUUCCCCAUGCCUUGACAUUUUUAUUUGAGUGGCGUCGGAGUGUGGGCUGAGCUUUUGGCUGAAAUGCCUCUCUGUCACGGCCACGAGGUGGCCGGUCAGCCGCAUCAUAUGCCGAAGAUGUAGGUUUGAGUGCUUCCUUCUCCAGUCUGGGUAGCAACCUACGCUUUGGGUAACUCUUGGAGGGGCAUUCGAGUUUAUAUUCCUCGGCCGCAAGGACUUCAGUCCAUCUGUCAGCUAGCAAAUAUUGAUCAGCUUGAAGCUGCUGUUGCUUUUUCUUAAGGCUAUUUGCCGUGGCUAUAAGUCGGCGCUUGAAGCGCUCUUGUUCGACGGAAUCCUCAAGCACGACGAAUUCGUCAUCAUCGAGGCUUGCCUCGUCUUCGGAGGGAAGCAUGUAAUUAUCAUCCUCCGCCUCUCCAUCUGCCGCUCUCUCGGGAGGGCUGGCUUCUCCAUCCUCCUGCCCUAAAUCUUGCUGGAGGGGAUUUUUGUCGUCUUCGGCACUGUCCGGAGUGGUAUUAUCUCCUGUGCCCGUGUCACCGCUUUUGCUUUGGCGAGACUUAGAGCGGCACCGCUGACGUUGGCGCUUGGGUUGCUUCUUGGAGGGGUCAUCCUUCGCUGUCUCGUCGUCAUUGCCUUCUUUGGGUGUGUCCACCAUGUAUAUAUCAUAUGAUGAGGUGGCAGUCUAGUGCCCUAUGGGCAGUGGUUCCUCUUCAUCUCCCGCAUCGUCGUCCAUACCGUCGAUGUCCUCGGAGUCAAAAUCGAGCAUGUCGAUUAAGUCAUCGACAGUGGCUACUAAGUGGGUGGUGGGUGGGCGGCGAAUUUCUUCGUCAUCCGCAUCCCAAUCCUGCCGGACAUAGUUCGGCCAGGACUCUCCUGACAAGGAGAGAGACCUUAAUGAGUUCAGUAUGUCGCCGAAGGGCGGGUGCUGAAAGAUAUCCACGGAGGUAAACUCCAUGAUCGGCGCCCAGUCGGAUUCGAUAGGCACGGGCGCAGGUGGUUCGGAGUCCGUGGCCGGGGAAGGAUCCGGCAGUGUGGCAUCACGGCUCUCAUGAAGGCUAAGGUCGAUAUCCGGCUCGAUCGCCGCUGAGGAUGCGGCCUCCGUGGCGGGGUCUAUCCACCCGUCCAUGGAUGGCGCAACUGGUUUCGAAUUGAGGGUCGGAGCGGUUGCCGAUGCGAUCUCCUAGACACUGUCUGAUGGCAGAGCUAAAUCAUGCUCAUCGUGACCGCGUGGCGCACUAAGCAGGGGCUCGAAUCCGUCGAAGAUCAAGUCUCCGCGGAUAUAGGCCGUGUAGUUUAAGCUUCCAAACCUGACAUGAUGGCCAGGGGCGUAACUCUCGAUCUGCUCCAGAUGGCCAAGCGAGUUGGCCCGCAGUGCGAAGCCGCCAAAUACAAAGAUCUAUCCGGGGAGAAAAGUCUCACCCUGGACUGCAUCACUAUCGAUGAUCGAAGGAGCCAUCAAGCCUAAUGGUGACGACACAGAGGAACUCUCAAUGAAAGAACCAACGUCAGUGUCAAAACCGGUGGAUCUCAGGUAGGGGGUCCCGAACUGUGUGUCUAAGGCGGAUGGUAACAGGAGGCAGGGGACACGAUGUUUUACCCAGGUUCGGGCCCUCUUGAUGGAGGUAAAAACCUAUGUCCUGCUUGAUUAUUCUUGAUAAUAUGAGUAGUACAAGAGUUGAUCUACCACGAAAUCGGAGAGGCUAAACCCUAAAAGCUGGCCUAUGGUAUGAUUGUCUGUUGUCCUACGGACUAAAACCCUCCGGUUUAUAUAGACACCGGAGGGGGCUAGGGUUACACAAGGUCGGUUACAAAGGAGGAGAUAUACAUAUUCGUAUUGCCUAGCUUGCCUUCCACGCCAAGUAGAGUCCCAUCCGGACACGGGACGAAGUCUUCAAUCUUGUAUCUUCAUAGUCCAACAGUCCGGCCAAAGGAUAUAGUCCGGCUGUCCGGAGACCCCCUAAUCCAGGACUCCCUCGGACUUAGAAUUUCACUAAGUCUUUUUCCUGUUGUUAUUUUUAUGCCAUGUAUUCAUGUUGCUACAGAGUGAUCCAUGCCUCUUUUGAGCAUGUUCAGUAAGGAUGAUUUUGAGAUAUUGUUAUGCUCUAUCCAUACAUGUCUUUGUUUGCAAUUAUGGAGUACCCUAGCAUGACUCAAUCUUCCUCUACUUUUGCUAUAAAAUGUUCCUGGCAGAUUGUUUACAUGUUAUUCAAUUUUGGCGAGGUUGUUGUAGUUGAUCCAUGCAUGUUAUGAGAGUGUUCUUGCCAUGUUUAGCUUAUUGAUCAUGUCUUCUUGCUGGGUGUAUGCUUAGUUUGUCAUGCCAUGCCUUGUGGUGAGUGCAUCGAGCUCGCAAACAUGCCUACGUAACUCUGUUUUUGCCAUGUCCAGUUUUCUGCUAAGUCUGAAUCUGUUAACGAAUCUUGCUAUGUUUACAUGGUUGCCAUUGUAUUUUUUGAUCCCUUUUGGCUUAUGGUCAGUAAGGGACUUUUGUUAUAUGCUUUGAGUAGAUUCAUGCCAUGCCUUGUAUUGCUAUGAUCUGAUCCUGUAGCAUAUUGUUAUCUUGCUCUAAACAUUGCUUCCUGAUGUUAAAUCCUGUCAUGUUAUUUUCACUAAGUCUGUUAACCUGAUAUCUUUUGCACUUUUGUCAUGCUUGUUUGAACCUGCUAUUGUGUGAUUUAGCUGUAGCUUAGUGUUCAUCUUUUGUCAAGCAUCUUGAUUAUAUCACUGCCAUGUGCUUUGUUGCUAUGUUGGAGUGCAGUAGCUUAGUUUAUUGUUGCAUUCUAGAUGGCAUCAUGUUAAUCGUAGUUUUGUGCCAUUAUUGUUUUGCUUGCCAUUUGCAAACCGUGCAUCCGAUUCCGGUGAUCCUUAUAUCGAUUUCGACCGAAAUCAACUCAUCUUUCCAGCGGCACUCUUGGUUUUCCAAGUUGAGGCCUGGUUCAAUCUUUUCCUUCCGGAGCACGCAUAUGCAUUGCAUAUCACAUCUCGCAUAUCAUGCCAUGUUUUGCAUCAUGUUUCUUGUGCAUUGCACCGUGGUUGAUUGUGGUUUCCUUUGCUUAUGUUCUUGUCUUGGGUAGAGCCGGGAGACGAGUUCGUGUUCGAGGUACCCGUUGAGUACGCUUACGAGGAUCAAGCUUUCGUCUUCUCGGAGAACUUUGCAGGCAAGAUGACCAUACCCUCGAAAUCACUUCUAUCUUUGCUUGCUAGUUUCUCGCUCUUUUGCUAUGCCUAUGAUGCGAUACCUACCACUUGCUUUAUCAUGCCUCCCAUAUUGCCAUGUCAAGCCUCUAACCCACCUUGUCCUAGCAAACCAUUGUUUGGCUAUGUUACUGCUUUGCUCAGCCCCUCUUAUAGCGUUGUUAGUUGCAGGUGAACAUUGGAGUUUGUUCCAUGUUGGAACAUGAUUAUUGUUGGGAUAUCACAAUAUCUCUUAUUUAAUUUAAUGCAUCUAUAUACUUGGUAAAGGGUGGAAGGCUCGGCCUUAUGCCUAGUGUUUUGUUCCACUCUUGCUGCCCUAGUUUCCGUCAUACCGGUGUCAUGUUCCUUGAUUUUGCGUUCCUUACGUGGUUGGGUUAUAAUGGGAACCCCUUGACAGUUCACCUUGAAUAAAACUCCUCCAGCAAGGCCCAACCUUGGUUUUACCAUUUGCACUAACAACCUAUCACCUUCCCUUGGGUUCUGCAGACUGAAGGGUCAUCUUUAUUUUAACCCCCGCCCUGGGGCAGUGCUCCUCUGAGUGUUGGUCCGAACCGAGCUGCCUGCGGGGCCACCUUGGGGAAACUUGAGGGUUGGUUUUACUCGUAGCUAGUCUCAUCCGGUGUUACCCUGAGAAAGAGAUAUGUGCAGCUCCUAUCAGGAUGUCGGCGCAUCGCGCAGCUUUGCUGGUCUUGUUUUACCAUUGUCUAAAUGUCCGAAGAUUAUGAAAAUUUUCACGAAAUUCCUCCCUUCAAAGUCAAGGCUAACCCAAGCAUCCUAAUAAACGAUGAAUAUUAUCCAUGGUUACAGUGCAAUAAGCAAAGCACACAAGCGAAGAAAAAGUGAAGACUUUCUGUCCACAACUAUUAUGAUGAUACCAUGCCAACUUUCAACCUUUUCCUAGUUCAUUUGAAAUGCAUGUUGUAACAGACGAGUUUCUGCCAUUUUGUACACGAAGUGCAUCUAGUUUUUGACGUAACCCUCUCAACUUUUUAGCACAUGCUAUGUGGGUGAAAUGAUGAUACCAUGCCAAAUUUCAACCUUUUUGGAGUUCAUUUGUAGUGCUUUUCAUUUUCAGGGUCAUAUAGCUCAAAAAAAUCAGUAAAUGCAUGAAAAAUAACGAAUGAAGUCGGAAAGGGUUGAAAAUUGAUGAUGUGGCUUUUAAUGGUGCAUUUUGAACACACAAAAAGCCUGGAGUUCAAAUAAGUUCAAAAAAUGAAAUCCCUUUGUAACAGACGAGUUUCCGUAUGAAACCCUGAUACUUAGAAAGAGAUUGUCCGUUUUGUACACAAAGUGCAUCCAUUUUUUGUCGUAACCCUCUCAACUUUUUAGCACAUGCUAUGUGGGUGAAAUGAUGAUACCAUGCCAACUUUCAACCUUUUCAGAGUUCAUUUGUAGUGAUUUUCAAUUUCAGGGUCAUAUAGCUCAAAAAAUCAAUAAAUGCAUGAAAAAUAACAAAUGAAGUCAGAAAGGGUUGAAAAUUGAUGAUGUGGCUUUGAAUGGUGCAUUUUCAAUUUUUGGGUCAUUUAGCUCAAAUAAUGAACGAAUAUAAAAAAGAAUGAUCUGGAAAACUGUUAUGAAACUCUAAUAGAAAAAUAAUAAGCAAAAAGAAUUUUCAUAAAACUUUUAUAAACCUCUAGUAUUAUUGAAACUAAAAUUAUAUAAAAUUUAUGCAACUAAAAUUAUCAAAUUAUUUUCUAUUCAAAACAUUAUAAGCAAAAAGAAUUUUCAUAAAAUAAAUAAAAAAUAAAAUAAAAUAAAUAAGUAGAAACAAAAUAAACUUUAACAAAUAAGUAGAAACAAAAUAAAACAAAAUAAACUUUAAUAAAAUAAAUAAAAAUAGAACAAAAAGAAUCACGGAAAAAAGGAAAAAUAAAACAAAAUUAUCAAAGUAUUUUCUGUUCAAAAUCAUUAAAAGCAAAAAGAAUUUUCAUAAAGAACUUUUUUGUUAGAAACUUUAAUAGCAAAAUUACAUAAUAAGUAAGGAAUUAGAAACAAAAUAAAAUAAAUAAAGCAAAAAAGAAAAGAAAUAAACUGGGGAAAAAGCAACCUACUGGGCCACCACGGCCUGAAUACGACUAGAAACCUACCCAUGGACCAGGAUUCAGGCCCGUAGAAGGCCCAAUAUAUAUAGUAUGUUUAGGCCCGAAAGCCUGCAUUUGAGAGAAGCUCGAGAGGGCAGCGGGAGUGGGUCUUAUAAACCACUCUCGCGCUCCCUCAGCUAGCGAGGUCGGACUAAACUUUCGUGCUGCGAUGCGGGCAGCACAAGGCCUUUAGUCCCGGUUGGUGCCGCCAACCGGGACUAAAGGUGUCCAUUGGUACCGGUUCAUGGUACCAAUCGGAACCAAUGCCCAUCCUUUAGUCCCGGUUGGUGCUAUUACCAUGCUUGUAGUUGAACUUGAAAGAAAAUUCAUGAAGAUGCAUCCUUCCAUACAAAGGAUUUUUCUGGAAUUUUCUAAUAUUGAGCAUUCUUCUGUUAAGCGUGCCGCUACUAUCUUUUUGGCUCAUGAGUUUAGAUUCAUAAUAAAAGAGGCCAAAGAAAUCUUUGCACAUUAUAGGGUAGACGCUUGCCGUCCUCCCAUAGAGGCUAUCAUCUUUGAUCAAGAAGAAAUAAUGUGUUUUCAAUCUCUAGACUAUGUUGCUUUCAAUGAAAAUCUUAGAAAAAGGGUUCCUACCAAUGUUUUAGUUGACAGAAUCUCUAAACUUAAUGAUGAUUUGUCUACUCGAAAUAAUGAACUAGUAUAUUAUCUUGAAUAUAGGCUCACAAAGUUCUGUCGAAAGAAUGCUUAUAAUGAUGAAUUGUUGUGCAAUAUGAAGGACCAAAGGAGGAACCUAUACCUCCCAAGGUUGAUCUUGGGGACUUUUGUCUCAUUAAAUUUAGCCAUUUUGAUUACUUUUGCUUGCCUCCAAGAAAACUUGCCGCCGAACGUAGAGAAUAUGAGAUGAUAUUUAAUAAUCUAUCUUACUAUUAUGGCAAUACCUAGAUCUAUUCUUGCUUGUUAUGCCUAGCUAGGGGCGUUAAACGAUAGCGCUUGUUGGGAGGCAACCCAAUUUUAUUUUUAUUCCUUGCUUUUUGCUCCUGUUUAGUAAUAAAUAAUUUAUCUAGCCUCUGUUUUGGUUGUGUUUUUUUGUGUUUAAUUAGUGUUUGUACCAAGUAGAACCGUUGGGAAGACUUGGGGAAAGUCUUGUUGAACUUGCUGUAAAAAACAGAAACUUUAGCGCUCACGAGAACUGCUGUAAUCUUUAUUUGGAAAGUGAUAUUUAGUUAAUUCUUUUUUCAGAUGAUUAAUAGAUAAAUACCUCACGUCUAUCAAUUUAUUUUAGAAUUUUUGGGGUUCCGUAUCUUACGCUAGCUACAGAUUACUACAGACUGUUCUGUUUUUGACAGAUUCUGUUUUUCGUGUGUUGUUUGCUUAUUUUGAUGAAUCUAUGGCUAGUAAAAUAGUUUAUAAACCAUAGAGAAGUUGGAAUACAUUAGGUAUAAUACCAGUAUAAAUAAAGAAUGAGUUCAUUACAGUACCUUGAAGUGGUCUUUUAUUUUCUUUCGCUAACGGAGCUCACGAGAUUUUCUACUUUAAGUUUUGUGUUGUGAAGUUUUCAAGUUUUGGGUAAAGAUUUGAUGGAUUAUGGAAUAAGGAGUGGAAAGAGCCUAAGCUUGGGGAUGCCCAUGGCACCCCCAAGAUAAUCUAAGGACACCUAAAAGCCAAAGCUUGGGGAUGCCCCGGAAGGCAUCCCCUCUUUCGUCUACUUCUAUCGGUAACUUUACUUUGAGCUAUAUUUUUAUUCGCCACAUGAUAUGUGUUUUGCUUGGAGCGUCUUGUAUGAUUUGAGUCUUUAUUUCUAAGUUUACCACAAUCAUCCUUGCUGUACACACCUUUUUAGAGUGCCAUACAUGAAUUGGAAUUUGUUAGAAUACUCUAUGUGCUUCGCUUAUAUCUUUUGAGUUAUAUAAUUUUGCUCUAGUACUUCACUUAUAUAUUUUAGAGCACGGUGGUGGAUUUGUUUUAUAGAAACUAUUGAUCUCUCAUGCUUCACUUAGAUUAUUUUGAGUCUUAAUAGCAUGGUAAUUUGCUUUAAAUCCUAAUAUGCUAGGUAUUCAAUAAUAAUAAAAUUCUCUUAUGAAGUGUGUUGAAUACUAUGAUAAGUUUGAUACUUGAUAAUUGUUUUGAGAUAUAAAGAUGGUGAUAUUAAAGUCAUGCUAGUUGAGUAGUUGUAAAUUUGAGAAAUACUUGUGUUGAAGCUUGUGAUUCCCAUAGCAUGCACGUAUGGUGAACCGUUAUGUGAUGAAGUCGGAGCAUGAUUUAUUUUUUUGAUUGCCUUCCUUAUGAGUGGCGGUCGGGGACGAGCGAUGGUCUUUUCCUACCAAUCUACCUCCUAGGAGCAUGUGCGUAAUAUUUUGCUUUGAUAACUUGUAGAUUUUUGCAAUAAGUAUAUGAGUUAUUUAUAACUAAUGUUGAGUCCAUGGAUUAUAUGCAUUCUCACCCUUCCACCUUUGCUAGCCUCACUAAUACCGCGCACCUUUCGCCGGUAUCAUACACCCAUCAUAUACCUUCCUCAAAACAGCCACCAUACCUACCUAUUAUGGCAUUUCCAUAGCCAUUCCGAGAUAUAUUGCCAUGCAACUUUCCACCGUUCCGUUUAUUAUGACACACUCCAUCAUUGUCAUAUUGCUUAGCAUGAUCAUGUAGUUGACAACGUAUUUGUGGCAAAGCCACCAUUCAUAAUUCUUCCAUACGUGUCACUCUUGAUUCAUUGCAUAUCCCGGUACAUCGUCGGAGGCAUUCAUAUAAAGUCAUAUUUUGUUCUAAGUAUCGAGUUGUAAUUGUUGAGUUGUAAGAAAAAUAAAAGUGUGAUGAUCAUCAUUAUUAGAGCAUUGUCCCAGUGAGGAAAGGAUGAUGGAGACUAUGAUUCCCCCACAAGUCGGGAUGAGACUCCGGACGGAAAAAAAGAAAAGAGGCCAUAAAAAAGUGAAAAGGCCCAAAUAAAAAAAUAAAAGAAAGAAAAAAAUGAGAAAAAAAGAGAGAAGGGACAAUGUUACUAUCCUUUUACCACACUUGUGCUUCAAAGUAGCACCAUGAUCUUAGUAGAGAGUCUCUCAUGUUAUCACUUUCAUAUACUAGUGGGAAUCUUUCAUUAUAGAACUUGUCUUGUAUAUUCCAAUGAUGGGCUUCCUCAAAAUGCCCUAGGUCUUCAUGAGCAAGCAAGUUGGAUGCACACCCACUUAGUUUCUUUUUGAGCUUUCAUAUACUUAUAGCUCUAGUGCAUCCGUUGCAUGGCAAUCCCUACUCACUCACAUUGAUAUCUAUUGAUGGGCAUCUCCAUAGACCAUUGACAUGCCUAGUUGAUGUGAGACUAUCUUCUCCCUUUUUGUCUUCUCCACAACCACCACUCCAUUCCACCUAUAGUGCUAUAUCCAUGGCUCACGCUCAUGUAUUGCAUGAAGAUUGAAAAAGUUUUGAGAAUGUCAAAAGUAUGAAACAAUUGUUUGGCUUGUCAUCGGGGUUGUGCAUGAUUUAAAUAUUUUGUGUGGUGAAGAUAGAGCAUAGCCAGACUAUAUGAUUUUGUAGGGAUAACUUUCUUUAGCCAUGUUAUUUUGAGAAGACAUAAUUGCUUUGUUAGUAUGCUUGAAGUAUUAUUAUUUUUAUGUCAAUAUGAACUUUUGUAUUGAAUCUUUCGGAUCUGAAUACUCAUACCACAAUUAAGAAGAAUUACAUUAAAAUUAUGCCAAGUAGAACUCCGCAUCAAAAAUUCUGUUUUUAUCAUUUACCUACUCGAGGACGAGCAGGAAUUAAGCUUGGGGAUGCUUGAUACGCCUCCAACGUAUCUAUAAUUUUUUAUUGCUCCAUGCUAUAUUAUCUACUGUUUUGGACAUUAUUGGGCUUUAUUAUCCACUUUUAUAUUAUUUUUGGGACUAACCUAUUAACUGAAGGUCUAGCCCAGAAUUGCUGUUUUUUGCCUGUUUUAGGGUUUCGAAGAAAAGGAAUAUCAAACGGAGUCCAAACGGAAUGAAACCUUCGAGAACGUGAUUUUCUCAACGAACAAGACCCGGGAGACUUGGACCCUACGUCAAGAAAGGAAACAGGAGGCCACGAGGUAGGGGGCGCGCCUGCCUACCCCAGGCGCGCCCUCCACCCUUGUGGGCCCCCUGUUGCUCCACCGACGUACUCCUUCCUCCUAUAUAUACCUACAUACCCCUAAACGAUCAGAUAUGGAGCCAAAACCCCAAUUCCACCGCCGUAACUUUCUGUAUCCACGAGAUCCCAUCUUGGGGCCUGUUCUGGAGCUCCGCCGGAGGGGGCAUCGAUCACGGAGGGCUUCUACAUCAACACCAUAGCCUCUCUGAUGAAGUGUGAGUAGUUUACCUCAGACCUACGGGUCCAUAGUUAGUAGCUUGAUGGCUUCUUCUCUCUUUUUUGAUCUCAAUACAAUGUUCUCUCCCUCUCUUGUGGAGAACUAUUCGAUGUAAUCUUCUUUUUGCGCUGUGUUUGUUGAGACCGAUGAAUUGUGGGUUUAUGAUCAAGUCUAUCUAUGAACAAUAUUUGAAUCUUCUCUGAAUUCUUUUAUGUAUGAUUGGUUAUCUUUGCAAGUUUCUUCGAAUUAUCAGUUUGGUUUGGCCUACUAGAUUGAUAUUUCUUGCAAUGGGAGAAGUGCUUAGCUUUGGGUUCAAUCUUGCGGUGUCCUUUCCCAGUGACAGUAGGGGCAGCAAGGCACAUAUUGUAUUGUUGCCAUCGAGGAUAACAAGAUGGGGUUUUCUUCAUAUUGCAUGAGUCUAUCACUCUACAUCAUGUCAUCUUGCUUAAGGCGUUACUCUGUUUUUAACUUAAUACUCUAGAUGCAUGCUGGAUAGUGGUCGAUGAGUGGAGUAAUAGUACUAGAUGCAGGCAGGAGUCGGUCUACUUGUCUCGGACGUGAUGCCUAUAUACAUGAUCAUACCUAGAUAUUCUCAUAACUAUGCUCAGUUCUGUCAAUUGCUCAACAGUAAUUUGUUCACCCACCGUAGAAUACUUAUGCUCUCGAGAGAAGCCACUAGUGAAACCUAUGGCCCCCGGGUCUAUCUUUAUCAUAUUGAUCUCCUACUAGUUAGUUAUUUCCUUUGCUAUUUACUUUGCCUUUAUUUUACUUUGCAUCUUUAUCACAAAAAUACCAAAAAUAUUGUCUUAUCAUAUCUAUCAGAUCUCACUCUCGUAAGUGGCCUUAUAGGGAUUGACAACCCCUAUUUGCGUUGGUUGCGAGGAUUUAUUUGUUUCGUGCAGGUACGAGGGACUCGUGCGUAGCCUCCUACUGGAUUGAUACCUUGGUUCUCAAAAACUGAGGGAAAUACUUACGCUACUUUGCUGCAUCAUCCCUUCCUCUUCGGGGAAAACCAACGCAGUGCUCAAGAGGUAGCAGGUUCUUCAGGGAUCUCACUGGAGCGAUCCUGUGAUGGUUCCUUCUCUUUGGGUGUCCACCGCCCGUGCCGAUACCCGUCGGGCGCUACGGUUCUAGCUGUACUAGCGAUGUUAUAUGUAUGAUAGUAUUCGAGGUGUAUUAGUGAUAAUAUUCGACGAUGUACGGACGCAAGAGAUGAUGUAGUUUUGCUUAUAAUUGAAUGCAUCCUAAUUUGAAUACUACUUUAUUUUGCGAUUUGAUUUUGCUUAUUGAAUGUUCAAAUUGGAAAACUACUCCUACUUUGAAUGCUAAAAUUAGAGAGCACUAUGCAAGGCGUAUGCAUAUGAUUAGUUGAUAGCUUAUAGGGUUUUUGUUUUCACAGAAAUCUAGGAGCCCCCCUCCAUCAUCCCCGCCGUCGUUCCCGUCACCGACCCCCUCCGACCUCGAGGUGAGACCAGCCAAAUCCUUUUUUAGAAAGAUAAUUAAACGAUAUUUCGGGUUGAAUUUAAGUCUGUCGAGUCUCACCAUAUAUGAGAGGACGAAGAAGCCCGACUGUUAUCGUGGGGGUCAUUUCUCCUUCUUCUCCGGGUGCUAGACCUUUGUUAUGCACUAGGGGAAGAAGGAGUAACGACCAUCACCGACAGUCGCAAAUGUCAGAGAGGAAUCAGNNNNNNNNNNNNNNNNNNNNNNNNNNNNNNNNNNNNNNNNNNNNNNNNNNNNNNNNNNNNNNNNNNNNNNNNNNNNNNNNNNNNNNNNNNNNNNNNNNNNNNNNNNNNNNNNNNNNNNNNNNNNNNNNNNNNNNNNNNNNNNNNNNNNNNNNNNNNNNNNNNNNNNNNNNNNNNNNNNNNNNNNNNNNNNNNNNNNNNNNNNNNNNNNNNNNNNNNNNNNNNNNNNNNNNNNNNNNNNNNNNNNNNNNNNNNNNNNNNNNNNNNNNNNNNNNNNNNNNNNNNNNNNNNNNNNNNNNNNNNNNNNNNNNNNNNNNNNNNNNNNNNNNNNNNNNNNNNNNNNNNNNNNNNNNNNNNNNNNNNNNNNNNNNNNNNNNNNNNNNNNNNNNNNNNNNNNNNNNNNNNNNNNNNNNNNNNNNNNNNNNNNNNNNNNNNNNNNNNNNNNNNNNNNNNNNNNNNNNNNNNNNNNNAGGACGAAGAAUCCCGACUGUUGUCGUGGGGGUCGCUUCUCCUUCGUUCCCGUGUGCUAGACAUUUUGGUGUAAUGCACUCGGGGACAAAGUGAUGAGCGACCAUCACCGAGAGUCGAAUAGAUACACCACGUGAGCUGAGAGUUUUCAAGAAAACACUCGACAGACCGAUAGUCAACCCGUGAUGAAUAAUAAUGAUCUAAUUUAGUUUUUGUAGUACAUAUAUUUAAUUGUACAAGUUUAAUCUUUGAAUUGUGAACGUAGGAAAUGUCGUCAUCAGACGAUGAAAGUCUCCCGGGGGAGUGCAGCUGGUGCCACGACGAUCGAGGUCUGUGCGACAUGCCUCACCUGGACGAUGAUCGGCGCUUCAGCAUUAAGCUCGAGGAGACCUUCGAUGUUGAAACGGUACGCAACAAUGACAAGUGUUUUUCGUAAUUAAGCAUGACUACAACUAUUUCAACGUGUAAUUUUCAUCUUUUACAAUUCAAGUAGCUUAUCCCAUGCCAUGCAAGGCGCUAUAUUUUGGAGAGGAUGGGUUUUGAAGACCAUGAAAGUUUCAAAACAAAGAAAAUUCACCUAAGGACUCAUCAUGAUGUGAAUUUUGAAGUAAAGCUAUACAAUUCUGAGAGCGUAACUCAUUUUGGUUGCAAAAAAUGGGAAGCACUUUGCAAGAUGUAUGGUUUUGAUGAGGGUAUGCUUGUCACCAUGGAUCUUGGUGAUCCUAAAAUCGAGCAAGACAAUAUGGACAUUUGGGUCCUUGUUGAUACGCCUCCAAUUCUACCGCUAUGUGAGUUUCUCAAACAUAGUUAUUAGCUAAUUUAUAUUGUUUAUUUCAAAAUAGUUGACAGCUUAUUUUCAUUGACGGCUUAUUUUCAUUGUUCAAAGAAUGUGCGGGAGAUGGUAGACAAAACCCACUGCACCGAUGGUUCCGAAUUAACUUACAAGGAGAAAAAUCAUCUGGUCGGAUUUUGUACUGACAUUGAGAAUUACAAUAUCUACAAUCAAACUCCUCAACAUUAUGGUCAAUACGUGCCACUAGUGCAUGUGUUCAACUACGGUAACUACCAUGGAGAUACCUUGGUAAGAUUUUUUACUAUUACAACAUCCGUGCAUCUUUUGCAUACUUCUAAAACUAGUACAUCAUUGCUAACUAUGAAGUUAUUACUAUGUUUUUCAACAGAUAAUCCUAGAGAAUUAUGUGCCUCAUUUGAUGUAUCAAAAAGGUAGCCUUAAUGUUUUGAACAUACAGUCAGGUCAUCCUACGAAUCUCAACUGUCCAUACCAGAUUUUUAAAAGAAGUGGAGACAUGCAAAUCAAAGGAUGGAAAAAAUGUAUGGACAAUCGUAAGGAGGUUCUUAGAAGUAAAAGGAAGCGAAGCGCAAGAAUUGGAGACAGGAUGAUCUCCAUUCUCCAUAAUGGAGAGUCAGGGUCUAUUUUGUUUUAUGUUAUUUUACCUUAAAGAGGGUAUUUAGGUCCUACCUAAUACUGAUGAACAUGUGCUAAGAACAAUUAAGUAGGGUUGGUUCGAUGACUAUGAGGAUGAUGAUCGCAUGACUUGUUAUUAAUAACGAGUAGAAGUUGUAUGAUGAUGAUUAGUAGGACUUGUUAUUAUGAUGAUGCAUGAUGCGAGCAUGAAGAGUUAUUAUAUAUCUGUGGGUGAAAUGAACAUGGAUUGGAUUGAAGUAAAGGCAACAUGCAUGUGGUGCAUGUCGAAAGUAGUACAAUCCAAACUUGAUCAAGUUAGGAUUAGAAUUACUUUCGACAUGCACCACAUGUUGCCUCAUUUCAAUCUAAGUCAUGUUUAGGCAUAGCAGUAGCAGUAGCACGGAGAUAAGAGAGGACACAUCUCUCUAUUAGCUACCUAUACGAACUUAAAUUAACCCCAAAAACCCCUAAACCACCUCCUUUAAAAAAACAGCCGCUGAAAUGUUGACGCGUAGAAGCUUAUUGGUUCGAUUGGUGGACCAAAGACCCUCCUGCCUGGGCUCGCCGGAGCGGUCACGUGGAGGCCCAUCUGUCCCGGUUGGUAUAAGAACCGGGACUAAAGGCCUAGGCAUUAGUAAUGACCCUUUAGUCCCGGUUCCCCAACCGGAACAGAUGGGCCUUAUGAACCGGGACAAAUGGGCCUUUUUCUACUAGUGAUGCAUAGUCCCCUAUCCCGGUGAUGUCGACAUCAAAAUCAACACUGUACACUUCAAUUUCAGUGAUCCACUUCCGACUGCCCGGUUGUUCACGAUCAGGAUUAAGAAUCUGCCUCCUAAUGAUUUGGAGGACAUCUCCCCAUUGUGCCUGAACAACGUGACAUUUCGAAACCCUCUGGAUUAUUUUGGGCAAGAACUUUUUGUGGAUGACAGACGGUUCAUGUAAAUUGUACGCAUCGAUCGCGCCAUCUUCAGUAACUACAUAGAACCACCCGUCGUGGUAUACACAAUCUGUGUAGUAGCUACAUACGAUGAGCCAAUUCCAGCGAUCAUCUCCUAGCUUGGCAAACGAGAGCUGGCCGUACGGCUGAUGGAUGAGCAUGACGAUGCAUCCACCUACCGAUGGAUCACACGAUAAGGUCGCCUUUGGAUAGACCAUGUGACCAGACUCCUCCAAAGAAAAUAUAUUGGUGUUCUUCUCCACGACCCUCGGAAGCUCUCCAUCAUAGUAAAACACCUCAUACUUUUCAAGAACUUCGUCGCCGUUUAGGACAGGUUUAACAUGUUCCAUGGUUGUCACCGGAGGGAGUACAAUUGUGUUGCUGGUGAUCGGGUUGAGCAGCAUCAGCUCAGACUUGUCAUCCAUAGUGACUAGCCAUCCGUGCGAUGAGCCGAUCCAGUUCUUGAUCGGAAGUUCAGGGAGCGGCAUGGUGUAGGCCUUCCGCUCGGAGAGGCUGUACAUGCCGAGAGCUCUGAGCCCGCCGGCGGCAUCAUUGCAAUAGAGUAGACAUGGUGUUUGGUGUCCAGGACAAGCAUUGAUGCAGCGUUGCGUGGAGUAGGCCUUGUACCAGAUUGAGCAGACGGCGGCGGAUCGGAGGAGGUCUGGGCACUCGAGUAACUUGAGCACGUCGCACAAUAUGCCGAUUGGUAGCUCGGACCAAUCUCGAUCUCGAGCUUCCAUGGUAGAUCCUGAUGGAUGAACAAACUUACAGCAGGUGGAUCAGAACGACAAGGGUUGCAACUCUGACUAGUUAUAGAUCCUUCCCACCCCGUGCCAAUUCGAUCCGGAAAGAACUGGAGUUGGAUGUACCAGAUCGAGCCGGAUCUGGAGAAAAAAAAAACAAGAAACCCCUAAUUAAUCCAGUUUGAUAUGAUGGAAUCAGAACACUGCUUAUUUACUGAAUCGGAGUCCAGCCAUGGUCCAGAUCCAUGGAGCCGCGCCAUGACCGCGUUUUUGCAGCUCAAACUGAAUUAUAGCGCGGAUGGAACGGAGUGCCCUCCCCGGUCGCAGCACGGCAUGGAACGCUGCUCCGAGCUGAUGUCGCCGGCAAAUCCUAUUUGGCCGGCCCAUGCUUAGCAUUUGCAGAUCAGUACCGUAAAAGUAUUAUAAGGAAAACCUAAAACAUGUCCUGCGGUACCUUGCGAGCUGCGGCGAAACAAAUCCCGUAAAAAUUUAGGCGACUGCUAGGUCGUCUUCCCCCCAACAUUACCGGCCGCCGUCCUCCUUCCCCAAUCCCCACCCACGCCCACAAGAAACCGCACGAACAAGGCACUUCCGCCGGCGAGGAAAGCAAGUCGACAUGCAUGGCAAGCGUGACCGCCUCAUCGGCGACCGUUGUCUUUCCGUCUUAACCGAUGAGAAGCAGGAUAUAAGCGAUCUGCUUGGUUACAUCCAUGGUUUCUACAGGGAGGCGCUCGAUCUGCUCCCGAUGGCGGCGAUUCCCUCGCUGGCCCCGCGCCUCCUCAAGGCCGGCAUGCCCAUCGGCUUCCUCGACCCAGUCUCCAACAUCAUCGCCAACACCAUCGCCUACACCCCUCCGCCGACGCUUCAAUCCGACGAGGGGGUGGAGGCGCCGUCGUCGGAGUGGAUCCUCUCCAAGAUCAUCACCGACAUGAACGACAAGUCUGUCUUCAGAGUGCCGCUUUCCCGGCAAAAUGCCCAUGGUAUGACCCUCGCGCGGCGGUCGCUGGACGGUCUUGUCAGCUUCCUCACCUCCCACUACCGCUACCUCAUCAGCAGGGAAGCCAUGAGCUACCUGCUCCUGGCCAGGGCCGACCUUCUCACCGCUGUGCGCCUCAUCGAGCGAGAUCGUAACAAGGGGCACAGUGUGUUCAGUAUUACCUCCUCUACCAACAAGGUCGCUCUGGAAUGUGCUGCUGUGUCUGCAAGGCAUCCUGAACCAGAUGUCCUGGUGAAAGCGUCGCUGACUAUGGCCUCUCGCGACGUCUCCAUGCUUUUGACUGGACAAGACCCUCUCUCGCCUGCAACCCUCGAGAGGAUCGCCGAGCUGCUCAGGCAAGGCCCUACGGGCAUGGAUCUCAUCAACAUAUCACUGGAUUAUCUUCGUGUUAAUGAGAAGGACAACAAUAAAAAGAGAAAGAGAAGCCGACAGACAUCAGAAUCCACAGAGGGGAGUAGGGCACAUAAGAAGAGGCUCGGUCCUCAGUUGACAUUCAGAUACACGCUGGCUCUGAAGCUUUUGCUCCUUGGCAAGAUCCAUGGGCACUACCUAGAGGCACUUGCCAAACUGCCUCGGGACGGCCUGCGCAGGCAUCACCACUGCAGCCCCCUGAGGGGUGGAUACUGCUAUGGCCCCAGGGAUCCUGUCUCCAACAUCAUCCUCAACACCAUCUGGUACGGCUCUAUGUUCCCCACGCCCCAGAAGUUUGAGCUGCAAUUUAAGGUGGACAUGAUAUGCACACGCAUGCUUGCACGCAUCGAGUGCUGCUCCCUUUAUGGCCUUGUUACGUUCCUUCGCACCUGUGCCCCUGAACUCACAGAGCACGACGCCAUCUGGUAUUUGUUCAGGAGCGGUGCGGAUGUACACAAGGCCAUCCUUGAGGUAAAGAAGCAUGGUCAUCAUGUGCCUGGCAAUUUCCAGGACGCCUAUAUGCAAGCGGCGGUUGUUUCAUGGCACGAUGACCCUGAUGAGCUGGUCAAAUUUGCUACGUCUUCAUUGAACAUGGAGUCUGCCAAGUUGUUAGCACUAUUGCAGGGCACACUUACCAACGAUGGAGUUGAAUGCCUCACCAUGGCUCUGCCACAUAAAUCUCCACCUACCCAGUCCGAGGAGCAGGCUCAGCAACCGAACCAGGUGACCUCAAGCUCACAGGUCUUGAGCAAGAACCAGAAAAUUUUCAUUUCAGAGUUCCGGAAAAAGUUUAGGCGCGACCAAAACUUCUUUGUCAGAAAGGUCAAGGCGGUAUCGAGCGACUACUCUCAGCAAAAAGGGGUUGGUGCAUUGGUUUCUGUUUUUUGUUUUCUUGCUUUUGAAUUCUAAUUCUAAUAAUGUGCACCAGUUUACUUCCAUCUGCUCAAGUCCUUUUUUCACUUAUCGCCUUAUCGGAUGCCCUCUUCUGCUGUCUUACAUAUAGGUGCACUAUAAACUUCAUAUCAUUUGCGGACCAAGUGUUGCUCUCGUUAAGAAGAAAUUCCAAUUUGAAUACUUCCAUAUCAACUUUUUGGCAACAGCGCCAAAUUCUGCUGUCGCAUCUCCAGAACUGUUCUUUGCUCAAUGUAGCAAUAGUAUCAAAGAGAGGCAGGAGAGACCAUCCUGGUGCACCCCUGUAUCGGAUUCUUCUAUAGAUAAUGGUAUGCUCUCAGCUCUCUCUUAUCAUGUACACACUGGUAUUUGGUGGCUUGUGCAAUGAAUUAAAUUUUGUUUUUCUGAAAACUCAAACGGAAAACUUAUCACAGUCGAUUAGCCAAUAUACGUGGGCAAUUUUUCUAAACAUUCUUGUUAAUGCAUUUAUAUGGAGCCACGUUAUGAGAGAAAAUAAUAGAAAUACCUGGCAGUGCAACCAUGUCGUCAGUGGACUCUCACUUGCAGCGAUGGACGGAUGCAGCCAUGAUUAGUUAAGCGCCCCUUGUGCAUGAUGAGAGUGUAAAACUUAGCAGAUGAGCAUCUCCCAUGUGAGUUGCCAGCAGAUGGACGCACUUGCCAUGCAUGUGCACUAGCGUCAGCGCAGACCAUCUCGUAGUUCAGACCUUGAACACCAUUUUGUUCUCCGGUUCUUAGUUCCCAGGGAAAGAAAUUGGUAUGUGAGAGAACACUGAUGACGGUUUGAAGAAAAGGCAGUUGCCUAUGUAUCAUCGGCGUUGACAUAUUCUUGUUCGUUUAACUUCCAUAUGUUUACAGAAGAUGUCUCUUAUAUAACCCAAGGCUUUGUAUUUAUAAUUAACUCAAUCUGAUGACUGUUUAUUAUUUCAAAGAUGACAUGGUUUAACAUGGAUGCUGCAUUAUUAAUAAAGAGAUAAUAGAGCUUUAGAAAACCUGGCCAAAUAGAACUACAUUUUCUUUUCUGUUCCUCUCUACAAAUAUUAUUGUCAUGAUCUGGACAUCAGAGAUGUAUACUGCUUUUUAUAGUUAUAUGAUAAGAAUGUUUCUUAAGACGUACUGCCUCCGUUACGAAAUAUAUGACGUUUAAGCAGUUCAGUUUAAUGUCAUAUACUGUAUUUCGUAAGGGAAGGAGUAUAUGAUAUGAUGAUAGUAAUUAACUUCCAGAUUAUAAAAACACUGAUAAUGUACAGUGAUGUUCUAACAUGGUUGUAAGAGAGAUCAUAAAAGUACUUAAUAAUCUAAUUGUUUUUGUUUAUUUUGAUGCAAGCUCGAUGUUUCUCUUGUGAGUUUAAUGGGGCGAAGAUUGUGCAUCCAUAUGAUGAAAUAUACUAUGGGCGCUACGAGGAUUUCAAACUUAUGGCUCAUGGUAAACAUGGCACUCAGAAUGAACUCCUUACCAGUUCCUGUCAUUCUGAUUCUGAUGUAAUGGCCACAAUGACACAAGAUUUCAUCUAUUUUUAUCCCAAUAUGGAUUCAAAGUUUGCAGAAAUGAACCCUAUCUCCAAUGUGGCUAGGAAGUUGAAAGAAUGGAAGGGUAGAAUCUUCUGAUAUGUUUCUUCUUUGUAUGAUGGAACAUAAUGUAUUAGGUUUUUUUAGGGGAACAUAAUGUAUUAGUUUAAUAUGAUAUAUGUGAGGUGUGAGGUAGUGUAUCAUCUAUUCGAACAUGUCGUCGAAAAUGAAUACUCCAUCUGUCCGGAAAUACUUGUCCUAGAAAUUGAUAAAAGGGACUUAUCUAUAACUAAAAUAAAUCUAGAUAUAACCAUUUCUAAGACAAGUAUUUUUCGAUGGAGGGAGUAUUUGUUAUAGUUGUAUAUUUGAACGUGGAAGCAUCAUUUAUCAACACAAGCAUAAUAGAACGGUAGAAUCUGUACGGCUCUUUAGCUGAUGUGCAUUGGUUUCAUUGAUGGUAUUCAGUUCCAAUUUUAUAUCCACGAUGUUUAGGCAUCUCAAACAUGAUAGCGCUUUUUUGAAUAGUGGUGAUGCGUGGUUGGUUGUAUAUGCAAACUUUGAACUUUGUAGGCGUGAACAAGGGCCUGGCCUUUUGGCAAAGCUUGCAUGCUCUGCUUCAUGACCGAAAGAACUUCGCGCCCUUUGACAUGCACGUCGUCCAUGAACAAAAUGUGAAGGCGCUUACACAUCGGUAGUCAUCAUUUGCAACUCUGCCAUGCAGUUUUGCGGUGCGGUUGAACGAGUGGAGGAGAUUGCAUUCAUGGUGUAGAAUACACCCAUACAUCGUUGAUGGGAUACAUAACUCACAAAGAGAUCCAUUCACCCAGUAAGCACGAUUUGGCGGAAUACUACUGCAACCAUGCGCCCACCAAGGUUCGGCUCCUCUGCAGUAAAGCUAUUACUGUACACGUGCUGUAGCGUCUAGCAUCUGCCGUUUAUUUUAAUCGGAUGGCUCCAACAAAGAAUCGCUGGGCUCAUAUAAAAAAGUAAAGGAAACUACUCCCUCCGUUCCUAAAUACUUGUCUUUCUAGAGAUUUCAACAAGUGACUACAUACGGCGCAAAAUGAGUGAAUCUACACUUUAAAAUAUGUCUACAUACAUCCAUAUGUUGAGUCCAUUUGAAAUGCCAGAAAGACAAGUAUUUGGGAACGGAGGGAGUAGAAGAGACCCACACGGCCACACCAUUCCCCACUCUCUCUCUCUCUUAUCUCUUUCGUCUAGAGAAGCUCGGCCACUGUUUUCCCCAAUCCACAACACUGCUCCGGCCGAGCGAAAUCCAGGUACACUCCGCUGCUCCGGCCAAAUUCGCUCGCCCCGAACUGCUCUGGCGAUUCCCUCCCUCUAUAUCCCUGCCUCUCUGCGCGCUGCUUCUUAUCCAUCCCCGUGCGGCCGUGCCCCAUGGCUUCUACCGGCAGCUGCAAGGGAUGGCCGGAGAGCGCACUGCUGCGGGAGCCGACCGAAUACGCCGCUGCUGCACCGCCACAUGUCUCUGGCUGCUAGUAGCAGGGAGACGACGAACUACACAAGCAGCAGAGCAACGACGAAAUCGACGAGCCUGACGACAACGGCAAGCUGGAGUCUCCCUCGACGAGCUCGACGAGGAAUAGGACGACGGUGAUGUCUCGGAGCAGCACGGUCGACCUCGGCGCCCUCCUGCCCGGCUUAGCCCCACUAGCAAAACCCAAGGUGAAUUACUUAGAACUAAUUUAUUCAUUUUUUUCAUCAUUAGUUCGAGAACAUGUGCUUGUUUGACUAUCUAUUAAUCUUUCAUGGCAAUAUGGUUAGUCAAUAGCCAGUAGAGAGUACAUGCAUGUGUGCUGAGUUUAAUUACAGUUAUGUUGUGACAGUGGUCACUUGCGUCUCUGUCCAAUUAUUCAGAUCACUACCUGAAGAAUUAGUGCUUGUGCUGAUGAUCAAAUAGUGCCACUAGCAGUCCAUGUUGUAUAUGAUUGUACACCGUACAUGGAGAGAUAAAAACCUAUUAUGGUACAUAGUUGUAACCAUCUCACUAGAAUAUUUAAAAGUGAUAAGUAAUCAACAGAUCAUUGUUGUAGUAAACCGAAAUUAAACUGAUUGUUCUGUCUUCGGAAACUAGGAAUGAACUGAGACUAAACCGAUUGCAAUGAAAUAAUGAACACUCAACAGAUUGGCUCCCAUGUGUGCUGAUUCAGAUAUUCCUUCUGCAUAAUCUGUCGAUCUAGCAAGACAAAAUAACACAUAUUCAUCAACCUAUCCCAUGAUAGUUUUGUAAGUUCCAAAGAUCAUCGGCUUCACUCUGCAAAUUAAGGGAUAUAUAACUGAUUAUAUGAAGUAUCAUAUUGCUUAACAAUGAAUUUUAUGAAUUUUAGACAUGGUGGGUGGAAAUACCGUCAGUAAAUGAGCAUAGUACCCAUAUUCUUGCAAACCAUUUGCAUUUGUUCCAGCCAUUUGCUCUAUAGGUGCUUGGUAUUGUGCUACUGAAAUGUCAUUCUUUCCUCCCUAUGCAAAAAUAAAAACAAAACAAAACCAAUGUUAGUUGAGUUGUUACUAUAUUACUCUAUUUAAUAAGUAGUCCGGUUAGACAUGUGCAAGAGAUUUACAGAAUGAUUUUGAUUUUUGGGUACCGCUUUAGUUGUCUCCUUUUUAUUUGGGUGCUGAUUGUCAAGCCAUGAUUUCUUUCUUCUUGAAUUUUUCUUUGGAAUUUCCUUUUUCUUUAGGCAAGCAUCCUUUAAACAAUCGUCUGGUUCUUUAGAUAUAUCUUCAGUUCUGCACGUAGUAGUACGAGCUUUCUCUUCAACUUGCUUCCUAAGAUUCUUCAAAGCAUCAUCUACUAGUUUGAUACACUCUUCUGAUGUAACUGCCUGUGAAGCUAUGCCAAGGAACUCGUGCAUGAAAAACUUCAACUGUUGUCUAUCUUCUGAUCUAGGAUCUUCCAAAACAAUGUUUCCAUGGCUGUUUUGUAUAGUGCCGCUUCGCGCUUCUCGAGUCCAUCGCUUCAAAAUAUAGUGUCCUGGAAGGUACUUAAUAUUCAUGACAUCAAGUGCUUUCAAAGCAUGACUACACAAUAUACCAACUCUUUCAAAUUGCCCACAAUCGCAGAAAACUUUUUGCUCUUCAUAAUCAACUACAACUUUGCACUCUUCUUCAUAUGUGAAUUCUGGGUCAAGACUUGCAAUUGCAACAAUAUAUGCAUUGUGUUCCAUCGAUGGCUUGAUGUAUGCUGAGAUGGAUCUUUCAUAUUCAUUCUGAAAAUCUUCAAAUAUGCGUGGUGUGUAAACCUUGCUCGCUUGUAUUACCAUAGGAGUCCUCAUUCUGACUCUAGGUAAUUUUUUCCUAGACUCAUAUUCCUCAUUUACCUCGUUAUCUCUUUUCUCUUGCACAGUCCUCUCUACGUGCUUGAAAAACCGAAGGAUGUCAAGAUCAGACUUUAGAUGGUCUUUCAAGUCACUGUUCAAGCUCUCACUUAAUUGUGUGCUUCUCAUGCCUAUAGUGUAAGCAUUCCUCAUGUAACAUCUUGCCCAUUUCUCUUUUACUUUGUAGAUGCUGUCCAACCAAGUUUGUGUAUCCACAUUGCUUCUGAUGGCAUUGAAAGCUUCUACAAAGGCUUCCUCUUCCUCAUACUUGUACAUGCAAGCACUGAAAUCAGCAAGUACAUUUGGUCCCUCCUCGUCUUUUUUCUUAUGAGGUAAGUGCCUGAUGACAUUUUGCAUUAUGUGAAAAGUGCAUAAUCCAUGCCAUGCUUCAGUAAAUACCGCCUGAACUGCAUUACCCAUUGCUACAUCUUGAUCAGUAAAGAUUGUUCUAGGUUGCUUCUUGUUAUGCAAUGAUAGGAACGUGUUGAAGAACCAUUUGAAUGACUCAAAUGUCUCAUCAUAUAAAAGUGCAGCACCAAAAAUGACCAUUUCUCUAAAAUGGUUGAAUCCAACAAACACACCGAAGGGUCUGUACUCUUUGUUUGUCCCAAAUGUUGUAUCGAAAGUAACAACAUCACCGAAAUGAGCAUAGUCAAUGAUCAUCUUUGCAUCAGCCCAAAAGAUAUUCGCUAUUUGUUCAUCGCAAUCUAGUUGCAUAUCAUAUUCAAAUGCAAGAUUCUCAUUCUUUUUAUCUCUGAAGUACUUAAGCAUACUUCCAGCUUCACCAUACAUCAAGUCCCUUUGACGCCUGGUUCGCAAGUGGUUCUUGCGAUCACGACAUGUGUAGCCAAGGUUCAGUGGACCACCAACUUGUCGACUUGCUAACUCAUGGGCUCUUUUAGGUACAAUUCCUGAAUCAUCUGCUGUUUCAAUUUCAAAUGCUUGCAAUGCCGAAAUCUUCCGUUGUGACGGCAUCAAGUGGCUUGUCCCAGGUAAUUGCAAGACAUGGUUGUGUUCAACAACUAACUCGUGCACCUCAUAAUUUUCUGCUUCUCGGACUAUAGUGAUUCCCAUUCGAACAUUGCAGCCGGUCCUUGUUUCUGCACGAGGACGCUUUGUAUUAUUAUCCCUUUUGUCCUUUCUUCUGUAGCCUUCAUUAGAACAAACAUAUCUUGCAGAAGUGAUUACUCCGUCAAGUUUGCUCUUGUUUUCAUAAUUUACCCUUACAUCAAAACCAGUAUGACCUCCAUAACAUGUCCAAAAGUUCCAAGCCUCUUUUGUGGAAUUAAACUUCAUACCAAUCUAAGGCAUCCAACUAGGAACCACAUUUGUCCUGCACAAAUUAAGCAUAACUUAUUUGUUUCUCUGCUUACACUACAAUCAUAAGAUGACAUGGCCUAAUAAGAAUUGAAUAAAAUUAUUGGUACCUGUUAGAACCUUCGUUGGUGGAGUUAAUCAUAUUCUCCAUUACACUUUGUGUUUUUUCUUUUAUAAUCUAUGAUAGCAAACUCAGUCCAUGAGAUCUUUGUUGCUGCCAACAUGAAUACAAUUGAAACAUAUGUCAUAUACUUUGAGAUUGACGUCUUUAUUUUUGUUGCUACCAUGUACUCCCUCCGUUCCAAAUUACUCCCGCGACAAGUAAUUCGGAACGGAGGGAGUACAUCACAGGCACCUGUAUAUCAUCUACAACUCAAUAUAUCUUGUUCUUGUCCUAGCUACAAGGAGGACGAUCAGGACAAAAGUAAGAUAGAAGGGAAAUCAUCUACAACAGGCACACACCAACGUACCUUGGUCUUGUUCUCGCUAGAGAGGACGAGUGGGAGGAACAAGGGAGACGAGCAGGAGGAGGCGCCGAGGAAAUUGUCAACACGUUCUGAUUGGCCACAACGUUAGUUCAGCAGAAGCGAGAUCUCUACAACACGUUCAGAUCAGCAUACCUUGGUCUCAUUUUUUCUCCGAGGAGGACCAUCAGGAGGAAGAGGACGAGUGGGAGGAUUUUGGCACCAAGAAACUAUCAGCUCGCUCUGUUUGGCGCCAGCGUUUAUGUGUUUGGCGGCAAUUGUACAACCGUGGGAGAUUUUCCUCCGGACUAAUAGGGAUUUUUGUUCUAAUUAUUCAUAGAAUUAAGGGGGGAGAAAGGAGAGCCAUCCGAUUAAAAUAGACGGCAGAUGCUAGACGCUACAGCACGUGUACAGAGGAGCUGAACCCCCCACGAAGCGGCGCUUCAUGUACUACUAGUGCAACCCUGAGGACGCUAGUUGAUAUAAUAUUUCAUGGACCAUUAACUUGAAUUCUCGGUGUCUCCUUCUCCCACAUCGGCAUCUAUAUACACAUGGCAUUUGCUAAUCUCAUCAAUUUGCCGUUUUCAUCAAUCUCAUCUCUCUGAAGGAAAAGAGAUUUUGGUCGUGUGCCUACUUUGCUACUUCAGCAGUGUCACACAUGUAAGCUAUUGUUAUGUGGGACAGCCUUGCACGCAUUACAAACAACAAUGAAGGUUGUGAAGCUCUAGUAAGGCCAUUUAAAUAGGAUAUACAGGCUAUGCAAAUCGGGGACAUCAUUCUAACAGGAGAGGAUGGCACAUGGAUAUUUUAAUUCAUGGAGAUCUUGAUGUCAACUUUGGUCUAAUAAAGUACACACUUUCUUCCUAAAUGUAAGAUGUAAUUUUGAACUGCCAAAUCGUCUUACAUUUAGGAACAGAUGGUGUAUUUGAUAGCACUCUAUAAAUUAGCAUAUAACUCAUGAACAUCUAGCCUGGUGUGAUUAACAAUUUUAGAAGUCAUUGGGCAAAUCUCCCGGGCAAACAGACUGCAAAACAUACACAGCGAACACGUUUGCGUACCGCUUACUCAGUACACUAAUCUUGAAGAGUGCAUUUACAGUAUAAACAGAAAUGGGUCAAACUGAUGAGCAAAAAAAAUGUUUAUUUCCACUAAAGAAUCGAGUAACCGCUUUCAUGGUUGUAUAUGUUGCAAAGGAUAUAAAUAUGAAACUACCAAACCCCCAUUUGGAUUCUUGCACCAACCACAACCAACACAAGGGGAAGCCAAUCAAAAUUAAUAGACAAAAUGGGCAGUACAUUAUUCUUUUACAUUGACAAACACUACAUGGUUGAAUCAGCUCAGUCGACGAGAAGUCAGCGUGGACGAUGCGGUCAGACAGACAGGACUGGACUAUGGAAAGGGACCGGGCAAAGGAUGCACAAUCUUCACAGGUGCGCCUAAGUACUUACGGAUGAAGAUCGUAUAUGCUUAUUCGCCUUGCAAACAGUAAAGUUGGCGCAUAUUUCCUGAAGCUGGACACAAGAUUUAAUACAUCUAAUUGUCGACUCCAACAGUUUAUCUGAACAGCAAAUGAAACAAUUUUUGCAAUGAAAGAAAGUCUGAUGGGGGAAACUGAAAACAUAAAGACCAGGUCGAUCAUAUAGUUGAGUUUGUGUGACACCCCAAAAAUUUGGCCUUGUUUUAAUGAAUUAAAAUUUCUGCCAGGAAUUAAAACUUUGGAUAUCUGAGCUCCUUUUUGAUUUUUUUUUAAAUCAUUUCCUUCCCUGUUAUGAUGAGUUUUUCCCAAAGAGAAAACUUUGCAAAUAUGUUAUUGGACUUGUUUAACCUCUCAAGAAAAACUUCCCUUUAAUCAGUGUAACUAAUUAAAUAAUUAAGUUGCUUGAUCUUUAUUUUCUUGAAAAUGGUUUUUCAAGGUUAAAUGGCCAUAUUUGAACUACAACAAUUUGAUAAAUUCACUUAAAAUUCCAACUAAAAUUUGGAGAUGUCAUGUGAUGUUUUUAAAUCACUAUUAUGCAAAAAUAUAUUUCAUUCAUGAAAUAUUUUGAGCCCUGCACUCAAUUCUUCUUCUCUGGUCCAGAGUGCAUUUUGCACUACAACCCAUUUAAAUAUUUCUUCCUGGCCUCCAACAAAAUUAUGGGAAAUUGGUGAUGGCCUAAGAUUCCACAUUGUGCAAAAAUCCAGGGUUGUUCUUUGAAAAUAUUGAGUGAAUCAACCUCAUUUCCAUUCUGGACCAACUUGAUGAUUUGUACAGCAACCACCAUUUUAGUUGCUCCUAUAUCCAUGAUUAUUUCUCCUGCUUGUAGUCCCCCAUGUUAAACCCUUAAAUUCAGGAGCAUGCACCUUUUGGAUCAUUUUUGGUUCAUGAAAUGAUGCCAUUUGCUUCCUGUCCAGGAUUGAAGUUUUGUAAAACUUACACUAGCAAGUUUCUGCUUUUGGCCAACUAACCUCACCACCCUCUUUUACAUCUAAAGAGACCCCCAUCUAGAGUUUUUGGCCACUCCAAGACUUGCCUAAGUGCCCUUAGCAUUUUUGUCAAACACCUGGAGUGCAUGACCAGUUUUGACAUGAGUUGUGGCAUUGCACUGUGAACUUGCACCUCUGAUCAAACUAGCAUGUCCACUAGACUCCCCGUUACUCCUAACCUGGGUCUGUUAAUUGCCCGCCUCGACCGCGACCUCUAGCAUGCUCUGGCAUUACGUCGAGCACGUUCCGUGCACGCCCGGAGCGCGAGCAGAGCGUGCGUUUGACACGCACGUGCGCCGAGCCGACACGCUGGCCCCCACGGUUUUGGCCCACACUGCAGAGCCUCGCCACGCACUCCCUUUCUCACCGCUACGCGCCAAGCCGCCCCUCGCCACGCCCGGCAAGCCAAGAGCUAGCCGCCGCCGCCGCCCGACAGCCUCUGCCCAUGUCGGCGCCGCCAAAGCCACCUCCGCUUGCCAGCUCGCCCCUGGAGCAGUGCCCACUCGUCCGCUAGCUCCUGCCGUCAUCCCCAGCCACGCCACGUUGCCCUGCAAGCUACAGAGAGGCGGUUCGCCGGAGAGCUUAUCCGGCCGCCGCGGAACCGACCUCGACGAGCUAUAAAAGGAGGCCCCCGAGCCUCCCCGAGCACAGAGGAAGCCUUAGAAUGCUCCCCUAGUCCUCCCAUGGCAGACAAUCGACCCGGGGGAGGUCUUCUUCCCCAUCUCCGGCAACUGCAGCCGCCACCACUGCCCCGGCCAAUUCGGCACCACCAGGGCCUCCCACUCUCCGUUCUCUCCACCAAGAGCCCCCUCAUCCUCCCGUAAACCAUUCCCACUACUCGAUUUUGAUCGAGGACCACCGUAGCCCCAAAACCACUCUGCUCCCGAAGCUCCCCUCCGCCGCGAAGCUCACCGCCGAUGACUCUUUCCACCCCCGUCUACCCAGCGACCACCGGAAGGACCGCCGCAGUCUCGCGGAUCCAUCCAGACCCUCUGGAACCCGCGGGGAGCCACCGUUCGCCGGCGGCGAUCGCCGUUGCCUCGCCUCCGCUCGGGAUAGAGAAAGAGGAGGGAGGGAUAGACUGGUCAAACCUGACCAGUGGGCCCUCUGGACCCACUGUCAGCGACCCCGUGCCUGUCCACGUUGGAUUAAGUGAAGGCGUAUUUUCCCCAGUACGUUUUCCCCGCUCCGAAAGCGUAUUCACCUCCGAAACGUUUUCUUUUCUGUUUUAUUUAAAAACAGAUUUUGACCACAACUUUGACUGGUUAUAUCUUUUUAAAUAUAACUCCAAAUGAGUUGAUUCUUUUUCCUACCUUUCUCAAAUUUGGUCUAGUUUAUUUUAAGAUUUAUUUGAAAAAAAAAUUAAACAACUUUUUGGUACUGUUUUUGAAAUGUGUGUUAAUUCAAAUAUAUUUUUAAAUAGGAUUUUGGGGAGAGAGAAGAAGCUUUCAAAAGUUUUGGAGAGCACCCCACCCCUCCACAACAUUGAAGGCAAGCAUUCUGAAUCCCGGCAUAAUAUUUUUGGUGUGAUCGUGGAUACAUUUAUAACACCACCGCAUUUCGAAGGACUCGUUAUUUCAUGUGGUAUGAUCAUAUGCAUGAGUGCAUAUUAGUGAUUUCCAGGCUGUUGGAAAUGAACACACUUGUGAUAAUAAUCACCCUCAUGUGCCUUGCAUGCAUACCGGCAGGAACCUGGGAAAACCUCUGCCUUGGGUAGGCAUGAGUUUGUCGCCGGUCUCCGUCGGGACGGUUAUGUCUGGUAUGGCAUGGUAAGGUGAUAUGAGCGGUGACUCUGUUGGUUGAAAUAUAUAUUCGUUAUACUAAUCAUGCAGGGAAUGCUUAAACCUCCUGAGUCGACCGUAGAUCGAGUCUUGAGCCAGUAACCCCCAUACUUGUUUAGUGCUACCACUCGUCUCUACAGCAAGUAGAGUACGGUUUAGUAAGUUGUCAACCUCUUUCUAGCACACACCGUACAGAGAGGCCAUGGUGGAAGAUACCGGUUGUAGCUGGUAGGCAAGCCACCUGGUCCGGGGGCAUGGGUGUUUCCAGUUGGGACCGAGAGGGGAGGCCACCCCUUAGAGCGCGCGAUAUAAAUUUGAUCCCAUGCUACGCGAGGUUGUAGCCUCCCCACUUAGAGUUUGCUUAACAGGUGUCGUGGGUGGUUCCAGACACGUGUGAGUUAAGCUGGUGUGUGCAAGUUAGGUGUGUUUUCAACAAAAAAGACCGUAGACGGAAUUAGUCCCGAUGGACUAAAGAAAUCCGUUACUCGUGGGUAAAGAGUACACCCUCUGCAGACAAUAAAUCUAUUCGAAUAGCCGUGUCCAUGGUUAAGGAUGACAGUCUGGGAUGGGUCAAGUGCCGGUCUUAGUGUCGGUCUUCGGAGGUAAAACGGUUAACCAGAAAUGGAAUUACUACUCGUGACUUGUGAUAACUAUGAUUAUUAUUAUUGUUGACUAACCCGUGAUAUUAUUGUUAUUAUCGAGUAUCUCUGGGAUGGUUCUACCUCCGGGAUAUUCACUAUGAUUGUUUCUUUUAAAGCCCUUUAUGUGGUGUCGCUCAGACGCCCGACUGUGGCAUUUCUUUUAAAGCCCUUUAUGUGGUGUCGCUCAGACGCCCGAUUGUGGCAUUUCUUUUAAAGCCCUUUAUGUGGUGUCGCUCAGACGCCCGACUGUGGCAUUUCUUUUAAAGCCCUUUAUUUGGUGUCGCUCAGACNNNNNNNNNNNNNNNNNNNNNNNNNNNNNNNNNNNNNNNNNNNNNNNNNNNNNNNNNNNNNNNNNNNNNNNNNNNNNNNNNNNNNNNNNNNNNNNNNNNNNNNNNNNNNNNNNNNNNNNNNNNNNNNNNNNNNNNNNNNNNNNNNNNNNNNNNNNNNNNNNNNNNNNNNNNNNNNNNNNNNNNNNNNNNNNNNNNNNNNNNNNNNNNNNNNNNNNNNNNNNNNNNNNNNNNNNNNNNNNNNNNNNNNNNNNNNNNNNNNNNNNNNNNNNNNNNNNNNNNNNNNNNNNNNNNNNNNNNNNNNNNNNNNNNNNNNNNNNNNNNNNNNNNNNNNNNNNNNNNNNNNNNNNNNNNNNNNNNNNNNNNNNNNNNNNNNNNNNNNNNNNACUGUGGCAUUCCUUUAAAGCCCUUUUUGUGGUGUCGCUCAGACGCCCGACUGUGGCAUUUCUUUUAAAAGCCCUUUAUGUGGUGUCGCUAAGACGCCCGACUGUGGCAUUGCAUUGUUAUUUGUUUCAUAAAUUUUAAUACUACCAUGUUAUUGCAUUUUUAUAAAUAACUUGCUUGCACGCAUCAGAGUUUCAUUUAUCUUUUGUGACUGACGUCAUGAGCAUAAAAUAUUUUUAGCACAUCAUUGUUACAUUAUACCUGUGUUCUUAAUGUUUGCGAGUACAUUCAAAGUACUCACUGGCUUGUCCCUGGCUAUUGUCUUGGCCAGACUUUCUUGCUCGGAGAGGAGCGACGCGAUGCCAGCCCCGAAACCCACACAAUGGAGAUAGCAACCUCGCGAAGAUAGGAGUUAACCUGGUCAGCUGUUUCUGUGGAAAAUGGAGCCCCAUAGGCACUGAUGUUUCACAGACCGCUUCCGCCAUCAACCACUAGAAACCAUUUGUUGUACUCACAGACCAGAAUGGUCUUGUACUACAUAUGUUGUAUUCUGCUUGGAAUUUCUGUAUUAAGUUGGAGCCUCAUCAGCUAACAGUAAUCCUGGGGCUGAUGAGCACGACGGUCUUUUCUGGAAAUUUAUGUCUGGAGAACCGGUCGUGGCAGACUUGGUAUCAGAGCCAGGCUGACCAUUGGCUAAUCCUAUCUUAGCCAGGUCGAAAAACUUAGGCAAACCAACCCACUAGACCUUAGCCAAACCCCAGCCAAGCUUCUCGUGCAAGAUAGCCACACAGUGACCCAACACCUUUUUGGCAGUCGGUGCCCAACCUAUCAACCUAACCUGUCACUCAUGCGCCAGUGACCGGCCCCUAAAUAGUCCUUUCUCGCAAGCGUGCGAAGGAAGACUCCGCCCCCUUUUUCCUAUAAAAAGGGCACGCUAGUCCCAACACAGCACCGCACAGCCGCUAACCCAAACCGAGCCACAAUGCCUGGACCCAUAGUGCACAACGAGACCACAGCAACCAACCUUGGAGAUUUUGUGACCAUACUCGCAAACCUCACCCGUCGUGCCUAUGCGUUAGAAGAGCCACCAGACUAUGUUGUGUAUCAAGGACCCAUGAGCGGUGAAGACCGUCAAUUCUGGGCCACUGUGCACAUCUACGGUAGGGGUCUAGCACCCGAGCGCCCCUACAGGUUCACUGGAAGGACAACUUCCUUUGAGCCACAAGCCAUCCAGCUAGCCGCUCGAGAGGCUAUAGUUCAUCUCAGGCACUUGUCGCCCAGAGUUAACUGUCGCUCGUUCCACUACUACCCCAGACGUGAAGGGUAUGGUAGACCACCCCAAGUUGCCAACGGAGAUCACGAGACGGACCCCGCAUUAUUACACCUAGUGCGCUAUGUAAGUGCACUAGAGGCACUGUUCGAUCAGAUCACUAUUGAUCUAAUCGCAGCUCGUGGAGAGCUGGUUCGUCGAGCCCCAGCGAGAGAAGAAAACGAGCCCAACACCGACAACCCAGUCGUGCUGUUUGGACAACCGAUCGAGACCCCGAGAUCUGCCUCAGCCAUCGGCCAAGGUGCUGCGAUAACCCCAGAGGUGCUUCGUCGCAUAUUGGGAGCACACUCCAACGGGGUUGUGGCCAACAAUCCCCGCGAUGGUCACCAUCACUACCCCGACCCUGCAGUUCCUCCGCCAUCUCCGACUAAUCCCGGCAGAGAGACACGUGGAGAAGCCUCAACAUCCACCAGGCACGCCCGUUUAGACAUAAACGAGGUAGACUAAGCCGUAUGAGUAGCACCGAGUUUCAGUGUAUCCUCGCUUUGUAAUCAUGCGACCGUGUAUAUUAACGCAGCCUGUCGUUGUGCCUCUGUUUUAAUAGUAGCCUUGCAUAUUUGGUCAGCGCAUAGCUGCAUAUUUUUCCGGGCACAACUACCAAAACCAACCCGACGACAACCACAGUAACACGUCUCUUUAUGAGAUAUGUGUAUCUCUGACACUGACCCGACCUUUGGAGCGAAGCUGGCAAAUUUAUUACCUUUCACCACGGUAAAACGAUCCGGCUCCAUUGCUAUAUAAAGGCCACCUUGUGACCUUACCCAGCAACCCCCACUUUGUGCACCACACUCACACUUUUUCCUGUCAUGCCGAGCCCCAGCAUUCAUCUGAGAACCCUAGAUGCAACCCCAGGUAGCUUUGUCAAAAUAUUGUGGGAUUUUACCCGCAGUACCAUGGGUUCUACCCAGCCACCUCAGUACGAGCUGUUCAAAUCAAGGAUCACCCCAUCCACCUCGGAAUAUUGGGCAGCAGUACAUAUCCCUCCCGUAGACUCCAAUCAAGAUCCAACGGAAGUUUCCUUCAUGGGGAAAUCUAUGCCAACCCCACACCUGGCCAUAGAAGCUGCUGCGAAAGAAGCGAUUGCUCGUCUUCGAUCCGCAGUACCCUAUGCCCGCGAACGAGGAUAUUAUUACUUUCCGAGUCGUGUAGCACCCGGAGAAGUAACAUCUUUUCCCGGUGGACGUAUUGAAAGAGACCCAGUUCUGGCCAACCUUAUCCAGUACAUCAUUGCUCAAGAGCAUUUGAACCAGCGAGUGAUGGAUUAUCUCCAGAGCCUCGCAGAUUUAAAUCCUCAGAUUGCCAUCGGCAGACCACUGAGACCCGACCCGGAGAGACGCAUACAUCGACUGGUCAAUCCACUGCCUACGAUAGAAGAAGAGUGUAUUCCUUUACCAGAGACAUUUUUUCAGGACCCCGUCCAGUUACCGUUUUCAUUUUAGACGUCACUAGUGUAUUUGUUUUUGCAGCAUUUAUAUUUGCGGGUAUCUUAUGCAUGGUAUCCCAAAUUUGUGCGACGAGUCAAUUAUUUUGGCUUCUUCUAAUGUGUGUAGUUUUUGUUGUGGUUUAUGCUCCUUUAAAUUAACUGUUUUUCCCUCGCAAAAUCCUGGAGUGGGGUUUCUUUUCCCUGAGUUGCUACACCUGCCCUUCUCACGACGUGGAUUAAUUAAUUUCACACAGCACCACGCAGCAGACUCACAACCAUAAUAAUUCGGAUACAUACACUGUUUGCAAAACCUUGCAAUGGUGUUACAUCCAGCUAAUCACCCCCUAACAACAGUUAGCACCCGGCACACUCCAUCUACUCCUCAUGAUCACUACCACCGCGGAGAGCCAACACCCGAGCCGCAGCGUCACGACACUCGUCGUAGAUCAUCGCGCACAGGAGCACAGAGAGCCCCAGCAGUGUCGCCAGCCCUCCGCAUAUCAGGAUCACAAACCAGUCCGGCAUCGCCUCCACCAUUAGAGCCUCACCUGAGCUUCUGUAAGCAGUAAUGGAGAAAGGAGGAGGAGAAGUGAGGCCAGGUGUGAGGAAGAAGAGAGAGGCACCCCGGCCGUUUUAUAGCUCGAGCUCGGUGUACGAUGGGCGAAGUCCACCAACGCCGCUCGUCGCCGAACGCCGGUGUUCGGAGUCGAAUCCGCGAGCAGUGCCGACAGCGCGCUGGCCCGCGAGGUGAGUGCACGCUGCACCGGCAGCUAGCACGCCGCGCACUACCACGGUACGGCCUAGAUGCCCUACGCAUUAGGCAUCGCCGGUGGAGAUAGCGCGAGAAAGCGCGCGGGAGAGAAGAGGUAGAAGGAAGAGCCAGAGGGAGAAGAGGAGACUGACAGUGGACCCCGGGUUCACCUGUCAGCCAGAGGGAGCACUGUGCUCUCGGGUACGACCAGCGUAUAUUUAAAUUUAGGAGUUAUUCUAAAUUUAUAUCCAGCGUAGAAAUCUGACGUUUUUGUCCCGAACCGUAGACUCUUCCACGCAGCACCAGUUUUCACACUGUGGUUUUUCACCACUUAUUGCCCUCUCACUAUAGCCACAUCUUUAUUGCAUAAUUAUUUUCUUAACACCGCUUUUAGCAAAUCUCGAGGACGAGAUUUUUCUUAAGGGGGAUAGUAUUGUGACACCCCAAAAAUUUGGCCUUGUUUUAAUGAAUUAAAAUUUCUGCCAGGAAUUAAAACUUUGGAUAUCUGAGCUCCUUUUUGAUUUUUUUAAAUCAUUUCCUUCCCUGUUAUGAUGAGUUUUUCCCAAAGAGAAAACUUUGCAAAUAUGUUAUUGGACUUGUUUAACCUCUCAAGAAAAACUUUCCUUUUAUCAGUGUAACUAAUUAAAUAAUUAAGUUGCUUGAUCUUUAUUUUCUUGAAAAUGGUUUUUCAAGGUUAAAUUGCCAUAUUUGAACUACAACCAUUUGAUAAAUUCACUUAAAAUUCCAACCAAAAUUUGGAGAUGUCAUGUGAUGUUUUUAAAUCACUAUUAUUGAAAAAUAUAUUUCAUUCAUGAAAUAUUUUGAGCCCUGCACUCAAUUCUUCUUCUCUGGUCCAGAGUGCAUUUUGCACUACAACCCAUUUAAAUAUUUCUUCCUGGCCUCCACCAAAAUUAUGGGAUAUUGGUAAUGGCCUAAGAUUCCACUUUGUGCAAAAAUCCAGGGUUGUUCUUUGAAAAUAUUGAGUGAAUCAACCUCAUUUCCAUUCUGGACCAACUUGAUGAUUUGUACAGCAACCACCAUUUUAGUUGCUCCUAUAUCCAUGAUUAUUUCUCCUGCUUGUAGUCCCCCAUGUUAAACCCUUAAAUCCAGGAGCAUGCACCUUUUGGAUCAUUUUUGGUUCAUGAAAUGAUGCCAUUUGCUUCCUGUCCAGGAUUGAAGUUUUGUAAAACUUACACUAGCAAGUUUCUGCUUUUGGCCAACUAACCUCACCACCCUCUUUUACAUCUAAAGAGACCCCCAUCUGGAGUUUUUGGCCACUCCAAGACUUGCCUAAGUGCCCUUAGCAUUUUUGUCAAACACCUGGAGUGCAUGACCAGUUUUGACAUGAGUUGUGGCAUUGCACUGUGAACUUGCACCUCUGAUCAAACUAGCAUGUCCACUAGACUCCCCGUUACUCCUAACCUGGGUCUGUUAAUUGCCCGCCUCGACCGCGACCUCUAGCAUGCUCUGGCAUUACGUCGAGCACGUUCCGUGCACGCCCGGAGCGCGAGCAGAGCGUGCGUUUGACACGCACGUGCGCCGAGCCGACACGCUGGCCCCCACGGUUUUGGCCCACACUGCAGAGCCUCGCCACGCACUCCCUUUCUCACCGCUACGCGCCAAGCCGCCCCUCGCCAUGCCCGGCAAGCCAAGAGCUAGCCGCCGCCGCCGCCCGACAGCCUCUGCCCAUGUCGGCGCCGCCAAAGCCACCUCCGCUCGCCAGAUCGCCCCUGGAGCAGUGCCCACUCGUCCGCUAGCUCCUGUCGUCAUCCCCAGCCACGCCACGUUGCCCUGCAAGCUACAGAGAGGCGGUUCGCCGGAGAGCUUAUCCGGCCGCCGCGGAACCGACCUCGACGAGCUAUAAAAGGAGGCCCCCGAGCCUCCCCGAGCACAGAGGAAGCCUUAGAAUGCUCCCCUAGUCCACCCAUGGCAGCCAAUCGACCCGGGGGAGGUCUUCUUCCCCAUCUCCGGCAACUGCAGCCGCCACCACUGCCCCGGCCAAUUCGGCACCACCAGGGCCUCCCACUCUCCGUUCUCUCCACCAAGAGCCCCCUCGUCCUCCUGUAAACCAUUCCCACUACUCGAUUUUGAUCGAGGACCACCGUAGCCCCAAAACCACUCUGCUCCCGAAGCUCCCCUCCGCCGCGAAGCUCACCGCCGAUGACUCUUUCCACCCCCGUCUACCCAGCGACCACCGGAAGGACCGCCGCAGUCUCGCUGAUCCAUCCAGACCCUCUGGAACCCGCGGGGAGCCACCGUUCGCCGGCGGCGAUCGCCGUUGCCUCGCCUCCGCUUAGGACAGAGAAAGAGGAGGGAGGGAUAGACUGGUCAAACCUGACCAGUGGGCCCUCUGGACCCACUGUCAGCGACCCCGUGCCUGUCCACGUGGGAUUAAGUGAAGGUGUAUUUUCCCCAGUAAGUUUUCCCCGCUCCGAAAGCGUAUUCACCUCCGAAACGUUUUCUUUUAUGUUUUAUUUAAAAACAGAUUUUGACCACAACUUUGACUGGUUAUAUCUUUUUAAAUAUAACUCCAAAUGAGUUGAUUCUUUUUCCUACCUUUCUCAAAUUUGGUCUAGUUUAUUUUAAGAUUUAUUUGAAAAAAAAAUUAAACAACUUUUUGGUACUGUUUUUGAAAUGUGUGUUAAUUCAAAUAUAUUUUUAAAUAGGAUUUUGGGGAGAGAGAAGAAGCUUUCAAAAGUUUUGGAGAGCACCCCACCCCUCCACAACAUUGAAGGCAAGCAUUCUGAAUCCCGGCAUAAUAUUUUUGGUGUGAUCGUGGAUACAUUUAUAACACCACCGUAUUUCGAAGGACUCGUUAUUUCAUGUGGUAUGAUCAUAUGCAUGAGUGCAUAUUAGUGAUUUCCAGGCUGUUGGAAAUAAACACACUUGUGAUAAUAAUCACCCUCAUGUGCCUUGCAUGCAUACCGGCAGGAACCCGGGAAAACCUCUACCUUGGGUAGGCAUGAGUUUGUCGCCGGUCUCCGUCGGGACGGUUAUGUCUGGUAUGGCAUGGUAAGGUGAUAUGAGCGGUGACUCUAUUGGUUGAAAUAUAUAUUCGUUAUACUAAUCAUGCAGGGAAUGCUUAAACCUCCUGAGUCGACCGUAGAUCGAGUCUUGAGCCAGUAACCCCCAUACUUGUUUAGUGCUACCACUCGUCUCUACAGCAAGUAGAGUACGGUUCAGUAAGUUGUCAACCUCUUUCUAGCACACACCAUACAGAGAGGCCAUGGUGGAAGAUACCGGUUGUAGCUGGUAGGCAAGCCACCUGGUCCGGGGGCAUGGGUGUUUCCGGUUGGGACCGAGAGGGGAGGCCACCCCUUAGAGCGCGCGAUAUAAAUUUGAUCCCAUGCUAUGCGAGGUUGUAGCCUCCCCACUUAGAGUUUGCUUAACAGGUGUCGUGGGUGGUUCCAGACACGUGUGAGUUAAGCUGGUGUGUGCAAGUUAGGUGUGUUUUCAACAAAAAAGACCGUAGACGGAAUUAGUCCCGAUGGACUAAAGAAAUCCGUUACUCGUGGGUAAAGAGUACACCCUCUGCAGAGAAUAAAUCUAUUCGAAUAGCCGUGUCCAUGGUUAAGGAUGACAGUCUGGGAUGGGUCAAGUGUCGGUCUUAGUGUCGGUCUUCGGAGGUAAAACGGUUAACCAGAAAUGGAAUUACUACUCGUGACUUGUGAUAACUAUGAUUAUUAUUAUUGUUGACUAACCCGUGAUAUUAUUGUUAUUAUCGAGUAUCUCUGGGAUGGUUCUACCUCCGGGAUAUUCACUAUGAUUGUUUCUUUUAAAGCCCUUUAUGUGGUGUCGCUCAGACGCCCGACUGUGGCAUUUCUUUUAAAGCCCUUUAUGUGGUAUCGCUCAGACGCCCGACUGUGGCAUUUCUUUUAAAGCCCUUUAUGUGGUGUCGCUCAGACGCCCGACAGUGGCAUUUCUUUUAAAGCCCUUUAUGUGGUGUCGCUCAGACGCCCGAUUGUNNNNNNNNNNNNNNNNNNNNNNNNNNNNNNNNNNNNNNNNNNNNNNNNNNNNNNNNNNNNNNNNNNNNNNNNNNNNNNNNNNNNNNNNNNNNNNNNNNNNNNNNNNNNNNNNNNNNNNNNNNNNNNNNNNNNNNNNNNNNNNNNNNNNNNNNNNNNNNNNNNNNNNNNNNNNNNNNNNNNNNNNNNNNNNNNNNNNNNNNNNNNNNNNNNNNNNNNNNNNNNNNNNNNNNNNNNNNNNNUUCUUUUAAAAGCCCUUUAUGUGGUGUCGCUCAGACGCCCGACUGUGGCAUUUCUUUUAAAGCCCUUUAUGUGGUGUCGCUCGGACGCCCAACUGUGGCAUUCCUUUAAAGCCCUUUUUGUGGUGUCGCUCAGACGCCCGACUGUGGCAUUUCUUUUAAAAGCCCUUUAUGUGGUGUCGCUAAGACGCCCGACUGUGGCAUUGCAUUGUUAUUUGUUUCAUAAAUUUUAAUACUACCAUGUUAUUGCAUUUUUAUAAAUAACUUGCUUGCACGCAUCAGAGUUUCAUUUAUCUUUUGUGACUGACGUCAUGAGCAUAAAAUAUUUUUAGCACAUCAUUGUUACAUUAUACCUGUGUUCUUAAUGUUUGCGAGUACAUUCAAAGUACUCACCGGCUUGUCCCUGGCUAUUGUCUUGGCCAGACUUUCUUGCUCGGAGAGGAGCGACGCGAUGCCAGCCCCGGAACCCACACAAUGGAGAUAGCAGCCUCGCGAAGAUAGGAGUUAACCUGGUCAGCUGUUCCUGUGGGAAAUGGAGCCCCAUAGGCACUGAUGUUUCACAGACCGCUUCCGCCAUCAACCACUAGAAACCAUUUGUUGUACUCACAGACCAGAAUGGUCUUGCACUACAUAUGUUGUAUUCUGCUUGGAAUUUCUGUAUCAAGUUGGAGCUUCAUCAGCUAACAGUAAUCCUGGGGCUGAUGAGCACGACGGUCUUUUCUGGAAAUUUAUGUCCGGAGAACCGGUCGUGGCAGUUUGCUACUUCGGUUACAAAUACAAAUUCAUUCGGUUAAGUUUACCAAUUUUUGAGUCAAAUGAAAGAAUGCACCAAGAACCACAUUCUUAUCACUGUAUUAAAUAUUGUCCAUAUCACUUCAGAAAUGACGAACAAAGCAAUCAAGAACCAUGGCAAGCAUCAAGAACUGCACUAUUAUUAGUCUUGUCCAAGUCUCCCAAAUUGCGAACUUUACUAAUCCUGAAUCCUAACAGGGAUCCUGAACCAUUUUUUUAUCAGUGAGAGCAUUAGUUGUUCUUUAGAAAGUGGUUAGUGUCAGUUGAAUAUUAAUGGAAAAAUAAAUAUGACUACAUUAUGUACGGUUCCAAACACAUAUAUGAGAAAUCAAUAGUGAUAACUCCAGAAAAGCCAGUGCCAGAUCAUUGCUUGGAGUCAUAAUUAUCCACCAUACUGCACAAUGUAAGAUCAUAUGACCACUAACUAACUAGAGCGGAUAUUGCAUGAAAAUCAAGUUCUCACAUAUUACCAUGAGAUAGCGAGUGACAAUAGCAUGGACUUUUAAUUAACUUAUGUUUUCGAACAUGUAACCUAGUGUGAUUAAUUAGGAAUUUUAGCUUAUGUUAACAUAUAGUUUGCGAACAUGUAAUCUAGUGUGAUUAACUAGGAAUUUUAGCUUAUAUUAACAUAUAGUUUGCGAACGUGUAACCUAGUAUGAUUAACUAGGAAUUUUAGCUUAUAUUAAUAAUUUUCAAAGUAUUGUGCAAAUCCUCGGAUCAAAUAGAGUGCUCAGAUACGCAGCAAACACAUGUGUGUACCGUUUACUCAUAUACCGAUCUUCAUAGUGCAUUUUUAUAGUAUAAAUAGAAAUGAGCCAAGUUAAAGUGUGAAAGAUGUUUAUUCCCACUAAAGAAUGGAGUAACUGCUAUUCAUGGUUGUAUAUGUUACAAAGGAUGUAAAUAUGAAACUACCAAACUCCCGUUUGGAUCCUUGCACCACCCGCAGCCAACAAAGGGUGAAGCCAAAAUUAAUAGGCAAAAAUGGGCAGUACAAUUAUUUACUCCAUCUGUUUCUAAAUAUAAGUCUUUUUAGAGAUUUCAAUAUAAACGACAUACGGAUGUAUAUAGACAUACUUUAGAGUGUAGAUUCACUCAUUUUGCUCUGUAUGUAAUCUCUUAUUGGAAUCUCUAAAAAGACUUGCAUUUAGGAACGGAGGGUGUAUUUUACAUUGACAAGCAUGACACGUUGGAAUAUUGUUAGAAAUCAGGUUCAGUCAACCCUCUAUUCCUAUUAUGCAGUAGUGUUCAGCUCUCCUUUAUGCUUGGGGUUGCGACCACCUUUUAUUUCGUAUGCAUGAGACUAAUACUCGGUCAUAUAACUCAUGAACGUCAUCAGUACCCUAAUCAUAUAAAUCUACAAUAAAACUCUGAUAGCUCUUCAACCUACCUUCACCCUAGGCCUGUAUGGUUUGGCUGGGGUCUGCGGACGCAAUUUCCCGAGUUGCACCUAGUGUUAAUGAGAUAAAAUCCAUAACAAAAUGCAUAUCAAAAUUCUUAAUAAAUUGGGUUUGACUAGAUAUGCACAACAUGGUAGUAUAGGCAACCAUAUGUUGGUAACACAUCUAAUCUGUAUAUCCCUGGGCUGCAACCCUAUCUUGUGAGAUUGCAUCCACGGUGUAGAAUACACUCAUACACCGUUGCUGGGAUACAUAACUCCCAAAGAGAUUCAUUCACCCAGCAAGCACGAUUUGGCGGAAUACUACUGCAACCAUGCGCCCAUCAAACGGCGCUUCAUGGACUACUAGUACAACCUUGAAGACGUCAGUUGAUAUAAUAUUUCAUGGACCAUUAACUUGAAUUCUCGGUGUCUCCCUUUCCCACAUCGGCAUCUAUAUACACAUGGCAUUUGCUAAUCUCAUCAAUUUGCCGUUUCCAUCUCAUCUCUUGGUCGUGUGCCUACUUUGCUACUUCGGCAGCGUCACACAUGAAAGCUGUUGUUAUGUGGGUCCGCUGGUGCACGCAUUACAAACAAUGAUGAAGGUUGUGACGCUCUAGUGAGGCCAUUUAAAUAGGACAUACAGGCUAUGCAAAUCAGGGACAUCAUUCUGACCGGAGAGGAUGGCACAUGGAUAUUUUAAUUCAUGAAGAUCUUGAUGUCAACUUUGGACAUCAUUCUGACUGUACACACUUUGUUCCUAAAUGUAAGACAUAAUUUUGAACUGCCAAAUCGUCUUACAUUUAGGAACAGAGGGUGUAUUUUAUAGCGCUCUAUAAAUUAGCAUGUAACUCGUGAACAUCUAGCCUGGUGUGAUUAACAAUUUUAAAAGUCUUGGGCAAAUCUCCAGGGCAAACAGAGUGCAAAACAUACACAGCGAACACGUUUGCAUACCGCUUACUCAGUACACCAAUCUUGAAGAGUGCAUUUACAGUAUAAAUAGAAAUGGGCCAAACUGAUGAGCAAAAGAAAUGUUUAUUUCCACUAAAGAAUCGAGUAACCGCUUUCAUGGUCGUAUAUGUUACAAAGGAUAUAAAUAUGAAACUACCAAACCCCCAUUUGGAUCCUUGCACCAACCACAACCAACACAAGGGGAAGCCGAUCAAAAUUAAUAGACAAAAUGGGUAGUACAUUAUUUCUUUUACAUUGACAAACACUACAAGGUUGAAUCAGCUCAGUCGACGAGAAGUCAGCGUGGACGAUGCAGUCGGAUGGACGGGACUAGACUAUGGAAGGGGACCGGGCGAAGGAUGCACAAUCUUCACAGGUGCGGCUAAGUACUUACGGAUGAAGAUUGUAUAUGCUAAUUCGCCUUGUAAACAGUAAAGCCGGUGAAUAUUUCCUCAAACUGGACAUGAGAUUUAACACAUCUACUAAUUAUCAACUCCAACAGUUUAUUUGAAGAGCAAAUGAAACAAUUUUUGCAGUGAAAGAAAGUCUGAUGGUGGAAAUUGAAAACAUAAGGACCAGGUCGAUGAUAUAAUUGAGUUUGCUAAUUAAAUAACAAAUACAAAUUCAUUUGGUUAAGUUUACCAAUUUUUGACUCAAAUGAAAGAAUGCACCAAGAACCACAUUCUUAUCACUGUAUUAAAUAUUGUCAAUAUCACUUCAAGAAUGGCGAACAAAGCAAUCAAGAGCCAUGGCGCAAGCAUCAGGAACUGCAAUAUUAUUAGUCCUGUCCAAGUCUCCCAAAUUACGAACUUGACUAAUCCUGAAUUCUAACAGGCAUCCUGAACCAUUUUUUUAUCAGUGAGAGCAUCAGCUGUUCUUUGAAAAGUGGUCAGGGUCAGUUGAAUAUCAAUGGAAAAAUAAAGAUGACUACAUUAUGUACUGUUUCAUACACAUAUAUACGAAAUCAAUAGUGAUAACUCUAGAAAAGACAGUGCCAGAUCGUUGCUUGAAGUCAUAAUAAGCCACCAUACUGCACCACCCGCAGCCAACAAAAGGUAAAGCCAAAAUUAAUAGGCAAAAAUGGGCAGUAUAAUUAUUUACUUUACAUUGACAAGCAUGACAUGCUAGAAUAUUGUUAGAAAUUAGGGCUCAGUCUACCCUCUAUUCCUCUGCCUUGUCGUCCAUUAAUACAUACUAGUAUACAUUAUGCAGUAGUGUUCAACUCUCCUUUAUGCUUGGGUCACGACCACCUUUAUUUUAUAUGCAUGAGACUAACUGAAAGAUCGAGAAUGUCGCCUAGAGGAGGGGGGGAGGGUGAAUAGGCGCUUUAAAAUAAUUACGGUUUAGGCUUGAACAAAUACGGAAUAAACCUAACGGUUAAUUUGUCAAGCACAAAACCUAAAACGACUAGACUCAUCUAUGUGUACCAACAACUUAUGCUAAGCAAGAUAAACAACUAUGUGAUAGCAAGAUAUAUGACAACAAAUAAUAUGGCUAUCACAAAGUAAAGUGCAUAAGUAAAGAACUCGAAUAAAAGAUAACCGAGGCAUGUGGAGACGACGAUGUAUCCCGAAGUUCACACCCUUGCAGAUGCUAAUCUCGUUUGGAGCGCUGUGGAGGCACAAUGCUCCUCAAGAAGCCACUAGGGCCACUGUAAUCUCCUCACGCCCUCGCACAAUGCAAGAUGUCGUGAUUCCACUAAGGGACCCUUGAGAGCGGUCACCGAACCCGUAUAAAUGGUGACCCUUGGGGCGGUCACCGAACCCGUACACUUUGGCAACCCUUGGGGGCGGUCACCGGUACCCGUCAAAUUGCUCGAGGCGAUCUCCACAACCUAAUUGGAGACCCCGACGCUUGUCCGGAGCUUUACACCACAAUGAUUGAGCUUCAAACACCACCAACCAUCUAGGACGCCCAAACACCCAAGAGGAAUAAGCUCAUGGGUACCAAGCACCCAAGAGUAAUAAGCUUCUCAACUUGUAACUUCCACGUAUCACGUGGAGAACUCAAACUGAUGCACCCAAUGCAAUGGCAAGGGCACACGGAGUGCCCAAGUCCUUCUCUCUCAAAUCCCACCGAAGCAACUAAUGCUAGGGAGGAAAAUAAGAGGAAGAACAAGAAGGAGAACACCAAUAACUCAAAGAUCUAAAUCCAAGGGGUUCCCAUCACAUAGAGGAGAAAGUGAUUGGUGGAAAAGUGGAUCUAUAUAUCCUCUCUCUUUUCCCUCAAAAACUAGCAAAAAUCCAUAGAGGGAUUGAGAGUUAGCAAGUUCGAAGAAGGUCAACAAUGGGGAAGAAUACGAGCUCAAAGGAUACAGUUCAUUGGGGAAGAAGACCCCCUUUUAUAGGUGGGGAAAAACCAACCGUUAUGCUCACAUCCCGCACAGAGCGGUACUACCGCUCGUUCUCACGGUACUAUCGCUAGGGGUCGCGGUACUACCUCAAAGGGUAGCGGUACUACUGCUUGCGAGUGGUACUAAAAAAAUACAUCCGUGCGUACCACCGCUGGACUUGUGAUGAGUUUUUGGUCCAGAGCGGAAGUAGCCACGGAAGUAGUAAAAAAUCACAUCCCCUCCAAGCGGUAGUACCGCUGCAGCUUUUAUAAGGACACCAAAACUGACACAACUUCUGCAAACGGACUCCGAAUUCAACGAAACCAAGUUUGUUGGAAAGCUAGCGACAAGGGCUAACGCAAUCUUGAUAAAAAACAAUAAGAAGCAAAUUAUAAAAGUCCCAUAAGAAAAUGGUGAGAACCCUUCCUCGAAUAAGACUGGUAAAACCUCCAACACCGAAAACGCAAUAGAAAAAGCAUGUGAACUCCAUUUCCGAUGAACUCGAGCUUGUCAAGAAGAUGACCAUAAGCUCCCAAUCUCACAAGGAGAAAACCAAACAAGAACCAAGAAAGAUGAUGCAAGCAUGCAAUGGUUUGAGCUAUCUACGAACGAUACGACAAACGAUCCUAUAACUCGGUCUCCAAACUACCACCAUGAGACCAGUAAAAUGGAGAACUUAUCAAGGCCAAACCUUUGCCUUGCACAAAGUCCACUUGAGCUAGAUGUAGACGAUCUUGACUUCCUCAAGUAGGACCACCUUUCUUGAUUGCGUUGGCUCGGUGAAGACUAGUAGAUUUCUUCCUCAUACUCCAUUAUGGGUGAGCCACUUUUCAGCACAUCUUCACAAGUCCAUUAUCACCACAAUGGACGGAAAUAUUCAAGCACUUGAUCUCUUCGUGAUGCAUCACUUGAACGUGCACACCGCAACCUAACCCCACAAAGAACUCUCACGAAGACUAUGGAUUAGUACACAAAGCAUAAUGGUCAAUGCUUACCAUACCAUGGGAUCACUUGAUCCCUCUCGAUACAUCUUCUACACUUUGUGAUUUGAUCAACUUGAUUCACUCUUGACUUAGUCUUGAUCAACCUUGAACCUUUCCAACUCUCUUCAUUUGGAUGAUGCCUUGAAGGUAAGCAUGAAUGAUCACACAAUCUUCUUCUUCAAGACAUGCUUGCAAUAAGACCAACUCUCACAUGACCAAUCUUUGGAUAAUUCCUUAAUAUCACCUUGGUCAACACAUAAACUCCUUGAAACCAACACAUGGACUUCAAGAAGUGCCUAUGGAAAAAUCCUUCAAAUAUAACUCAAUGCAACCAUUAGCCCAUCGAGAAUGUCAUCAAUUACCAAAACCACACUUGGGAGCACCGCAUGUCCUUUCAAUCUCCCCCAUUUUGGUAAUUGAUGACAAUCACUUUCAAGAGAGUUUAUAUAAGGAAUUAUGCAUCACCAUGCAAUGCAACAACCAAUGAUCCAUGAGUAUGAGAUGCAGAUGCUUAGGAACAAAACCAAAGCAAUGCAUGAGUAUGAGAUGCAAAAGCUUAGGAACAAAACCAAAGCAAGAACAAAACUCUGAAAACUUCUCCACAAAACUCUCUGAAACUUCUACCCAAUUAGCAUCGAUUGCGAAAAUGGGAGAAAAGCUUAGAAGGCCAAUAAAUUGUGUUCCUCCAUAAAUUGUCUAUUUCUCAACAAGAGAGUGGAAUGCAAUACACAUAUCCAACAGUAAAUACUUGGAGGAAGACAAACUAUGUUGAGGCCCAAAGAUUGCAAAAGAAUGAUAUGCCACAAAAACAUAACAAAGAGAUAAACAAGCAAUAAAGCAAUCAAAAGAUACCAAUUGAAGCAAGCUAUCAAAAGAUACCAAUUGAACCAACUAGACCAAUGAUCCUACGUGCCACAUGAAUAAAAGAUAUUAUGGUAUGAACAAAGGAGUGUUCUGGAGAAACUAGAGAAGCUCCCCAUGAUUUGUGCACAAUUUAGUUUUGUAAUUGGAUACAACGAGCACAAAAUAGGAUCGUCACUCCCCCAAGAUCAAUAGAACCUCACGACAAGUGCAAGAGAGCAAUGGAGUGUUCUAAAGACACUAGUGAAGCUCCCCAUGAUUUGUGCACUCCUUAGAAUAUUUGUAUUAGGAUACCAAGUGCACAAAAUAGGAUCAUCACUCUCCGAAAAUCAAUAGAAACUCACAACAAGUGCAAGUGAGCAUGUAGGAAACAAAGCCUAGCACUUGCGACAAACAAAUGGUUGAGCAACAUAUAAAAGAGGCAACUUAAGAGUAGGCUCAACCAAAAUGAUGUGUGUGAGUCAUGGGAAAGCACUUGAGAAGACUAAUGUAAGGGUGAGCAUUAAGCAUCAACAUAGUCUUGAAUAGUGGAGAUACAAGGUGCAUGACAUGUCCUUCCCACACACACCAAGCAAAUAGAUAGACAAGCUUACUAAAAGGUGAAAUUACAACAAAGCUUGUGACAACCCAUGGUGAAGAUAGAAAGUGAAAGCCUCAUCAAGACGAGGGAUACCAAAGCCUCGUCAAGACAAGCAUGAGGAAAAAGAUCUUCACCACACAAGAGUGCAUCAAGAUGCAACGAGAUAUGACCCACACUCAAGGAACACACUUUCACGGAGCCACCAAAGAAAUAACAAGAGAAAGAAACUGUGGGCGUGAAACAAGGGGAUAUCAACUAGAAAUGCAACUUCUCUCAAGUGUAUAAGAUUCUAGGUAGAUGAAUAUCAAUCCAAAAAGAAGGAUGUACACACGAAAUAAUUACACACAGGAAAGAACAAGAUAUCCACAAGGAAGUCAUAAAUAUACCAAUAAAAUAUUUGCUUGAAAGCAUAGCACAUGGCUAGAUAAGGUAUUAUUGUAUAUAAAUGAAGUCCAACCACACAUCCAUCAAAGACAUCACAACUAGCAACAAGAGAUCAUCGUUGGUAUGCUUUAAGGAAGGAGACAAGUAUCACGAGAAAGAAUGAAUUACAUGCCAUGAUGCAACCUACACAAGGUUGAUGCAAGAAAUGUGUGCAUGAAGUAGAUAAUGAUACUUGUUACUGAGAUAUCAAUAGAAGGAAGUAGUAGAUACCAAUUAAAGGUAGAUAGUAGUUCAUUGAUCAUCCUCGCUUGACUCCAAUAAGCACAUGGUGACACCACCUUCCUUGUGAGUGAGCCGAGCAUCCAAUGCAUUUCCAAUUGUUCCUAGACCAACAACACAGACAAAAUGGUACCCAAACUCAUUGGGACCAAGGAGCUAGAGAACCAACAAUACAUAGGACAAACUCCACAUAAAUAUGUGCAUAUAGAUAUGAAAAUGAAUUUCAUGCACAUCUCAUCCAAUUUGAGACUUGGUGGAGUUUCCCCUAUAUAUAGGGUCAAAGAAAGAAAGCAUGCCGAGGAAACUACAUGAAGUUAAUAUGCAUGCUCAAGACUUUCAAGAACCGAUACCAAAUGACAAAGAAAUACCAAGUGAAGAAAAGAUACCAAAUGAAUAAAUCAUCACUUGGAGGAUAUCCAUAAAAGAUACAUCUAGGAAUGAGAUAUCCAUUGAUACAUGCAAAAAGAAACAUGUCAAACUCCCAAACGAGAGAAUGGUUUCAAACAAACCAAGUGCUCUACAAAGUUUCAUGAUGGCACAAAGUACUAAAAAGAAACGAUUUUCAUUCCACCAACACAAACUUGAUAAGGAUCACAAGGUGAGCGUUCUAAGAAAAAUAGGAUAGCUCCCCCAAGCAUUGUGCAUUAGAGAGAAUUUGCAUUUGAAUACAAAAUGCACAAGAUGGGAUCACCACUUUCACUAUAUCUAUACAAACACUAGACAAGCUCAAGGAAAUAACAAUAUCCACAAGUGGUAUGGAAUACAAUGGGAGAUGACACAAUCCUAGGCAAGAGAUAAGGCAAAUAAAAGCAAAGGCCAAUGUAAAGAUGAUCAAUAAUUUCUACCGCACAUAAGUGAGUACCAAUUGUCAUAAGACAAGAAGUAUUUGGAAAUAGUUCCUGUUGGUAGAUAACAAGGAUAUCCAACAUCAUCUUCACACCAAACACAAGCAAAUUGCAACUUGUAGAGCUAACAUGCCACCUAGGAACAAGAUAAUUUACAAUAUCAAUUCUAGGUGACAAUAUCUCAAAUGUACACAUUUUCUAGGCUUGUAAUAUGCACAUAGUAUAUUACUCCCCCAUAAUGUGAUACCAAUAAAAAUUUAACAAGAGGCAAUAAGAGGAUUCAACAAGAUAUAAUUAAUGGACUAUUUAAAAUUUUAAUUUCUCAUGAGAAGACAUACCACAUAGCGACUAGAUAAUCUUGUAAUAUCAAUACUAUAUGAUAUUCCUCAUGUACACACAUUUAUAGGAUUGUGGGGUGCACAAAGCACAUCACUCCCCCACAAUGGGAUAUUCCAUUAAUCUCUCACAAGAGCCAAUUAAGAUACAAACAAUAUGCAAAAGGCUCAAAACACAACUCACACAUACAUGAAGUGCAAACCAACAUACACAUACUUGAUUACUCAAAAUAAGCAAAUUGGAAGCACACAUAUACAAACACAUGCAAGGAACAAAGCCAAAACAUGCAAAGGGGCAAGUAACUUUCAAUGUAAACAAUUUGAGUACAAGUUACCGAAAGGAGGCACAUUGGAUAUAGUAUAGAAACUUGAUAACCCAAUUGACUUGGCUUGAGACAAUAAGAAUGAUGAAGUCCCCUUAAUUCUUCAUAAUGUAGCCAAGUCUCUAAUGCCCUUCAAAGACACAUAUUGAUCAAAUUUGAACUUGUUGGUCCCCAACCAAGUUGGGUCCUAAGAGGUUAGUCACAAUAGGCUUCGCUACCCAAGUGGUUCUUUUCUUAACACCACUUUGAGUACCAACAAAUUUGGCAAACACAUUGCCAACCUUAUCCUUCCCGAGAGAAUAGAAAUCAACAAUUAUAAUAGGGUUGGAUAGGGUACCAUUCGUGCAUGAAGAAGCAACAUGACCUUUUUCACGACAUAGAUAGCAACGUCUACUCUUCACUUUCUUCUCACUUGAUUUCUAAACUUGAGAAGCAUUAGCUUGAGUUUUCUUUGGAAGAGGCCUUUCUUCAACUUGAGGUUGAGCAUGAGAAUGAACUUGUGGCCGCUUCCCUUGUUGCUUAUCACUGAUGACCUUCUUCUUCAAAGGGCAAGAUCUAACAUGAUGCCCUUCAAUUUUGCACUUGAAGCAAAUGAUCUUGGACGGAUUCUUGACUUGUUUUUGGACCUUAUUCUUGUUGCUCUUGGACUUCUUCUUCUUAUUGGAGUUGAAUCCAAGUCCACCUUUUUCAUUGGGGGAUUUUUUCACACUCAAGAUAUUGUUGAGUGUGGCCUUCCCUUCAUGACACUUUUCCAAGUUUUUCUUCAAAGAAGUGACUUGGGCCUUGAGCUCUUUGAUUUCUUCUACAUGGUUAGUCUCAACACAAGCACUAGAGGAAGUAUAAGCUUCAUCGUUAGAGCAACAAGGCAAGGAAAGCAAUUCAUCACAAGAUGUACCAAUGUUAUGCAUGGAUGAAUCACGAGGACUAGCACAAGGCAAUAUAGCAUUUUUGACUAAAAGUAGUGCUAGUAUCCACAUGAGGCUCACUAGAUGUUACCUUAGCAAUCAUGGCCUCAUGAGCUAUCUUUACCACAUAAUGGGAUACAAGAAGAUCAUCAUGAGAGCUUGAGAGCUUUUCAUGGCUUUCUUCCAAUUUCCCAUAAUUGCUAGAUAGCAACUCAAGUUGAGCCCGAAGCGCAACAUUCUCCUUCAAAAUGGAUGCUUCAUAAGUAAUAGAGUUAGUAGCACAAGCAUCAUCAAUAAUAGCAAGAGGAGAAGGAAACUUGGCAAUGUCUUUAGAAUAUGAAGCUUUAAGUUGAGCAUGAGACUUGGUGAGUUUGAUGAGCUCACUCUUAAUGACCCUUGAGCCAUUUUCGAGGUGCCUAGAGUCCUCAAGGAGUUUAGCAUGCGCAACUUCAAGCUUCUCAUUUUUAGUUUCAAAAACAUUGGCCACCUUCAAGAGCUCUAUCAUGAGAUUCCUUCACUCUAGAUAAUUCUAGAGAAAAAGUCUCCUCAAGAGAUUCCUUGGUGGUUCGUUCAAGUUCAAGAGCUUGGGAGAGGUCCGCAAUCUCAUUAGCGUAAUCACGCUCAUGACAUUCCAUUUUAUCAAUGGUGACCUCAUGCUUGUCAAGACGAGAUUCCAACUCAUCAAUAUAUUUCUUGCCCUCAAUAGCAAUAGACAUGAUUUCCAUGAAGUUGGAAUGAGCAAUUUUAUUCUUAAGAAGAGCUUUAAAAUUCAUUUCCCCUUAAUAUUUAAGGAGGCAACAUUAUCAUUCUCUUCAUCAUAAUCAACAUCGUCAUCAUUCUUGCCAUCAUCAAUAUCAUCACAAGAUAUAUUAGGAUUCAAAGUGGGAGAUACCUUUGAAGCCCUGGCCAUAAGGCAAACUGCAAUAGAUGAUGAUGUAGGAUCCCUUGAAGCACCAUUCAAGACCACAUCUUGUUCCAUGGGGUGUUGGGUUUCCUCUACAUUAUUAGCACAACAAUUCGAGGAAAUGGAUGCAUUUUUAUCAUGGCAACAGGACAUAGUAAGCAUAUCAUCAUGAGAUUUAGUCAAGAAAUUUCUACAAGAUAUGCAAGGACUAUCAACACAAGCAUGUGAAACAUUUGGAGUGCUCGAAGUGCUAAAGUCCAAAGAUGAAGCAUUCCAAUAAGAAAGUGAUGAAGGAUUAUCAACACUAAGCCCACUAUCAUCAUUGCAAUGCACACCACUACUCACCAUGUCAUUACCUUGUGGCAAACCACAUGUAGGUGAAGUAGAAGAAGUUGAGAACACAACACGACUGGAGGUGGAGGGGGAACAAUCAUCCCCACAAAACUUGGACACCCCAUAUUUAUCUUGAAGCUUUGUCCACAACUCAUGAGCAUCCCGGAACGACAUGAGUUGAAAUAUAACUACAUUGCUCAAAGCAUCGAAAAGCAUAUUAGAAGCUUGAGCAUUGAGAUAAGAGUUUUUCUCAUCCUCUAAAUAUAAUCUUUGGGGAUCCUUUGGAGGCGAAAAUCCCAUAUCUACAAUUCGCUCUAAAUUUGGGUCCAUGACCCUAAAGAGAUUAAGCAUGUGAAUUACCCAAACAUCAAAAAUUGUGUCAUCGAAACUAAGAGUGUCAGAGAAUCCUAAUCCCCUAGUCGACAUCUUUACUCUCUAGGCGGUUAAGCCUAAACACGAGAGACGAGGCUCUGAUACCAAUUGAAAGAUCGAGGAUGUCGCCUAGAGGGGGAUGAAUAGGCGCUUUAAAAUAAUUAUGGUUUAGGCUUGAACAAAUGCGGAAUAAACCUAGCGGUUAAUUUGUCAAGCACAAAACCUAAAACGGCUAGGCUCACCUAUGUGCACCAAUAACUUAUGCUAAGCAAGAUAAACAACUAUGUGAUAGCAAGAUACAUGACAAGGAACAAUAUGGCUAUCACAAAGUAAAGUGCAUAAGUAAAGAGCUCGGGUAAGAGAUAACCGAGGCACGCGGAGACGACGAUGUAUCCCGAAGUUCACACCCUUGCAGAUGCUAAUCUCCGUUUGGAGUGGUGUGGAGGCACAAUGCUCCCCAAGAAGCCACUAGGGCCAUCGUAAUCUCCUCAAGCCCUCGCACAAUGCAAGAUGUCGUGAUUCCACUAAGGGACCCUUGAGGGCGGUCACCGAACCCAUACAAAUGGAGACCCUUGGGGGCGGUCACCGAACCCGUACACUUUGGCAACCCUUGGGGCGGUCACCGGUACCUGUCAAAUUGCUCGGGGCGAUCUCCACAACCUAAUUGGAGACCCCGGCGUUUGCCCGGAGCUUUACACCACAAUGAUUGAGCUCCGAACACCACCAACCGUCUAGGGCUCCCAAGCACCCAAGAGGAACAAGCUCAAGGAUACCAAGCACCCAAGAGUAAUAAGCUUCUCAACUUGUAACUUCCACAUAUCACGUGGAGAACUCAAGCCGAUGCACCAAAUGCAAUGGCAAGGGAGCACGGAGUGCCCAAGUCCUUCUCUCUCAAAUCCCACCGAAGCAACUAAUGUUAGGGAGGAAAAUGAGAGGAAGAACAAGAAGGAGAACACCAAGAACUCCAAGAUCUAGAUUCAAGGGGUUCCCCUCACAUAGAGGAGAAAGUGAUCGGUGGAAAAGUGGAUCUAGAUCUCCUCUCUCUUUUCUCUCAAAAACUAGCAAGAAUCCAUAGAGGGAUUGAGAUAUAGCAAGCUCGAUGAAGGUCAACAAUGGGGAAAGAACACGAGCUCAAAAGAUAAGGUUCAUUGGGGAAGAAUACAACCUUUUAUAGGUGGGGAAAACCAACUGUUAUGCUCACAGCCCGAACAGAACGGUACUACCGCUCGUCCUCACGGUACUACCGCUAGGGGUAGCGGUACAACCUCAAAGGGUAGCGGUAUUACUACUUGCGAGCGGUACUAAAAAAAUACAUCCGUGCGUACCACCGCUGGACUUGUGACGAGUUUUUGGUCCGGAGCGGAAGUAGCCACGGAAGUAGCGGCGGUAGUACCACUCAAGUGGUAGUACCGCUCCCAAGAGCGGUAAUAAAAAAAUUACAUCCCCUCCAAGCGGUACUACCGCUGCAGCUUUUAUAAGGACACCAAAACUGACACAACUUCUGCAAACGGACUCUGAAUUCAACGAAACCAAGUUUGUUGGAAAGCUAGCGACAAGGGCUAACACAAUCUUGAUAAAAAACAAUAAAAAGCAAAUUAGAAAAGUCCCAUAAGAAAAUGGUGAGAACCCUUCCUCGAAUAAGACUGGUAAAACCUCCAACACCGAAAACGCAAUAGAAAAAGCAUGUGAACUCCAUUUUCGAUGAACUCGAGCUUGUCAAGAAGAUGACCAUAAGCUCCCAAUCUCACAAGGAGAAAACCAAACAAGAACCAAGAAAGAUGAUGCAAGCAUGCAAUGGUUUGAGCUAUCUACGAACGAUACGAUCAAGCUACUCACUUGGGAUCCCCCCUUGAUAGUACGACAAACGAUCCUAUAACUCGGUCUCCAAACUACCACCAUAAGACCAGUAAAAUGGAGAACCUAUCAAGGCCAAACCUUUGCCUUGCACAAAAUCCACUUGAGCUAGAUGUAGACGAUCUUGACUUCCUCAAGUAGGACCACAUUUCUUGAUUGUGUUGGCUCGGUGAAGACUAGUAGAUUGCUCCCCCAUACUCCAUUAUGAGUGAGCCACUUUUCGGCACAUCUUCACAAGUCCGUUGUCACCACAAUGGACGGCAAUCUUCAAGCACUUGAUCUCUUCGUGAUGCAUCACUUGAACGUGCACACCGCAACCUAACCCCACAAAGAACUCUCACGAAGACUAUGGGUUAGUACACAAAGCGUAAUGGUCAAUGCUUAACAUACCAUGGGAUCACUUCAUCCCUCUCGGUACAUCUUCUACGCUUUGUGAUUUGAUCAACUUGAUUCACUCUUGACUUAGUCUUGAUCAACCUUGAACCUUUCCAACUCUCUUCGUUUGGAUGAUGCCUUGAAGGUAAGCAUGAAUGAUCACACAAUCUUCUUUUUCAAGACAUGCUUGCAAUAAGAUCAAUUCUCACAUGACCAAUCUUUGGAUAAUUCCUUAAUAGCACCUUGGUCAACACAUAAACUCCUUAGAACCAACACAUGAACUUUAAGAAGUGUCUAUGGACAAAUCCUUCAAAUAUAACUCAAUGCAACCAUUAGCCCAUAGAGAAUGUCAUCAAUUACCAAAACCACACAUGGAGGCACCGCAUGUCCUUUCACUAAUACUUGAUCAUACAACUCAUGAAUCUCAUCAGUUCCCUAAUCACAUAAAUCUACAACAAAACUCUGAUAGAGCUUCAACCUACCUUCAUCUUAGGCCUGUAUGGUUUGGCUGGGGUCUACUGAUGCAAUUUCUCGAGUUGCAACUAGUGUUUAUGAGCUAAAAUCCAUAACAAAAUGCAUAUCAAAUUCUUAAUAAAUUGGGUUUCACUAGAUAUGCACAACAUGGUAGUAUAGGCAACCAUAUGCUGGUAACACAUCUAAUCUAUAUAUCCCUAAGUUGAAAGCCUAUCUUGUGAGAUUGCAUUCACGGUGUAGAAUACACUCAUACACUGUUGAUGGGACACAUAACUCACAAAGAGAUCCAUUCACCCAGCAAGCACGAUUUGGCGGAAUACUAAUGCAACCAUGCACCCACCAAACGGCGCUUCAUGUACUACUAGUGCAACCCUGAGGACGCCAGUUGAUAUAAUAUUUCAUGGGCCAUUAACUUGAAUUCUCGGUGUCUCCCUUUCCCACAUCGGCAUUUAUAUACGCAUGGCAUUUGCUAAUCUCAUCAAUUUGCCGUUUUCAUCAAUCUCAUCUUUCUGAAGGAAAAGAGAAAAGAGAUUUUGGUUGUGUGCCUACUUUGCUACUUCGGCAACGUCACACACGAAAGCUAUUGUUAUGUGGGUCCGCCCGUGCACGCAUUGCAAACAACAAUGAAGGUUGUGAAGCUCUAGUGAGGCCAUUUAAAUAGGGCAUACAGGGCUAUGCAAAUCGGGGACAUCAUUGCGGAGAGGAUGGCACAUGGAUAUUUUAAUUCAUGGAGAUCUUGAUGUCAACUUUGGUCUAAUAAAGUACUACACACUUUGUUCCUAAAUGUAAGACGAUUUGGCACAUAGGGUGUAUUUAGGAACAUAGGGUGUAUUUGAUAGCGCUCUAUAAAUUAGCAUAUAACUCGUGAACAUGUAGCCUGGUGUGAUUAACAAUUUUAGAAGUCUUGGGCAAAAAUCUCCAGGGCAAACAGAGUGCAAAACAUACACAGCGAACACGUUUGCAUACCGCUUACUCAGUACACCAAUCUUGAAGUGUGCAUUUACAGUAUAAAUAGAAAUAGGCCAUACUGAUGAGCAAAAAAAUGUUUAUUUCCACUAAAGAAUCGAGUAACUGCUUUCAUGGUCGUAUAUGUUACAAAGGAUAUAAAUAUGAAACUACCAAACCCCCAUUUGGAUCCUUGCACCAACCACAACCAACACAAGGGGAAGCCGAUCAAAAUUAAUAGACAAAACGGGCAGUACAUUAUUUCUUUUACAUUGACAAACACUACAUGGUUGAAUCAGCUCAGUCGACGAGAAGUCAGCGUGGACGAUGCGGUCGGAUGGACAGGACUGGACUAUGGAAGGGGACGGGCAAAAGGAUGCACAAUCUUCACAGGUGCGCCUAAGCACUUACGGAUGAAGAUCAUAUAUGCUUAUUCGCCUUGCAAACAGUAAAGCUGGCGGAUAUUUCCUGAAGCUGGACACAAGAUUUAAAACACCUAAUUGUUAACUCCCAACACUUCAUUUCAAGAGUAAAGGAAACAAUUUUUGCAGUGAAAAGAAGUUUGAUGGUGGAAACUGAAGAUAUAAGGACCAGGUAG